UUUUUUUUUUUUUUUUUUUAAGUAUAAACUCAACACCUCCAUAGUUAUUGUUUCUCCUCCUCUUCCUCUUCCACCUCUCUCUCUCUCUCUCUCUCUCUCUCUCUCUCACCACUUCAUAUUCUCUCUCUCUCUCUCUCUCUCUAAUUCCCCAAUCAUUACUCUGCAUCUUCUCCUCACUCUCCCCUCUCUUGGAUUGGUUGGUGGUGUUAUUGCUCCUUUUUUUAAAAAAAUUGUUUUCCUAUUUUUCUCCCCUUGCUCCCAAGGGGGGUGGAUGCUCAUGAAGAGGCUAGUAAGUACGUUUUCUCUUGGUUAGUAAACACAAUUUUUGUGGAAUUUUCCUGCAAUUUUUUUUUUUUUUAAUAAAUGAGCCAUUUUUCCUGCUUAUUAUGCUGCUUUGUUAAUUGGGGUUUUUCUCUUGGUUAGCAAAGACAAUUGUUGUGGAAUUUUCCUGCAAUUUUUUUGAUAAAUGAGCCAUUUUUCCUGCUUAUUAUGCUGUUUUGUUAAUUGGGGUUUUUCUCUUGGUUAGUAGAGACAAUUUUUGUGGAAUUUUCCUGCAAUUUUUUUUGAUAACUGAGCCAUUUUUCCUGCUUAUUAUGCUGUUUUCUGAUUCGAGUCUAUUUUAUUUAAACACAAUUUUUGUAGAAUUUUCCUGCAAUUUUUUUGAUAAAGGAACCAUUUUUCCUGCUUGUUUUGCUGUUUUGUGAAUUGGGUCUCUUUUUAAUUUUUUGAUUUAAUGGAGAGGCUAUUGAGUACUCUUUUUUUUAUUGGUUAGUAACACAAUUUUGUGGAAUUUUUUCCUGCAAAUUUUUUUUUUGAUAAAGGAGCCAAUUUUCCUCCUCAAUAUGUUGUUUUGUGAACUGGGUCUUGUUAUUUUUUUUUUUAUUUGAUGCUUGGAAAAGUUUCAAUUUGUCCCUGUGUUGUUCCCAUUCACAUGUGUUUUUUUUACUGUUCUUUUCUCUCUCCUUUUUUUUUCUUUUUUUGAGAUCUAAGUACCUUUUCCAAGAGAUUCUUGAUCUGUGUCUUUUUGGUUUUUAAUUUGGUUUAUUAUUUUGAACUUGUUCCCUCUCUAUAAAUUGUGUUGUUUUCUUACUAAAAUCAACUAACUUAUUUACUUAAAAUUUGUCUUUUUUAAACUCUGCUACACAUUUUUCAGUGUUAUUUCAUUGUUCUUAUCUUCUUUUUUCUGCAUUUAAUCUGAAUUUCCAACAACUAAUUUGUUAAAGAAAAGAAUUCACAGUAAAAUUACUACCACUUCCCUUUGAUCAGCUUCAAUUGAUAAUAAUUCACAUUCACUUUUUGUGAAUCUUGCUUUAAUUGCUUGUUUAGGUGCUUCCUCUAUUGGUUUUGGGGGUCUUCAAUGUUGUGGUCAAGGGCAGUGGAGGAAGUGAGGGGCAAUGCACAUACAAGCAGGGGCUAAAUCCUCGGCCGCACAGCGUGACGAUCACCGAGUUCGGCGCGGUGGGCGACGGCGAGACCUUGAACUCGGUCGCGUUCCAAAACGCCGUCUUCUAUCUCCGCUCGUUCGCCGACAAGGGCGGCGCGCAGUUGUAUGUUCCGAAAGGGGAAUGGCUUACGGGGAGCUUCAAUCUCACAAGCCACCUCACUCUCUUCUUGGAGAAAGGCGCCGUCAUAAUCGGGACUCAGGUAUUCGAAUAUCGCCGAAUCCCACACAUCAACAGUUUCACAUCUCUAAUUUGCUAUUCAAAGUGCAUAAGAUUGAGUUGACAUGCCUUUUAUGUUUCGCAAAUUUGAUACCGAGUUUGUCGAUCGAAUUCCACAUCUGUAGUUUCGUAUUUCUAAUUUGCUAUUCAUGCUUUUUAUGUUCAACUGAAUUCAUAUCAAUAGUUCCGCAUCUCUAAUUUGCUAUUCAAAGUGUAUAAUCUAAGAUCGAGUUGACAUGCUUUUAUGUUUCGCUGAUUUGAUACUGAGUUUGUCGACCGAAUUCGCGUCAAUAGUUUCAUAUUUCUAAUUUGCUAUUCAAAGUGUAUAAGAUUGAGUGAGUCUACAUGCUUUUAUGUUUCGCAAAUUUGAUACUGAGUUUGUCGACCGAAUUCCACAACUAUAGUUUAGUAUUUCUAAUUUGCUAUUCAUGCUUUUAUGCUUUGCAAAUUUGAAACUGAGCUUGUCGACUUAAUUCCGCAUCAACAGUUUCAUAUUUCUAAUUUGCUGUUCCAAGUGUAUAAGAUAAGAUUGAGUUGACAUGCUUUUAUGUUUCGCGAAUUUGAUACUGAGUUUGUCGAAUGCUAAUGAAAUUUGCGUAGAGAUUGCGAGGAAUCCUUUUUUGUUUCCACUACUUGAAAUGUUUUUAGUGUUACUUCACUGCGAUCUUUUUACGCACAGUAGUGACUCAUCAAUAAUUUGAUCUUCCAACCUUCCACAGCACAGUUCUCUUCAAUUAUUGCGACAGCAAAGAAAACGACUGAUCUUAUGCACUGCCAUUCCAUCGAACAGUUUAAUUCUAAUCAUUCAUGGUCGAUACACGACACGAUUACUAACACAUAAUAUUAUGACUUCUUGUGCCAUUUUAAUUACUGUUUUUGUUGUCACUAUGUAUAAUAUCGCUACUUUUACUGUCGCAAACCUCCGAUGAUACUGCGUUUUGUAACAUAAUCUUGAAUUAGUAAAGCAUAGGGUUAAAAUGAUUGUUCUUCGAUUAUUUUCCGUGAAGUAUUAUUAUUAUUAUUAUUAUUAUCACUAUUUGUUUGUUCCUCGCAGGAAUCAUCUCAGUGGCCUAUUGUCGACCCACUGCCGUCGUACGGACAAGGAAUCGACCUCCCUGGCGGGCGACACCGCAGCUUGAUAAACGGCCACAACUUGACCGACGUAGUCAUAACAGGUACAAACUCGUCGCUCGCUUGACGGAAACCUAUAAAUUCGAGAGAGGUUUUUAUAGAUUUCGAUGUUUCAACAUUGCAUCUUCACUUUCUUACGCCUCGCGAAUAGGCAACAAUGGAGUUAUCGACGGGCAGGGUUCUAUCUGGUGGGAGUGGUUCCGUUCCCGUAAGUUGAACUACAGCCGCCCUCAUCUCGUCGAGUUCACGGAUUCGCAGGACAUCGUGAUAUCGAACCUCUCUUUCUUGAACUCCCCCGCGUGGAGCAUCCAUCCGGUCUACUGCAGGUGCGCCGUCUGACGAACUUCAAUCUGCCACAUAAUGUUUCAUUUCGCCGAGAAAGAUUUAGUGUAGUUGGGGUUUCGAAAUGUUGAUACGCGCAUUUGCUUGCUGUUUUUGUAGCAACGUAAUCGUUCAGAACAUUACGAUCCAAACUUCGCCCGAUUCUCCGUUUACUGACGGAAUAGUUCCAGGUCAGAAUUCGGUUCGCGUCUUUUUAACUUCAUUUGUCGAUAGUUGCUUUCGCCAUCUCUUCGCUAUUGAAUUCGCGACUUCGGUGAACUACUGAGUAGCUCAUCUCGGCGUUUUAACCUAAAAUUUUGUUAAAUAAAGAGAUGAUGUCGCGACUUUCAGAUUCGUCUUCGAACAUGUGCAUCGAGGACUGCAGCAUCAGCGUCGGGCACGACGCGAUCGCUCUAAAGAGCGGCUGGGACGGGUACGGGAUCUCCUACGCCCGCCCCACCACCGAGAUCCAAAUCACGAAGGUGGCGCUCCAGAGCGCCGCCGGCGCGGCCCUCGCAUUCGGGAGCGAGAUGUCGGGAGGGAUCUCCGACGUCCGCGCCGAGCAGCUCUACAUUUACAACUCGUCGACCGGCGUAAGCUUCAGAACAACCCUAGGCCGCGGCGGCUUCGUCGAAAAGACCGUGAUCUCGAACUCGGUGCUCGAAAAUGUUCGCGAGGCGAUUCGAUUCGACGGGCACAGCGGCGGGCACCCCGACGACCACUACGACCCCUCGGAGAUCCCGAUAAUCAGGAAGAUCACGCUCAAGAGCAUCGUCGGGAGCAACAUCUCGGUCGCGGGGAACUUUUCGGGCAUCGAAAACGAUCCCUUCACGGCUCUCUGCCUCUCCGAUCUCAAUUUUACGGUAAACUCCGAUCCUUCGAGCUCUUGGUCAUGCUCCGACGUAUCCGGGUACUCCGAACUAGUAUUCCCCAAGCCGUGUUCGCAGCUCCAAAGCCCUUCGACGAACUCUUCGACGUGCUUUGCACUUGAUGAUCAUUACAAUGCUCUCGCCGUAGCGUAAUUCGCGGCGUAUUUUUUACAGCUUCUGCCACCAAUCCAUGCCGAAAUUCUUUUGGAUAAUAAAACAUUGAAUUCCUUUUGAUGCAUCAGUUUUGCUUCGAUACUCUCGGGCGCAGAAACGAAGGAUAAAAAAGAGAAAAAAAGGAGGAAAAUUGCGCGAGGGGGGGGGCGAAGAAUGUGCUUGCUUGUACAGCUUCAAUUUCUUCAUUCAAUCUUUGUAAGAAGAGGUUUUUUUUUUUUUUUUUUUUUUUUUUUUUUUUUUAUGUUUUGUUGGUAGUAAUGAAAAUGGAGACAAUUCAUUGAUAAAUUUGGCAUUUGCUAUUAUUAUUAUUAUUUUUUGUUUGGUUGAGGAUUAUGAUUGAUUGGUCUCUUGUAUAUCCUACUAUCUAAUGCUUUAUAGAUAAAGAUAAUCACCAACUUUUAAAUAUAAAGCAUUCGAUAGUAAUGAAAAUGGAGACAAUUCAUUGAUAAAUUUGGCAUUUGCUAUUAUUAUUAUUAUUUUUUGUUUGGUUGAGGAUUAUGAUUGAUUGGUCUCUUGUAUAUCCUACUAUCGAAUGCUUUAUAUUUAAAAGUUGGUGAUUAUCUUUAUCUUUAUUAGUUAAUUGUUAAUGGGGUCUUAUGAGUUUGCUUAAAAUGUCUACCACAUGGCUUCUUGUUAUUAUUAAAAGGUAAAAACGUACGGAACUUAUCUGAACUACAGAUUAUUUUGAAUCGGCUAAUUCAAAUUUUCAAAAAUUUGAUUUUACUGUUCAAUUUUUUUAUUUUUUAUUUUCUAUUUGGGUGUGUUAUUGACACUUUGGUUUUAAAAUUUAAGUUAAUUAUUUAUUUUGAUGAAUUUGUAAGUUGCGGGAAUUGGAACUCUCUAAGCUAUAGAUCAUUUUGAAUCGGCUAUUUGAAAUUUUAAAAUUUAGAUUUUAUUAUCUGACAUUUUAAUUUAUUUGAUUUGAGUUAGUCAGUGACGUUUCGACUUUUUAAGUUAUUACUUUAAUAAAUUCAUAAUUGCUAGAAAUUACUUAAAGUCAAACACUGCAUGAAAAUUAAUAUUUAAAAAUUCUUUUUUUUUUCUAUAUAUAAUGAUGCUUAAGAGCAACUCAAUAUAAUCUAGCAUCGCAUUUAAAAGUGUCGACAAAUGAAGAGUCGCCACAUGUAUACCAAUGCUUAUGCCAAACGCCGGUAAAAUUUAUUCUGACGCUUUAAAGCAUCUAGCGCUUUAAAACGUCGAAUAGUUAAGGCCAAUUUGCAUAAAAAAUCUACUUAUUUUGGGCUUUUGCAAAAUCGGGCCACCUUUUUCGUUUUUGCAAAUUCGGUCCGUUUUUUUAGCAAACUGACCAAAAUACCCUUAUUACUUUUUCUCUUUCCUCUCUCUUUCAUCUUUGUUCUCUCGUUCUUUUUUUUUUUUUCGCCGAAAAAAAAAGCGACAGCCGGAGCACCGCCAGGCGGGCUCUUCUUCUUCUUCUUCUUCCUGCAGGAGCAAUUUUUUUUUCUCUUUUUCUUUUUCUUCUUCUUCUUCUUCCUCCUGCUGGAGCUUUUUUUUUUUUUCCCCUCUUCUUCUUCUUCUUCUUUUUCUUCCUGUAAGAGCACGGGGCGUGCACGGCGACUUCCGGCCUCGCCACGGAGCCCGACCGCUCGACCCCGACGCCCCGCUCAAGCCGGGGAAGCUCUACUUCCUCGUCGACCUCCCCCGCGCCGACCUCGAGCCCGACCACCGCCGCGAGGGCUCAACCGGCGCCGGCGCCGCGCGUUCCUACUAGUUACCCGAGGAAGGCUGCGCGUCGGACUACGAGCCCGACCGCUCGACCCCGACGCCCUGCUCAAGCCGGGGAAGCUCUACUUCCUCCCCCGCGCCGACCCCGAGCCCGACCACCGCCGCGCGAUUUCACCAUUACACCAUUAAUAGUGUAAUGGUGCACCAUUACACCAUUACGAAGAACCCGNUUGCGCGAGGGGGGGGGCGAAGAAUGUGCUUGCUUGUACAGCUUCAAUUUCUUCAUUCAAUCUUUGUAAGAAGAGGGUUAUGAUUGAUUGGUCUCUUGUAUAUCCUACUAUCUAAUGCUUUAUAUUUAAAAGUUGGUGAUUAUUUUUAUCUUUAUUAGUUAAUUGUUAAUGGGGUCUUAUGAGUUUGCUUAAAAUGUCUACCACAUGGCUUCUUGUUAUUAUUAAAAGGUAAAAACGUACGGAACUUAUCUGAACUACGGAUUAUUUUGAAUCGGCUAAUUCAAAUUUUCAAAAAUUUAAUUUUACUGUUCAAAUUUUUUAUUUUUUAUUUUUUAUUUGGGUGUGUUAUUGACACUUUGGCUUUAAAAUUUAAGUUAAUUAUUUAUUUUGAUGAAUUUGUAAGUUGCAGGAAUUGGAACUCUCUAAGCUAUAGAUCAUUUUGAAUCGGCUAUUUGAAAUUUUAAAAUUUAGAUUUUACUAUCUGACAUUUUAAUUUAUUUGAUUUGAGUUACUCAGUGACGUUUCGACUUUUUAAGUUAAUUACUUAUUUUAAUAAAUUUAUAAUUGCUAGAAAUUAUUUAAAGUCAAACACUUGGAGAAAAUUAAUAUUUAAAAAUUCUCUUUUUUUCUAUAUAUUUUUUUUUUAGAGAUAGGUAGCACGCUACCCGCGUACCCGCUUCGUUUAUUUUUUAUUUAUUUAUUUAUUUUAUAUAUAAUGAUGCUUAAGAGCAACUCAAUAUAAUCUAGCGUCGCAUUUAAAAGUGUCGACAAAUGAAGAGUCGUCACGUGUAUACCAAUGCUUAUGCCAAACGCUAGUAAAAUUUAUUCUGACGCUUUAAAGCAUCUAGCGCUUUAAAGCGUCGAAUAAUUAAAAAUAAUAGUAAAAUUUAUCAUUUAAUAAAUUGAUUAGAUAUAAUAAAGGGUUUAUAUGACGGUACUUUUUGAAGUAUCGGUAUUUGCUAUAUUAUCGGGACGCUUGGGAAUGAUUCCCCCGAGUGUCGUCUAAAAAACGUUCUUAUAUUAAAAUUUUCUGAGAGUGAAAAUACCGUUGAUUAACUCAAAUUUUAAAAAAUUAAAAAAUUUUGCAAUUAAAUUAAAAUUUUAAAAGAUUGAAUAGUGAAAUCAAAAUAUCCAUAGUUCACGUUAGUUUUGUAUGGUUUUACCUGAUUAAAAUAAGUGGGUGUUUAGAUUCUUUAAAUUAAAUUAAAUUAGGGUUUUGCUUUUUUGCAUAAGUACCCCCGCAAAGUUGGUAUUUGCAUUUUGGUAUCUACCUAAAAAAUUAGAGCCUCUUUAUAGGAUAUGAGAGCAAAUAAGCAAGGUUUUCACGCGUAUUCGUAGAUAUUUACAAAGCUAUCCCUACAAAGUUGGUAUUUACACACGUAUUCGUAAAAAUGUUAAUUAUUUGUAUGUGCGUGACUUACUAGACGUUUCUACGCAAAAUUUAGGGCUUCUUGUGAUACGCAUAUAAAGCUAACUUUUUAUGAAGCUAACCUUUUUGUUUUAUUUUUUUGCAUAGACAACCCCAAAAACCAACUUAAAAAUGUGUGCAAAAUUGCAAGGGUAAAUAUGCAAAAGAAGGGGAAAAAAAUAAAGCUCAAUAAAGUAUAAUAUUUUGGUCGGUUCAGACACGUACAUAGAUCGCUGAACGGACAGAGUUUUUUCUCAAUGUGUAAACAAAACAAAUAGAUUGAAUUUCACACAGAAAAAAUAAUAUAAUACAGUUCUGCACGAGGGCAUAUCACAAGAGCGACAAAUUUAAACCUAACUAUUACAACAUUCAAUCAUCCCGAGGUAUAUACAUUUCCAUAUGUAGAUUGACGAGGUCGGCAGCCGGCGGCCGAAUCUACUGGAAACUUUUUUUAGUUCUCACCCUCUAUUUUGCAGCGCCAACUAUGAUUGGAGCUGUACCUGACCGAGGCGUGGGUAUAGCGCUAUAGAUAGCAAGAUUAUCCUGUGUAGAUUACCUCAAUUUCGUAUGUUAUGAGUGCGUACGUAUAGCAAAGGUUUAUAGAAAUACGCAUGUAAAUACCAACUUUACUGAACAAAUUGCGCAAUUUUGCGAACUCCAAGGGUGAACAUGCAAAAGAACACACNACGAAGAGAAGAGAGGAAGAGGAAAGAGAAAAAGUAAUAAGAGUAUUUUGGUCAGUUUGCUGAAAAAGCGGACCGAAUUUACAAAAACGAAAAAGGUGGCCCGGUUUUGCAAAAGCCCAAAAUAAGUGGAUUUUUUAUGCAAAUUGGCCGUUAAUAGUAAAAUUUAUCAUUUAAUAAAUUGAUUUGAUAUAGUAAAAGGUUUAUAUGACAAUACUUUUUGAACUGUCAGUAUUUGCUAUAUUGUCGGGACGCUUGGGAAUGAUUCCCGCGAGUGUCGUUUAAAAAACGUUCUUAUAUUAAGAUUUCCUGAGAGUGAAAAUACCGUUGAUUAACUCAAAUUUUAAAAAAUUAAAAAAUUUUGCAGUUAAAUUAAAAUUUUAAAAUGUUGAAUAGUGAAAUCAAAACAUCCGUAGUUCACGUUAGUUUUGUAUGGUUUUACCUUAUUAAAAUAAGUGGGUGUUUAGAUUCUUUAAAUUAAAUUAAAUUAGGGUUUUGCUUUUUUGCAUAAGUACCCCUGCAAAGUUGGUAUUUGCGUUUUGGUAUCUACCUAAAAAAUUAGAGCCUCUUUAUAGGAUAUGAGAGCAAAUAAGCAAGGUUUUCAGGAACACGCACACAAAAACCAACAUUAUGUAGAUAUUUACAAAGUUAUCCCUACAAAGUUGGUAUUUACACGCGUGUUCGUAAAAAUGUUAAUUAUUUGUAUGUGCGUGACUUACUAGAUGUUUCUACGCAAAAUUUUGGGCUUCUUGUGAUACGCAUAUAAAGCUAACUUUUUAUGAAGCUAACCUUUUUGUUUUAUUUUUUUGCAUAGACAACCCCAAAAACCAACUUAAAAAUGUGUGCAAAAUUGCAAGGGUAAAUAUGCAAAAGAAGGGAAAAAAAAAAGCUCGAUAAAGUAUAAGAUUUUGGUCGGUUCGGACACGUACAUAGAUCGCUGAACGAACAGAGUUUUUUCUCAAUGUGUAAACAAAACAAAUAGAUUGAAUUUCACACAGAAAAAAUAAUAUAAUACAGUUCUGCACGAGGGCAUAUCACAAGAGCGAAAAAUUUAAACCUAACUAUUACAAUAUUCAAUCAUCCCGAGGUAUAUACAUUUCCAUAUGUAGAUUGGCGAGGUCGGCAGCCGGCGGCCGAACCUACUAGAAACUUUUUUUAGUUCUCACCCUCUAUUUUGCAGCGCCAACUAUGACUGGAGCUGUACUUGACCGAGGCGUGGGUAUAGCGCCAUAGAUAGCAAGAUUAUUCUGUGUAGAUUACCUCAAUUUCGUAUGUUAUGAGUGCGUACGUAUAGCAAAGGUUUAUAGAAAUACGCAUGUAAAUACCAACUUUACUGAACAAAUUGCGCAAUUUUGCGAACUCCAAGGGUGAACAUGCAAAAGAACACACAAAAAAAAACACUCAAUUAUUAUUAGGUUGGUAGAAGAGCUUCUGCUUGUCUCCUCCUUGGCUUCUUCUUCUUCUUCUUGCUGGCUUAAUUUGUCAUCAUCAACAUGUUAUGCCCUAAGAAUGAGCUCAUGCCAAUAUGCCAUGUUGUUGUUGUUAUAUAUAUAUAUAUAUAAGCACCAGAGCAUCCACCAUGUAUAGUUGUUGCUUUUGGUAUUUUUGUUGAUGGACCACUCCACAUGAUAGGUUGGCAAAUUAAGUAACAACAGGUAAUGGCAGGUUGGUGCAGGUGGUGGAACCAAUAUUUUAUUGGUUAAACUUCAAUUUAUCCCCCCCUCCCCUACAGUUUAACAUAUUUUUACUUUGUCACCUUAUGGUUCAAAAAGUUGUAUACUGUCACAUCUAGCCAUAUCUAUUCGGUGUGGGAUUAUUUUCAAGCCUUGUGAUGUUAUAGACUCCUCCACUUUGAAUCUGGAAGUCCUCGUCGGGUUCAAUCGCAAUUACACACAUAGACCGGAUUUACCAAGCGAUAUGAGAUUCUAGAGAUGGACUCCUGCAUGUUUAAUCACAAUUACACACAUAGACCAGCUCCUGCAGGUUCAAGAAGUGGCUCCCACUAAACGCGUGACGUAGCGCGUUGCCCUGCAUAAUACUUCGCUUUCACACUUCUCGACCCAAUAAUUUGUUGGGCCCAAUCCACUAGCCUAAAAUGUUAUAUCCCAAUUGUUGUGUCUACACCAUCUAGACUGCUUGAUAUAUUAUAUGUUAUCUCUUUUUCAUAUAUAGAAUCCUAAUUAUAUUUUGAUGGAAAGUUAAUCUAGACUCUAUAUAAAGAAGAUAUUGGUACUGCAACCUUCUCACGUGCAUGCUGGUGAAGAGUUAUCAUUUGUUCGAUACUAUACGAGAGAAUCCUUCAGAUAGGAGAAGAAAUCAGAUUACCUAAGGUUCGGUUGGUGGUCUUCAUAUCGCAAUCGGGCUUCUCGCUUCCUCAAAUUGAUCAAGAAUUUUUUCUCUAUAGCAUUCUGUGAAUUAUAUAUUAUUCUGUUUAUGAUCCUGGGUAUUGGUAUGUAUUAGCUUAUUAUUUUUACAUACCAAUAUAGAUCUAUUUGUUUCGACAAUAAAUGUUGAAAUCAAAAGCAAUAAUAAAAAAAAUGCAUUUUUUUUUUUUGUAAUUUAAGGGCCUAUUUGGCAAACUCUCUAAUAUAGAGUAAUAGGCCAAAUUACUCUGUUUUCAAAAAAAACUCUUUCUCUUUAGUUGACCUGUUUGAAAAGUUCAAUAAAGAAAAAAAAAAAAAAACUUUAUAAGAGUAAUUUUGGAAUAAAAAAAAUUGAUUAGACCUCUCUAAAAAAGGGUUAAUUGCAUACAACUCUCUGAAGUUCAACUUUUUUAUAUUAUUCAUACAAAAGUUUUAAUAUUUUUAAAUAUGCCAUUGUCGUUAGGAUCCGUUAGUAAAAUUUAGUUAACCAUAGGUAAAAUACUUAACCUUAGUUAGUCAAUAUGGUAAAUUAAUAUUUUUACCCUUCUUAUAUUAUAUCUUCUUCUCUCAAUCAAAACUCUCGUCUACUUCCUCUUCCUCUUUCUCCUUCAUGCUAGUUUCGAAUCCGUAAUUAGAAUUUCUCCAUCCCUAUUCAUCCACGACACAUAUUGCUUCGUCCAUGUCGAACGCUUAUUGCUUCCUCAUUUAAUUUUCUCUAUUUUUUUUUCUUUUUUUUUUGCUCAAACGAAAAGGUUUAGGAGAGAAGCAGCGAGAAAAGGUAUUCGUUUUGCUUAGUACAAUUUUUUAAAUUUUAUUUUAUAUAAGAAGUAAAACAGAGUAUUUUUUUAAUAGACAAUUCAAAUAAUGAAAAACAAAAUAAUUUUUUUACGAAGUAUAGAGUUUUUCAAAAUAUUAAAUACAAUGCGAGAUAAAACUUCGAUUUAUUUUACAAUGAUUGCCAAACAGUCCCUAAGUUAAAAACUUCAAAUCUCUUCAUCCUCCUAGGUACCUAACCACAUCAAAAUAUAUUUUUAUUUUUUAUUAUUUUAAUAUUUUAUAAAACUAAAAAGCACCAACCAUAUAAAAUAUUAAAGAUGAUAAAUAAUUAAAGAUCAAAAAAACCCCUUUUUUUUUUCAUGUUUGGAAACCUACAAGAAGCUUCCCACAAUGGUGGUGACAGUGAUUUAAUAAGAGUUUCUUGAGAAGCAAGAGAGAAUACUAAAUCAACAUUGAGACUUUUCCUAUGAUAUGAAAUGGUUUAAUUGCUUCUAAAUUGCUUCUAGAAGCUUUUCCCAAGUAAUCAGGGACUCUUGGAUGACAAAAAAAAAAAAAAAGAAGCUAGAUUUUGCAUUUAUUAUUCCUAUAAUAAAGUUUCGAAUAUGCGAAAAUAAUGCGACGGUAUUGUAGAACGCAGCGGAAGUAUUCGGUUCGUACCUUUUGCGGAAGCAAUUCGCGCAACAACGCGAUGAGCCCGGAUCGUUUAGAUUGAUUCACGUGUCCUCGGAUCGUCCUUGAAUGUCUUCUCACGCUCCAAACUCGCGGUGGAUCGAACUACAAACGAGCGCGAUCGCAAAUCCACCGUGCAAGUCCCUCUAGAAUAAUAGGUCAAUGGAGGAUGUGGUUUCUCUCUAUUAUUUUCUUAUUCUUUCUUUUUCCGUUCUUUCCGUGUAUCUUUCGUUAUGUGGGAUCGCCCGCAUAUUUAUAAAGAAUUCUAAAAUUCUAAUGGCGUUGGAGAUAAAGCCAAAUCGGUUAUUAAUUGUUAUCCUAAUAUGAUUAGAUUUAUCUCUAAUUAGCUUUCCAAUUUGAAAGCGAGAUUAAUCCUAAUCCAAUUAGAUAACAUAAUAUCCGUCGGAUCGAACCCGCUUAUGGGCGUACCCGAUUCGAUUUAACCGAAUGCCAACAGGUAUAAUCGUUGUCGCAUCAUCGAUCACAAUACCGUUUUAUAACUUUCACAUUACUGACACAUUAAUAUUCAGUCAGCUAAUUAAAUAAGAUUAAGUUCGAGAUAGAAAUUAUAAUAAAUUAUAGUUUAAAAACUAAAUUAACGCAAGUUGACUUUCAGUCUUCGAUUGAUAAGUUGCAUCGCAAGUGAGCCAUUGGUAAGACUGCCGUAAAAGACCGUCUAUCGGUGCAUUAAUCACACAGAUUUCGUUUAUUAGAAUACAAAAAACGACUGCAGUACCACUUCUAUGGUUAAGUAUAUUAUUUUAGUAUCCUGUGGUUUUAUUUUUUUUCUUUUCGUCAGUACCUUUAUUAACUCUAUUUUAAAUUAUAUAUAAAAAAUUUUAAAUGCCCCAUCUAUGAUUUAUCGAGUAUUCACUUUAGUACCCUGUGGUUUUAACUUUGUCACUGAUUUAACGAAAAAAUUAGUGUAGGGAAUAACAAAAAAAAAAACCACAGGAUAUUAAGAUGAUAUAUUUUAAAGGGAUAAUUGCCUAUAUACCCCUCAUACGUUUGAAAAUAUCUGAUUUAUUCUCUUUUUUUUUUCUUUCUAAAAUAUCCCUCAUAUAGUCAUAUGUUCUACCGUUAUUGCAAAAUACCCCCGUAGUUAUCUCUUGUUAAAUUAAUUUGGGUCAAACGUGAGUUAAAUAUCUACCACAGUUAAAAAAAAUUAAAAUACCAAUUUUGCUCUUAACUUAAGGGCAAAUAAGAAAUGUUGGUGACAGUAGAGGAGUAUAUUGGAAAAGACCAAAAGUAAAAAUACUUUUUGUGCCCCUAACUUUAAGAGCAAAUAAGAAAGUCAGUGAUGGUGAAAGGAUAUAUUUGAAAGGGUAAAAUAGUAAUUUUAUUGAAAUAACAGAGUUAAUUAACAGAUUUUAACUCUAGAAGUAUAUUAGAAAUAGGUUGGAAUGUAGAAAGAGUAUUUUCAAUAUUAGCCUUCUAAGAGGGGUAAAUCGAAAAGUCGGAAACUUUUCAGAGGUUUAUAAAUAAUUACCCCUAUUUUAAAUUAUAUGCUAGUAAAGUGAGAAAACACGAAACGACAUAGAGGUAGUAUUUGAAAUUUUCCGUGACUAUUAAUUGUAUUAAGUCCAAAAAACAAUUUGACCUAGUCCAAAAGAUGCCAAACUAGUAGUAGCUCACUCCUUUUUCAUCCCUACCCAGAAGAUCUCUCUUUCAUGUUAAUUUACCAAAAUGCCCUUGCUCUCUCUGUGUCUAUAAAAGCUCUUCAAAAACUGAUCCCUUAUUCAUUCUUCUUCUUUGCUGCACUGCUACUUUUCUGCUGCUGCUGCAGAGCUGCUAUCAGUUCUCCAACAUGGUUGCAGGAUGCGUAAGCGACGAAGCGAAAUUCGCCGUCGGGCUCGACCGCCUGUGGAAGGUGCUUCGCGACGACCACGUCCACCUGCCGAAGAUGGUGCCCGACCACGUCGCGAGCGCGGAGAUCGUCGAGGGGGACGGCGGCCCCGGCACCGUCAAGAAGAUCGCCUUCACCCCAGGUUAGUAGGAGACGAAGAGCUAGGCUCCAAAUAUAAUUAUCAUAUUUGAAUUUAAUUUUUUUUUUAUUUUAUAUUUAAAAUUUUAAAUUUAAAUAGAUAACUUUUACAAUUAAAAAAUUCAAAAUUAAAAUCUAUAUUUUUAAAUCUCAAAUUUAAAAAUUUAAAGUUAUAAAUUUUAAUUUUAAAUUUUAAAUCAAAAUCUAACAAAUAUAGUUACAACUACAACAGAGAUUAGUUAGGUACACAUGUUUGGGACACUUUUAUUCUUAAAGUGUCCCAUUUAUGCUAAAACUUAAAAAAAUAUCCAUCUAAUGUCUAAAUAUAAAGCCCAAUCUAUAAAAAAUAAAAGAUUACUCAACUCAAUCCACACCCCAGUCCAUUUGCCGUGAUUCACAACAGAAAAAAAAAAAAGAAAAAUCAAUUACCAUCUUUUCUUCUCUCUUCACUCAAUUCACUAAAAUUCUAGACGAAAAGUCUUUCCUGUCGUCCUCCUCCGCCACCGCAGCCAACGAGAUAGAGUUUCGACGGUUGCUAAAUGCUUAAAUAAGCGUUGGUAAGUUAGCAGCACUCUUUUAGGUUAUAGCGACACUCUUUAACUGUCACUAUAUACCUAGCGACCCCACAUAUAGCAACACUUUUUAAAAGUGUCGGUAAUUUUAGCUAGCAGCAUUUUUUUGACAUGUACCUAUAUUUAAAAGUGUCGCUAUAGACCGUUUUUAUUAUAGCGCAUGAUAUCCAAAUUGCCAACGGGCUUUACUCAAAUGGUCAAAUUUGACAUUUAUCUUUUAGAUCUUUUAUUAUUAAAAGAAUUUCUUAAAUUUUCAAAAUUUGCUUACUUGCAACUUGUGAAUUUAUUCGCAUUUAUUGGCGCUCAGUGAAUCUAAUAUAAUAUAUACAAGUUGUUAAAUAUAUAUAUUUUUGAAUCACUUUUUAUCUAAUUUUUUUGGUCAAAUUAACGACAAUAAAUUUGUGAGACAGAUCAGAGGGGAGAUUAAUUGUUCAAACUAGUCCAUCGAUCGUUUUUAAAUGAAAAUGUAUAAUAAUAUAUAGGUUGCAUCGGGAAAUGUAUAUGGUUUCUUUUUGUCAUGGAUAAUUUAGAAUAGUACUACGCUGCAGUAAUAAUUCAAUUAUCAAAUUAAGCACCUAAUUAAGGACACGAUUAUUAUUAUCCAACAUUAAGAAUCUUACAAUUCUUUAACUUUUCCUUCGUCCAUAUAGUUUAGUUGACACCCGUAAUCAUUAUUAAUUAAUUAGUUCUUGUUAAAAAUUAUCAUCAAGUGGUUAAUUCAAUAUCAAUAUUAAUUAGUUCUUGUUAAAUGUCACGUCAGAAAAUUCUGAGUUCGAAUCUCACUUGCAUCUUAGUUUCUAUGCAGCUGCAAAGAUAGUGAUCUACGUUAAGCGCCGAUUGGUGAUGCUCGACGAAUCAAACCAUGUUUUCAAGUACGAAGUACUCGAAGGCGGCGUCAGCGAGAAGAUCAAGUCGCAGACCUUUGAGUUCAAGUUUGAGUCGACCGGCGACGUCGAAACCUGCGUGGUCAGGCUCAAGGUCGAGUACGACACCGUCGACGACGAGCCCCUCGGCGCCGAGGAGGAGAAGAAGCUCAUACAAGGGCCCUUCAUGCUGUUCAGAGGAGUGGAAGAGUACCUGCUAGCAAACCCUGGAGCUUAAGCUUUAAGCAUAAGCACUUUUGUUGGAGUUCCAAAAUGCAGUAGCUGUUAUUGUAGUGUAAUAAAGAGGUGGUUGAGUGAUGUGUUGGUCACCUCAAUAUAGUUUGUACUACGAUUCCGGACGCCGACGCAGCGGAGCUCAGCAAGUUCCUGCGUGUGGAAGUCUAAGAUGUCUUUGUGUCGUGUAUUUUCUGUUUCCUGCUCUGUUUAGUAGCGUUUUGGGUUCCUGUCCUGUUUUGAUAUUUCGUAUUCUCAGCUGGAAUGUUCGUGGUCUAAACGAUCCGGUUAAGCAUCGUAGUGUCAAAUUUGUUGUGUCCUCCCUCUUUGGGUCCGUUUUAUGCUUCCAAGAAUCUAAAGUGGAUUCGGUGUCUCGAUCUUUCCUUCGGUCUUUUUGCGGAUCCAACUUCGACAAAUGCCACUUCAUCCCGGCAAUCGGGGCCUCCGGUGGUCUAAUUACUUGCUGGAACUCCAAUCUCUUCUCUUGCGGCGAGGCUAUAGUGCGCGAUCGCUCUAUCACGCUUUACCUAACCCACCUCGCCAGUGGUAAAGGCUUCCACCUCACGAAUGUUUACGGGCCUCCAUCCUGGGACGGCAAGGAAGACUUCUGCACCGAGCUUAUCUCUCUUAAAGAGUCAUGCACCGACAACUGGGUCAUCUACGGUGACUUUAACUUCACCAAAAACCAAUCUGAAAGAAGAGGAAAUCUGUGGAGUUCGAGGGCUAUGACCAUGUUCACUGAUCUCAUCAACAACCUCGCUGUUAUCGAUCUACUUCUUGCCAACCAAGACUUUACUUGGUCAAACAUGCAACGCCCUCCCACCUUGGCCAAACUCGACAGAUUCCUCGUAUCCACGGAAUGGGACCAAUCCUUUCCGCUGUGUAAAGUCAAAACCCUCCCCCGCAUCACCUCCGACCACACCCCAAUUAUCCUCUCCACGAAAUCUCAACGCCCCCCGCCUAGAUUCCGGUUCGAAAAGGUUUGGCUCACCAAGGAGGAUUUCAUCACCAACGUCCCCAUCUGGUGGAAUGAAGUUCCCCCCAAGCGCUCUGCAAUCCUAACUAUAUCCGCCAAACUUCGGCACUGCAGAGCACGCAUCAAAGAAUGGUGCAAGACGAGCUUCUACAGCAUCUCCAACACCAAAAAGGCUUUGCUAGACGAACUCCAAGCCAUAGACCGGCUUGAGGAACAUAUGAGUUUACCUGACGAAAUGGUGGACAAGCGAACUCGCCUGAAAACCAAUUUGCAACGCAUCCUAUUAGAGGAAGAAAUCAUGUGGAAAACUAGAUCUAACCAACGUUGGUUAAGGGAAGGCGAUUGUAACACCAAAUUCUUCCAUGCGGUGGCAAAUGGAAGGACACGUUUGAACACGAUUGAUGUCAUUGAAGAUGAUUGUGGGCGGCAAAUCUCGAACGAAGAGCACAAGAGAUCAUAUUUCUUCCAAAAAUUUCAACAGUUGUUUGGGCAGGCGGAUGAGCAACACACACCGCCCGAAAACUGGUCUGGCCUUUACAGCUCCAACAGACUUCCCAACCCGGAUCUCCUCACGACCUCGUUUACCCUGGAAGAGGUUAAGACAGCCACCUUUCAGCUUGGCAGUGAUAAAGCCCCUGGGCCAGAUGGCUUCCCACUUCUUUUCUUCCAAACCUUCUGGGAAUCAAUCAAGAGGGACAUUUUCAACGUCUUCGUUGAUCUCCAGAAUAACCUGCUUUCAACUGGCCCGGUUGACUACUCCUUCGUGUGCCUUAUUCCCAAAAAGGACGGAGCACGCAAGGUCAAUGACUUUCGACCGAUCAGCCUUAUUAACGGCAUCCAGAAAAUUAUCUCCAAAGUCCUUGCCAACAGAUUAGCGAGUGUUCUACCGUCCAUCAUCUCCCAUUCACAAUCAGCUUUCCUAAAAGACCGUCUUAUGUUAGAUUCUUUCGUUACUGCAUCUGAACUCGUGAAUUGGUGCUCAAAAACUGGCAAGGAAUGCGUAAGCAUUAAGGCAGAUUUCGAAAAAGCAUUCGACAACGUCGAUGGUCUUUUCUUCAAAGUAUUUUACGUUGGCUAGGCUUCAGUGAUAAAUGGAGGGCCUGGAUCGAACAGUGUACCCCUUGGCUUAAAGCUAGAAAGGGCCUUCGGCAAGGGGACCCCCUCUCCCCCUACCUUUUUCUACUAGUGGCUGACUGCCUAGCUAGGAUGACGGAAGUAGCUAGGGGGAACAACCUAAUUGUCGGCAUCGGGCCGACACCGGAAUGCGAGACCACACUCAUCCAAUACGCCGACGACACUAUUUUCUUUUGCGAGCCCACGAAACGCAUUAUACGUAACCUUCUAUUUAUCUUGAAACUGUUCGAAUGGGUCUCUGGGCUCAGGAUCAACAAGGACAAAUCGGAACUUUACUACCUUGGCCCCAACCCAAGUAAAGGUGUCAGACUAGCUUCCAUCUUAGGAUGCAAAGCUGGAAGCCUACCGUUUCGAUACCUGGGCAUCCCUCUCUACAACAAGCAGAUUCGAAAGGAAGACUGGGAUCAGAUAGUCAAUCGUAUCGAAGCAAGAAUCAAUGGUUGGAAAGCUAAACUCCUCUCACAAGGAGGAAGACUGACCCUGGUCAAUUCUGUCCUUACCAGCCUGCCACUCUUCUACCUCUCCACCUUUAAAGCCCCAUGAUGGGUUCUGCACCGUAUUGAAUCUUUGAGAAGAGCCUUCUUCUGGAGAGGAUGCUCUGUUGUUUCCGGGGGCGCCUGCUUCGUCAAUUGGAGAACCGUAUGCAGAAACAAGGACGAUGGCGGGCUAGGGAUCAAAGAUUUGGAGUCCAUGAAUCAGGCCCUCCUAUCUAAAUGGUGGUGGCGCUUCUUUUAUAAGCCACACCUACUCUGGUGCAAAUUGAUAAGAUGCCUCUAUUACACUAGACGUAGGCCGUUGCGUGAGGGUUCAGCCUUUGUCCCGUUCUCCCAGUGGUGGAAAAGCGUUCUCCGCUGCAGACAUUUGUUCAAGUGCGGAUUAUCUUUCAACCUAGGUGACGGUACCACCAUCAGGAUGUGGACAGAUAUCUGGAUUGGAGAAGCCCCGCUAAGUACCUUAUUCCCAACCAUCUUUGCUAACAUUAGGAAUAAGGAGGUCAGGGUUUCGCAAUGUUGGAACUCUAACGGAUGGAGAUGGCGCUUUAUCUGCAGAGGUUUCGCGACGCGCCGACCCAACACCAACCGUACACAAUUUGCACAAUUCAAAGAACUGCUCCUUUGCUUCUGCCCCAGGAACUGCCCGGACCAACCCAGAUGGCGGUGAGCACCUAACCAAUUAUUCUCCGUCAAAUCCCUCUACACAUUCAUUGACAACACCGGUCUCAAGGACACGGUGUUCCAUCAUAUAUGGACCUUAAAAAUCCCGACCAAAAUCAAAGUAUUCAUGUGGAUCUUACUCCGUAAGAGACUACCCACCACUGACAGACUGCUUACUCGUGGGAUGCAGAUCGACGACCACUGCAUUUACUGUGCUUUUGCCUUGGAAACCUGCAAUCAUCUCUUCUCCAACUGCAUCUUCACGCGAUUCUUACUCUUUAAGGCGGGGGUACACGCCGACGAUAUUGACUGUGUCCGGGCACUUUGGACCUCUUCAACAACAAUUAUCGGCACAGUUCAAAGAACCAAGGCCUUAACCUCCCUGGUGACUACUUGGUGGGUUGUCUGGACGGAAAGAAACAAUCUCAUUUUCAGAACAACGUCUCCUAAUGCCACCCGAGCUCUGGAGCGGGCUUUUCUUCUUACAAAUUUGUGGCCUAAUUCUCCGACGUUACCCUCCGCGCACCACCGUUUUUAAUCCUUUCUCCUUUUUUCCUAUUUUUGGUUUUCCUUUGGUAUUUUCUUGGUUUCUUUUUCUCUGAUUUCUUCUUUUCUUGUUUUGUUCCUCUUCUUGCUUUUCUUUUGCCCCGGAAGCCCUGGCUGCUUCCAUACUAUUUGCCUAGCUCACUUAUCAAUGAAUGAAGCAGGUAGCUCGUCUACCUCUUUCUCAAAAAAAAAAAAGAUAUUUCAUUGGAUAAAUAGCAUUUUGGUGCUUGAAAUGCAAGACGUGUUGUCGGAUCGUUGACGCUAAUCAUUAAUCGUAAAAGCUCGAAUUAGAAACAAUAUACAAUCAAUUCAUUUGAGCGUACAGACACAGUAUCCACAAAUCUAAAUUAUGACUAAACCCAACCAAUCUCGCAUCACUUUAAACAUGACUCAGCCCAACCCGAUCUCCCAUAAUUUCGAACAUAACUUGAUCCAACCUGGCCUCCCACUAUAUAUAUAACAGGAUGCUAGCCUCUUUAAACCAACACGCGUGUUUUAAACCAACACGCGUGAUAUUUUAAUUUAGUAUAAUUUUUUUUCUGCUUAAAUUAUAUAGAUUUUGUGUUAUUAAGUUCUAUUGUCCAAUUCGAUGGCACUAAAAUGAAUGAUUAAAUUGAUGGACCUUAUAAAAAUAAAAUAAAGGAUAAAAUUCUUAAAAUCAACAUUAGAAUUGCAAAACCUAGUCCAUAGAUAAUUUAAAAGCCUUUUAUAAAAAAAAUUAAUUACUUUUACACCAUUAAUUUAGAAAUCAAAAGAUAUUGACAUUUAAAAAUUUGCUAGAUUUAACCACUUAAUCACUCGAUAAAUAAUAUGAAAAAUUAUGAAAUUUACUUCACAUGAAAUUUUAGUACCUAAGAUUAUGUUGUGCAAAUUCGAAUGCCAAUUCAUAUACCCUACUAAGAAAAAUAAAAUAAAAUUACUAAAAUUCUUAAUUUUUAAAAUCUAGGGCUAAAUUAUUAAAAAAAAAAUUCUUACACUUUAGCCCUAGUCUCAAUUACCUCACAGUAUUAAAAAUUAUAUUGAAUAUCACCCUAUAAUUUGCCAUCAUCUCAAACAGGUCCAAAAAAUAUUAACUGGCUAACUUUUCCUCAUCCUUUUAUAUGAUAAUAAGUGUAAAAAUUUUUAAUAAAAUAAAUAAAAAAAUUGAGAUACUCAUAUGAAGCUAUUGCCUUUCGAUUAAACGAACAACGAUUUAAAAAAAAAAAAAAAAAAAUCAUAUGAAGCUCACUUUAACUAAAAGUUCCACAUUUUGUAGAUUCGAGAAUGGUCUACAGGAGACGUGGUGGACCGGGUUCACGCAACCAUUAUUUUAUAAAUUACUCGGACGCAACGGCUAUUUUUUCCCACCCUCAUUAAUGAGGCAGCAACCGACCGUUGAGAUUCAAAAAUCGUUAAAAUCGUCGCAUCCAUUCCUCUCUAUGGACGGCCCAGAUUACUCGACCGUUGUGAUUCGAAUAUUUCCCCUACCUUUUCACAAAAACGAAGAAAAAAAAAGGGUAAAAAAAAAAAAGAAAAAAGGAAAAGUCAAACCCAACCGUUGGUGUCAAAAAUUCAAAUCCCAUCCAACGUUCCAAAAACUCCAUUUGUCCCCUUCAAAACCCCUCAACAACAACAACAACAUGUAAAAAUCAAUUUUUUUUUUCCAAUUUCCUCUUCAAUUUCCCCAUUUGAGCACCAAUCACAAGCCAUAAAAAUCGCUCCUUGUAGCGCAAAAUUGCUUCUUUUAGCAGCAAAAACGCCAUGGCUAGGAGAAGCUCUUCCCCGGCUGCUUCUCCGGUCACCAUCACCGUCUCCGCAACCGACGGCGGCGGAGGCGACGGCGGCGGCGGCAGCGGCGGCGCUCUGCGGCGGAGCAUCGGCCUCGCGAGCCCGAUCCCCCGCCGCUCCCUCAACCCCAACUCCCCUUCUAUGUGUGCAAGGAGGUACCUUUCCGCCUCGAAAGCCGAGGCCGAGGCCGAGGCCGAUGUUGACGCUGAUGCCGCGACGGUGAGCUCCUCCGAAUUCGUCCGCUACACCGUCCACAUCCCCCCGACCCCCGACCGCCACGCGUCGUCGGGACCCGAGGAUCCCCCACCAGAUCGGAGCUACAUCUCGGGGACGAUCUUCACAGGGGGGUUCAAUUGCGUCACCCGGGGCCACGUCGUCGACCGCCCCUCCCCGCCCCACCCCCGCGGCUCCGCCGUGUUGCCGCUCUGCAAGAUGAGGGGCUGCGACGGCCCCGCCUUCUCGAACCCCCCGUGCGAAUGCGGGUUUGCGAUAUGCAAGGAGUGCUACGAGGAGUGCGUCGAUGGCGGCGGACAUUGCCCGGGUUGUAAGGAGCUUUACAACACUCUAAGUGACGAGGACGAAGAGGAGAUCGAGGAGGAGGAGGCGGCGGCGGCGCUGCCGUUGGCGUCGAUGAAGGAUUUGAGGGGCGGAGGGGGCGCGGGGAAGUUGUCGAUGAUGUGCUCGACGAAGAUCCCCAACGGCGGUGGCGGCGGUAGCAAGGGCCCGUCGGAUUUCGAUCACAGCCGGUGGUUGUUCGAGACGAAGGGGACGUACGGCUACGGGAACGCGGUGUGGCCCAAAGACAACGGCGGGCACUGCGGCGGCGCGGGCGCGGGGUUUAAGGGGUUCGAAGAGCCGCCCAAUUUCGGCGGCAAGUGUCGGCGGCCGCUCACGCGGAAGGUCGGGGUCUCGCAAGCAAUUCUCAGCCCCUACAGGUACUCUGAUCAGAAAAGAAUUUCUAAAGAUAGAAUCGUUUCAGAAAAAUUUUGUCGAAUUCGGUGAAAUUUUGCUCAUUCUUAUCAACAGAUUUUAAGAAUUGCAUUUCAAAAUGGAGCAUGAUUCUCAGAAUGAUUAUGAACUUUGCUUCAAUUUGAGAAGUUUCUCUGGAUCUGAACUAGUAAAAGAGUUUCAUUUUCUAUCUGAUCUUCUUCUUCAGGUUGUUGAUUGUUAUCCGGCUCGUCGCGCUCGGCUUCUUCCUCAUGUGGCGGAUGCGGCACCCGAACCGCGAGGCGGUGUGGCUGUGGGGGCUGUCGAUCGCCUGCGAGACGUGGUUCGCCUUCUCGUGGCUCCUGGACCAGCUCCCGAAGCUCUGCCCGGUGAACCGGGCCGCCGACCUGGCGGUGCUCAGGGACCGGUUCGAGUCCCCCAGCGCCCGCAACCCCAAGGGCCGGUCCGACCUCCCGGGCGUCGACGUGUUCGUCUCCACCGCCGACCCGGACAAGGAGCCCCCCCUCGUCACCGCCAACACCGUCCUCUCGAUCCUCGCGGUCGACUACCCCGUCGAGAAGCUCUCUUGCUACUUAUCCGACGACGGGGGCUCGCUCCUCACCUUCGAGGCCUUGGCGGAGACCGCCAGCUUCGCAAGGAUCUGGGUCCCCUUCUGCCGCAAGCACGACAUCGAGCCGCGCAACCCCGACGCCUACUUCGGGCAGAAGCGCGACUUCCUGAAGAACAAGGUGAGGCUCGACUUUGUGCGGGAGAGGCGCAAGGUGAAGAGAGAGUACGACGAAUUCAAGGUGCGGAUCAACUCGCUGCCCGAGUCGAUUCGGAGGCGGUCGGACGCGUACAACGCGCACGAGGAGCUGCGCGCGCGGCAGAAGCAGCAGCAGAUCGCGGGGAACUUCGCCGCCUCACCUUCGUCGGAGCCGAUUAGAGUUGCGAAGGCAACUUGGAUGAGUGAUGGGUCUCACUGGCCUGGGACUUGGCUUUCACCUGAUGCAGAUCAUUCAAGGGCUGAUCAUGCAGGAAUCAUUCAGGUAGUUUGAUCCAUCUACAAUGUAUCAAAUUUUUCGAAUUCAAAACCAAAUUUCCCUGUGAAUCGAAUACGAAACCGCAAUUCAGAGUCUUGUUGAUCUUAACUUUGCUACAAAAAUUGAGUCCUGAUUCAGAAUGUUGAUUCUAUUUUUCCAUGCUGAUACCAACAGGCAAUGCUUGCUCCCCCGAGCUCCGAACCCGAAAUCGGCGCCGAAGCGGACGAGAACAACCUCAUCAACACGUCCGGCGUGGACAUAAGGCUGCCGAUGCUGGUCUACGUCUCGCGCGAGAAGAGGCCCGGGUACGAUCACAACAAGAAGGCCGGAGCUAUGAACGCGCUCGUCCGGACGAGCGCGAUCAUGUCGAACGGCCCCUUCAUCCUGAAUUUAGAUUGUGAUCACUACAUUUACAACUCCUUGGCUCUCCGCGAGGGCAUGUGCUUCAUGCUCGACCGAGGCGGCGACCGGAUUUGCUAUGUUCAGUUCCCGCAGAGGUUCGAGGGGAUUGAUCCGAACGAUCGGUACGCAAACCAUAACUUGGUGUUCUUCGACGUCACGAUGCGAGCCAUGGACGGUCUGCAAGGCCCGAUGUAUGUCGGCACCGGUUGCGUGUUCCGUCGGACCGCGCUCUACGGGUUUAGCCCUCCGCGCGCCACGGAGCACCGCGGUUGGUUCGGUCGGAAGAAGAUCAAGCUCUUCUCGCGGAAGCCGACGAUGGGGAAGAAGAGUGACCGCGUCGACGAAAUCGUGCUGCCGCAGAUCGGCGACGUCGAGAGCGAAGACGGGGAUGUCGAAUCGUCUGCCGCACUUCUGCCGAAGAGAUUCGGGAGCUCGGCGAUUCUGCUGGCGUCGAUACCGGUGGCGGAGUACCAAGGGAGGCUGCUCCAGGACCUGCCGGGGGUCCGCCACGGCCGGCCCGCGGGCGCGCUGGCGGUCCCGCGGGAGCCGCUGGACGCCGCGACCGUCGCGGAGGCCAUCAGCGUGAUCUCGUGCUUCUACGAGGACAAGACCGAGUGGGGCCGCCGCGUCGGGUGGAUCUACGGGUCGGUCACCGAGGACGUGGUCACCGGGUACAGGAUGCACAACCGCGGGUGGCGCUCGGUGUACUGCGUCACGAAGAGAGACGCCUUCCGCGGGACCGCCCCGAUCAACCUAACCGAUCGGCUGCAUCAGGUGCUCCGCUGGGCCACGGGCUCGGUCGAGAUCUUCUUCUCGCGGAACAACGCGCUCUUCGCGUCCCGAAGGAUGAAGUUCCUGCAAAGGGUGGCUUACUUCAACGUCGGCAUGUAUCCGUUCACGUCGAUCUUUCUUCUGGUCUACUGCGUCCUCCCCGCGGUUUCCCUCUUCAGCGGCCAGUUCAUAGUUCAAUCACUGAGCAUCACUUUCCUGAUCUUUCUACUGGCGAUAACGGUCACGCUGUGCUUGCUCGCGUUGCUCGAGAUCAAGUGGUCGGGGAUUACGCUGCACGAGUGGUGGCGCAACGAGCAGUUCUGGGUGAUCGGCGGGACGAGCGCGCACCCGGCCGCGGUCCUGCAGGGGCUGCUAAAAGUGAUCGCGGGGGUCGACAUAUCCUUCACGCUGACAUCGAAGCCCGCGGCGGAUGAGAACGACGACGCCUUCGCGGAGCUCUACGUCGUGAAGUGGAGCUUCCUGAUGGUGCCCCCGAUCACGAUCGUGAUGAUCAACGCGAUCGCGAUCGCGAUGGCCGUGGCCAGGACCAUGUACAGCGAGUUCCCGCAGUGGAGCAAGCUGCUCGGAGGGGUGUUCUUCAGCUUCUGGGUGCUGUGCCACCUCUACCCCUUCGCGAAAGGGCUCAUGGGGCGGCGCGGGAAGGUGCCGACGAUCGUGUUCGUGUGGUCGGGGCUGAUUUCGAUUGUUAUUUCCCUCCUUUGGGUCUACAUUAGCCCUCCUGCAGGUGUGAGAAAGGACUACAUGAAUUUCCAGUUUCCAUGAUCAGCAAAACAGCAGUAGAAAACAGCAGCAGCAGUAAAAAAGCAUUUCAUGUUUGUUAUAUACACUUGUUUUGUACUCUUUUUUUUUUGGAUUUGUUGAUGAUCUAUCUAUCUACAUGAAGAUCUGCUUCAUGUAUGUGGUCAUUUCUGCUUGUUUUUCUGCAAACUUAAUCAUGUAAUGUGUUCUAAUUGUUGUUCAGAUUCAGAUAGUUUUAGAUUUCAGAUGUUAGAGAUUCUGAUUUUAAGUUUCGAAAUUAGCUGCAAAAUGUUGAAUCUGUUGUUCAGUUCUGCAUUGAGAUUUCUACAGGAAACUCACUUCCCAGUUCAUCUGAGAGUAGCAGAAAGCAAAAAGUUCUUGCUGCAGGGCUCACAAAUUGAACUGAAAAACAGUUUUCUGCUUGUUUGUUUCGCUUUACUGAGAAUUUCCACAGAAAACUCAUUUUACAGUUCAUCUGAGAGUAGCAGAAAGCCAAAAAAAAGUUACAGCUCGAAUCGACGGGCCGUAGCCGCUGCUUCGCAAUGCAGCCUCUUCAGUGGCUGAGCAAUAAAAGUUUAAGAAAAGCUCUUGCGAAACACAAACAAGUAAGAGUCCGAAUGUUUGUUCCUUUCCAAGUUCUUACAUAAAUUCACCGCAAAUGAAAAGGAAUACGAAACACGACUAUAGUUCUCAUUUUUUUCUAUUAAAGGAGCAACAUAUAUGGGUAUGUAAAGCGUCGAGCUACUUCUACACCAUGGCGUGCUCCUGCGUCCACGACCGCGCGGUCGACUCAUACUUGGCUCGGUCGGUCUUGUACAUGUGGGCAAUCUCCGGAACCAAGGGAUCGUCGGGAUUCGGGUCCGUCAGAAGCGAGCCGAUGGAUAGUAGAACCUGAGGUUUCAAAUUUUAAACCACAUUUAUUAUAUUUUAGUAAGAAAAAGUAUUCGGGUUUUCACACCAUUCGUUUCUCCAGAAAAUAUCCCAGAUAACAGUUUUCUGGCUCGAAAAUCAUUUUCCGUCUGUUUGGUUCCUAAAAACCCUACUUUCCCUAAAAAAGGUUUUUUUUCCGGAUUUCAUAGAAAACUAGUGUAUUUGUCUUCCGAAUUUUUUAUCCAACACCCCUCGACUAAUCUCAAACUUUCACCCAACCAUCCGAUUCCCUAGUCAGAGAAAAUGCCGCCACUUGAAGGACGGUAACGAAUGAAACAUGAGAAAAGAUCGAGGGUGGCAGUGCUAGUAAAAUAUUUUUUGUUUCCACUAACAGUAAAUGUGGACUGGGACCGAAAAUGAAAAUGGUACAAAAUUCGAAGAGAAUCAAAAAGAGAAUCUCACCCUAGAGAGAGUCAGAGCAGGGCUCCACUGAUUCUCGAGGAUGUCAACCUUGAUGUUCCCUUCGCUAUCGAUAUUCGGGUGAAAAACUUUAGUGCGGAAAACGACCUGGAAAACGAGAUGAAAUUGUAGUUGCGCCGAAAAACAUGUUGCCACAAAGAAGUUCAUUAAUAGCAUGAUCUGAUAUGCAAAGCCCUACAACAAGACCUAGCAAAGAAAGUACGAUUUAAUUCGACGAAUGAUUUUCUUAAGCCACUUAACUAUCACAUUUUCUUGUUUUUGACAUAAGGUCUUUGCCUUCAGAUUUUUUUUUUUUUUUCCUUCUUUUUUUUGGUUGCCUAUUAUCUUUCGCGUUUGCAUAUAUUUGGGAGCUUUUCGUCUAUUUUUAAAGAUAACUGUUACUUCAACUCUUAAAUACGGUAGAGAAUACAAUUGAGGCAUUCAAUUAUCUGCAGACGGUGUUUACAAUCUGUGCUUAUGCCGAACCAACAAAUAUUGCCUACGAUACAACGUACUUACGCCGGCAGUUCCACCAAAUUGUCGCAAUAAACCAUCACCGACGAGAAUCAAGCCCAUGCCCACAGCAUAAGCUACGUGUUAUGUGUUUAGUAAAGCAAAAUCCGAAAUCAGAACCAAAAAAUUGAUGCCCAAAUGAUCGCAAGAAGCUAUUAAAGCGCGUAAUCGUACGAAAGCUAAAAUGACAACCGCUACCUUCGGUGGCAUGAACGGAUAAUCAGGCGGGAAGUGCAUAUCCACAAGAAAAAUACCGCCAGCGAAGGGGCUAUUGUCAGGUCCUAUUAUGCACCCUUGCCAGAUAAACAGGUCGUCGUCAGUAACAGGACCUACAUCAAAAAAACAAAUCAAAAUCCUUCAUAAGCUGGAAAUUUUGCUUUUCAUUUACCAAGUGAGACUAGUAAUAACAGUUACAAUGAAGAAAGCAAACUCAAGAACUAGCGCGCGAAGUUAGAUUAAAAAACUUACCCAUCAUAUAGCAGAAUACUUCAUAAGAUUACGUAAUAUUCUACCAAAAGAACUUAAAAAUUACUGGUAAAUUUUGAUCGACGCAUGCUAAUCAAACAUAUUAUAACAUUAGGUAGUUUGAAAGCAUCAAAAUUUUAGAAGUCGAGAUACCCAUACACUUUUACCUAAAAACUAACCUGCACUGCAAGAACCGGGGGGAUCAAUCAGCAAAUCCUUCCACUCCUUCCGAAUCCUCCUCACACGGAGGGGAUCAACCGACCAAUCCUUCCGCACCUCCAGAUUCCUCUUCGACGCCAUAAAUUAGAAACCGAAACACUCGACUAAAAAGCAAAUCCCUGCAACCCCAAAACAGUUAGCUUGCAAUUACCAAUUAAUGAUUACAUAAGCAUACAAAAACUAAAACUGGGGGAAUGUAUCAAGUUCACAACAUCUUCCAAGUUAUAUUUGGCCCGUACACCAAAAAGAAAAAAAUAUUUAUUACAACUGAUAAUUAGGAAAAUGUCUUCCUAAGUUUUAAUCGGUCCUACCGUUGGCUAUUUAUUAUUGACUAAAAUAGGUCCCACUUACUGCCCGGUAAUAAUAGACCCAGAAGAUUAAUAAGUUGAGUUGGAUGAACCCAAUAAGUUAAGUGGAGCUCUGAUCCGCAAUAGACUUAACAGCAAAAGGCCCAACAAUAGACCUGGGGUCCAGAUGGAUUGAGUCAGGUCAAAGCCCGUGAGCGCUGUGAUUGAGCCCUUAAGUGCGAUGAGUGUGCCCUUCCUAUCAGCGCGUACUUUUGAAUAGUUGGCCAGCGCUUACGAUCCAGACCUACGUCUAUAAUCAAACUCGCAAACUUGAACUAGGCAAACACAUAGCAUAACCUUGCAAAGAUUGGAAAUUGCGGAUUUUCCCACUAUAAAUCCAAAGUUCCAAAAUGUGUUCCAAGUUUCAGUUAGUCCUCACAUCUAGAUCCUACAACAAAAUUAAACUUAAAACUUCCCAUAAAUAAUUAAGAAAAUGGCUUCUUAGUUUUUCUUGGCCCCUACAUCAAUAUCGAACUCGGAACAUAAACUAUACAAAUAUACAUAAACUACGCAAACGUAAACUAUGCCACCUAAGUUUUAAUUAAUUCUUACAUAUAGAUCUCUAAUUAUGAACAAAAAAAACCAAACAAAUUGAAAAAAUAUAUAUAUAUAUAUAUCAAAUUAUUUAUACCAACAACUAAGAAAUGUCACCAAAGUUCAAACUGGUCCUCACAUCUUUAUUAUCAGAUUCUGAAACAUAAAUUAAAUCUAAUUAACGCAUUAAUUGAACUAAGAAUUUUGAUGAAAAACUAUGAUUCCAUCUAUGUGGUAACCAAACAAAAGCCAACUUAAACCUUAAUUUUUUUUGAAAAAAAAAGGGUUUAAUUGGUCCUACAUCAUAAUCAAACUCGGAAACUUAAACUAGCAAAUUUGUGAAUUUUUCCCUACAAAUCCAAAGUUUUAAUUGGUCCUUACGUCAAUCUAUAUAAUUAAAUUCCUCAAAUUCCAAGAUAUAUUUACCAGAUCAAUGUAACAAAAUUAAAAUCGGAAAAAAAAAAAUCUAGGUAAUACAUAAAAAAUAAGAAUUUUAAGCCAAAAAAUUGAGAAAAGAGAGAGGUGAGAAAUGAUAUUACCUGAAACCCAGCAUCCACUUCGUCUCCCCACUUCCGCCCCACCCCGACUCCCAUUUUAUUCCCAUCACUUCCAUUUUCGGCAAAAACGCUAACCCUAACCCUAACCCUAGUUUGCUCCAAGUUCUCGAGUCCUUUGCGUUGUACUCGCUCGGAAAGGAACCAGAGCUGGUGUUGGAAGCUCCCGUAAAUGGCAUCGUCGCACCGCCUUUCCCCUUCGAGCACCACCCUUUCCCCUUCCAGGCGAAAACCCUAACCCUAACCCUAACCCUAACCCUAAUAUUCGCCAACGAGCUACGACGUUGCUCUUGGAGUUGGAGGGGGCAAUUUUGUAAGAAGACCCCUCAAUUCUUUUAAAGGGAAAAGGGCUUUUUUUGCAUUUAGCACCUGGCAAAUUUUUAUUUUAAAAAUAGCCUUAUUAAAAUUUAAUUUACAAAAAUCGCCCUAGGCCUGCCACACAGGCACCACACAAGCGCCACGCGGGCGGGGUUUGAGAGUGGUAGUUAAGUUAAACACGAUGAACCAUUCACCUUAUCUAAACACGGUGAAUGGUAUUCACCGUGUCUAAACAUGGUAAAUGGUUCACCGUGUUUAGUACGUAUAAAGAGGAAUAGGAAAUUUGUAUUUCUUUCCUUCUCUUUUUCAAAAAUCCAAACCCGAACCCGAAAAUCAAAUUAAAAUCAAAACCCGAAUCCGAACCCGACGGAUUUUAAAAAUUCAUACCCAUAUCCAUAUCCGACCAAACGGGUUUUAAAAAUCUAUACUGUUGGAUGAAGAUCUAAGAAAUAAAAAUUAUUAAAUAUUUUAUAUAUUGUAUAAAUAAAUAAAAAUAAAUUAUGUAUAUAUAUAUAAUUUAUAUGGGUUUGGAUUCGGAUAAUAUUUCGGAUAUCCAUACCUAUUGACAUCCCUACUCCCUAUUCCUUUUUUCAAUAUACAAAAAAUACGUACUAAACAUGGUGAAUGGUUCACCGUGUUUGAACACGGUGAAUGAUUCACCGUGUUCAAUGCCCGCGUGGCGCUGACGUGGCGCCUGCGUGGCAAGCUCAGGGACAUUUUUGCAAAUUAAAUUUUGACGGGGCUAAUUUUAAAAUAAAAAUUUGCCAGGGGCUAAAUACAAAAAAUGUCCAAAUAUUAGAGAUGUCAAUGGGGCGGAUUCAUGGCGGAUUUUCAAAAAUCCAAACCCGAACCCAACUCCAAACCCAAGACCCGAGAUCCGAACCCGAACCCGAACCCGACGGAUUUUAAAAAUCCAUAUCCAAACCCGAACCCGACGAAAAAUCCGAAACCCGAACCUGAACCCGAACCCGAACCCGAACCCGAAAAUUUGAACCCGAAACAAUUAAAUUUUUUUCAAUAUUUCAAAAUAUAUUAUAUUAAAUCUAAAUUUUUAAAAUACAAAUUCAAAUAUAGUAUCAAAUUUUUAUAUACAUAUUAUAUAUAAUGUAAAAUAAAUUCAGGUUCGGGUCGGGUUCGGGUUCGGAUCGGAUACAGUCAAAAUCCAUAUUCGAAUCCAUAUCCGUCAGGUUUCUAUUUUUGAUAUUCAUAUCUGAAUCCAUAUCCAUUUCAUCGGAUAUAUCCGUUUCAUUCGAGUUCGGAUAAAAUUUUGGGUAUCCAUACGCAUUGACAUCCCUAGAAAAUAUGCAGAAGUUAUAAGAACUGUGGAUCAUUUUAAAUCGAGUAUCCAAUCUUUCAAAUUAUUUGAUUUAAGUACUUAGGCCUCAAAAUUUUAAACUAAUUACUUACUUUAAUAAAUUUUACAAUAAAUCGACGCACUCAAAUUUCGAAAUUAAAGUGUUGUUAAUUGAUUUAAAUCAAAGUAAUUAAAAAAUUGGGUAGCAAAAUUAAAAUUUUGAAAAGUUGGUACCAAACUCAAAAAAGUCCAGUUUAGAUAAAUUAUGUACUAUUUUAUCUCUUUCUAAUUGAAUUUAAUUGCAACAAAACCACUCGAACUUUUACCCAUUUACAAAAACUAGCCAUUUAAAUUUUAAAAAAAUUUAUAUUUACCAUUGAAACUUUAAAAUCGAUCAUAGAUAUUAUAUUUAUUUUUUAAAACUCAAAUGUUAUGAUUUAAUUUCUUUAUUAGAUUAAAUUUUGCAUAAAAAAAGGAACUUUUAUUUUUGCGGCAUGCGUUUUUUAUUAUUUUUCGACUAUUCACUUUAUAUUAAUGGAAUAUAAACAAUAAAAUUUUAAAAGUUUGGAUGAGGAAGAUGAAAAUUUUGAAAUAAAUGUUUCUACGUGCAAAUAUAUGAAAGUUUGGGUGAUUUUUUAUAAUUAAUUAAGUUAAAAAUUUAAUUAAAUGUAACAUCUUAAUUUGCUCCCUGUAAUUUGUCUAGUUUUAUUUAUGGCUAAAUUACAGAAAACUCUCUUGUAAUAAUCCGAUUUUUCACUUUUUCCCCCUGACAUUUAAAAACCUACACUUUGCCCCCCUGUAAAAUGAAAAAUGUUCACAGGGGGGUUACGGUGUGUAACAUGACCAUUUUGCCCCUCACCAUUGUCGUCUUCUUCCCCAUCUUCCUCAGCCGCCCCUUCGUUCGGCCGCGAUUCCCAUCUCAAUCGUGCGUGAUUUCUCUCCAUUUCCUUCUCCACCUGCUCCCCUUCUCCUCCUGUACCCUCGCCGCUCUCGAUUUCGGCGACAGUAGAAGAAAACCGAGGUGGGCGACAGUAGGAGAAGGGCAAAGAAGGCGAAGGCGAGGCGGCGGAGGACGGCGAAAGGGAUGUGGGUGAGGGCGAGGCAGUGGAGGACGGCGAGGCGGCUAAGCGGCGAGGCGGCGAGGCGGCGGCAAGGUGGCGAGCCGGAGGGAGGCGAAGCAACAGGGAGAUGGCGGAGGGGUAUUUUCGGCAUAAAUAUAUAUUUUUUAACGGAACCCUAAUGGUAGGGGGUGAAGUGCACAUUUUUUAUUUUAUAGGGGGGCAAAGUGUAGGUUUUUAAAUGUCAGGAAGGAAAAGUGAAAAAGGGGUUAUUACAAAGGGGUUUUCUGUAAUUUAGCCUUUAUUUAUUAAAAAGUGAUGGAAGUUAUUAAAUUUGAUAAAUUUAACAAAGUAUUUAAUAAAAUCCCUAGUUUUGUUGUCUAAAAUCACUUGAUUCAUUAAAAAAAAAAAAAAAAAAAAAUUAAAGAGUUGAGGGGUUGUCAAAUGAAAGUGGAGGGGUCUGUUUAAGAAUCGUCUACAGUUGAGGGGGCCUACAUACAUUUUCACCUUAUUUAAUUUUUUUUUAUUUAGGAUAAACUUCAAUUUGCCCCUCUAUGAUUUGGCUCAAUUUUAUUUUACCACCCUAUGAUUCAUAAAAUUACACUUAACUGUUCUGUAAUUUUAUCUUUAAUUAGCUUAUUUGCAUUCAAUUUAAAUAAUCAGUUCAAAUCAAAUUUAAAUUAAAUCUAUUUAAAUUAAUUUAUAAAAUAGUUUGCCUUUAGGAUUUAAUUUGCAUAACCCGCUUACACAUAACUAAAACCUAAAGCCAGGGACUUAUGGCCUCAAAUUUUAGCACACACAGAGGCUCGAACCCUGACAUUUGACGGAACCCUGACAUUUGACAGAUCACCGUACACAUUACAACCAGAGUAGUAUAAUCAAUUAUUCUUAACUAAAAAUAAUCGACUCCAGUUGAAUUAUACCUCUGAUCAGCACUACUCAAAUAAUACUUCUGCCAAAAACUCCAGACCCAAAAAAAAAAAAAAAUCAUAAGAUCCAAUAACACNUUGAUAAAUUUAACAAAGUAUUUAAUAAAAUCCCUAGUUUUGUUGUCUAAAAUCACUUGAUUCAUUAAAAAAAAAAAAAAAAAAAGUUAAAGAGUUGAGGGGGUGUCAAAUGAAAGUGAGGGGCCUACAUACAUUUUCACCUUAUUUAAUUUUUUUUAAUUUAGGAUAAACUUCAAUUUGCCCCUCUAUGAUUUGGCUCAAUUUUACUUUACCACCCUAUGAUUCAUAAAAUUACACUUAACUGUUCUGUAAUUUUAUCUUUAAUUAGCUUAUUUGCAUUCAAUUUAAAUAAUCAGUUCAAAUCAAAUUUAAAUUAAAUCUAUUUAAAUUAAUUUAUAAAAUAGUUUGCCUUUAGGGUUUAAUUUGCAUAACCCGCUUACAUAUAACUAAAACCUAAAGCCAGGGACUUAUGGCCUCAAAUUUUAGCACACACAGGCUCGAACCCUAACAUUUGACAGAUCAUCGUACACGUUACAACCAGAGUAGUAUAAUCAAUUAUUCUUUAACUAAAAAUAAUCGACUCCAGCUGAAUUAUACCUCUCAUCAGCUAUACUCAAAUAAUACUUCUGCCAAAAACUCCAGACCCAAAAAAAAAAAAAAAAAAUCAUAAGAUCCAAUAACACAAUUGGAGAGAGAGAGAGAGAGAAAGAGGUUGAAAAUGACUCUUCAUGAUGCACAAAACUAUAAUAACUCAAGCAAAUUGGAAUUGGAAUAUGAUGAGAAUACACAAUUUACAAGAGGAAUAAUACAAAGUGAUCAUACAAUACUGGUAUAGAUAAUUGACCACUAUGGAUUUUUCACUCUACAAGGAGAUUUUUCUUCUUCUUCUUCUUCUUCUUUUUUUACUAUACAAGUCAUCAUCUGAAUAUACAUUUAGUAUAGUAUGAGAAUGAUUCACAUGUGGAAUCCAAUGAAUUAACUGGGAGAAGAAACCAUGUUAACAUCUGUUGGAGAAUGUCAGCUUCUUUAGAAGGGAAAAAAAAAAAAAAAAAAAAAAAAAAAAAAACUUCGAAGGCGAACAUGGCCGAACUAUUCCUUACGAGUUUUCGAUGGACAUAAAAUCGGCGAGAGUCUAGUUUGGUUGCUGCAAAAGAGAAAAAGAGAAGGAAUUAGAGCUCAGAACAUGGACUACAAAGUUACCCUUAAAUUGAUUGUUUCAGUGCUGAGGGGUUUAUCUUUCGUGCUAACGGCGUAUGAAUUAAUCGAAAUGGAGGAAUAUUAGACAAAAAAGUCUAUGACCAUUCUCAUUUAUUGCAGUUGUGCAAACUGGCUCGAUUGCGUACUCGAAACGAACUUACUUGGGUGUACGACUGCUCGUCGAAUAAGCCAAUGUCGCACGUCCCAGACGUCGAGGCCCAACUCUGGAAGCUUGCAUCGUAAGCCGGCCUUGGGGGGUCAUAGUGAUUAACUUGGCAAUCAAUACCACUAUUGCAUAGAUUAUUAUUCUCCUCGUCGGGCUUGAAUGGCUUGUCGGUGAAUAAGUUAGGGUCGUAGGACUGGUAUGGAAAGUGGCCUCCCAGAUUUAGCCUCAAGCACGCGUUUUGGCUGAAGUCGUGCAGGGAAUUGUCGGCCGGUAUUUGUUCGUUGCUCUCCGUUUGCUUACCCGUCAUAUAGUAGCCGGGGUAACUUUGAAGCGAAGUGUCUGUCGAGCAUCCGAUAUCUCUACAAGACAAACAAAUUUUAUAUCAGAAAGUUUUGAUGGAAAUAGUUUUCAAACUAAGUUAUUCAUGAUUAAUUUGAUGCAAAUUUGCUUUAAAUGGAGAAAUUUUGAACCCCCCCAAAAAAAAUCAGGUUAUUGCAACUAAAAUAAGGUUGAUUUUAACAUAUAAGUAUUGUAAAUCGAAGAACCGACCGCUAACUUGAGUAUCAGGGAAUAGGAGUAAUGGAAGAUAUGCUAAGCCUCAAACACAGAUUCUCAUCAGAUAUUCCCGAUAUUAGUUUCUUUUAAUACAAGAAAUAGCCUAAGCAUGGUAGAUUUCCCUAAUUACCUCUGAGACAACAGACUAGGAUCUUCAGGGAGCAUCAUUUGUUGAACGUCGCCAUUAUGGAUCCACGACACAGGUGAGGGGCCGUGAUCGACGCUAAAUCCCAUAGGUAAGUGCAUGUCGUUCUGGAACUACAAUAAGUAUACAUCGUCAUUAGCUAGCAGAUAAAAAAAAAAUAAAGAUGGAAGAGACAGCCAAAAUGAGUAAACAUUUAUAAGUCAGAAAAAGGAGUUGCGUCACCUGGCCAGUACAUUGUAGAGACAUAAUUUGCUUUCCGACAUUUUCCUGUCAAAGAAAAAAGAAAAAAAGGUGCCAUUUUGUUCAGAAUCCAUAUAUUUUCGUUUACAAAAUCCCGUAAAACACGUCCAAAAGGAAGGAUUAAUUUCAACCUAGGUGCCCCUCAAAAAUAUGAAAACUCAGCUACACCCGACGGCUCCGUAAAGAUGCAUAAAUACUCAAAAAUACGCUUUCUAGAUGGUGUCUAUGAAGACCCCAAGUGAAUUUUCCGGGGCACUUAAUACGAGGGCAGUUUUAAGAUAUCCGACUUCCGAAUGGCAUCUAUAAAUUUGUGUCUCAGGAAGAAUUGGUGAAAACUAACUUAAGAGGAGAAGAACAGAGAACAUUGACAAUGUCAAAAAAAGAUGUACCUUAUGGACUCGAAUUCGACCGAGGGAUUCAUUGAGAGAUUGUUCCAUAGCUCUAAUGUGGUCUAUGUUAUCGACCUUCUCAGGAUCGCUCCAGUAACUGAAAGGCAAAAGUCAACGUUAUCUAGGGCAUAAAUAGCUUGAAACGGCAAUGAGUAAUAACGGAAGUAACAUUCUUUCUUAAUGAAUGUUUUAAGCACCGCGCCGUGAUCGCAGCACACAACACAAUGCUGCUGCCGCAUUACCCUCAUGCAGAGAUCAUUCAAAAUAAAAGGGAAAGCUUCAAUGUUAUUGGUUAAGUCCGACAAGUUCAUACUGCAUAAUUUAAACCAGCAAGGUAGAUUUUCUAUCUUGACAACUCAACCUCAAACAUGUAAGAAAAGUAAAUAAAAUGCUUAGGGAGAGAGGGGGGGAAAAAAAAACUGUGGUUUAACGUCGAACUAUUACCUCAACCUCUUUUCUACAUCAGAUAGUUGAGCUUGAAGCGACUGUAAGUGGCUGGUCAAUUCCUGUACAAGACAAAACACAUAUUAAGCAAGGAAAAGACACAGCACGAGAAGAUACGCAUGCAUCUGGUGCGCCACGUCAGCCUGUGUACCACAACCCUUACCAGGUCAUCUCCUCUCAUAUUAUCUACCCAAUCACCCAAACCACUGUAAUUCUAAAACAAAAAAAUGUAGUAAUUCUCUAGGUGGUAGGAAUUGAAGUAUGAGAUGAAAUGAAUGCCUGCAAUGGUGCAGUGCUAAGGCUGAUGUGGACCGCCAGGUGCAUGCACUAGUUUCUCGAAGAGUACUUAAGAGAGGAGCUAUUUUUCCCCCCCUCAAAAAAAAAGCGAUCCUUGAAUUGGUACCUCAACUGUUUGGCUGCUGUAAUAAGGUGCAGAAGAAAAAGGAAGAGAAAAAAAAAAAAGAGUAUCAGAAUCCUGGAAUUGAAUGCCCGACAUCUUAGCAAUCGAAAGAGGAUUCCUUACCUACAACCCAAGAAUUCUUGAAUAUUGACAUCAUGGUCCAGUUUCUUGAAUGUCUUCUUUAAUGCCUAUUGCCAAAAAAUUUGUAUGCUCAGAUAACGGCUUAUUGCUAACAAUCAUACUUGAAAAUUGAUAAGCAAAAGAACACUUUGAAGAAAGUGUCGUAUCUGGAAGUGGACAUACCUCGAGGCUCUCCAGUUUCCUGCUCAAAAUUUAAGAAGAACAUAUGUUAAAGAGAUUGGAUAAGAUCAAAUUAAAAGUAAAUGGAUCAAAGGAAUUGUUAUAAAAUACCUCUUAGCUCUUUCCUGUGGAGUUAACUGAGCAUACUUUGAUAUGACUUCCUCGAUAUUGCUGUCGAUAAAGCAAAUACAGAUGAAUGAAAACUAAUUAAGGAGCUAUAUCGAACUUACAGACGGGAAAUAUAGUCUCAACAGAAAAGUAUAGGAAAAGAAGCACAAAUAAGAAUAGGCGAACACAAUAAGAAAUAAAUUCUACACUAUAAGCUGAGUAAAAAGUUAUAGCUGUAAGCUAUGAGUUAUUUUUACGAGAAAAGUUCGAAGAGGAGUGAUCAUGCAUCUUCUAACUGAAUAAGAAUCCUAAGCAGUUCUCUAGGAAACUAAUGGUUUUUACUCAUUUCAUUAAACUCGAGUUGGAAAGAAAGCAACUAAGAGUUAUAGCUCUACAACUCUUAGUUAUAACUCAUUUCAUUAAACUCGAAAUGGAAAGAAAUAAAUUCUACACUAUAAGCUGAGUAAAAAGGUUAUAGCUAUAAGCUACGAAUUAUUUUUACAAGAAAAGUUCGAAGAGGAGUGAUCAUGCAUCUUCUAACUGAAUAAGAAUCCUAAGCAGUUCUCUAGGAAACUAAUGGUUUUUACUCAUUUCAUUAAACUCGAAUUGGAAAGAGAGCAACUAAGAGUUAUAGCCCUAUAACUCUUAGUUAUAACUCAUUUCAUUAAACUCGAAAUGGAAAGAAAUAAAUUCUACACUAUAAGCUGAGUAAAAAGGUUACAGCUAUAAGCAAUGAGUUAUUUUCACGAGAAAAGUUUGAAGAGGAGUGAUCAUGCAUCUUCUAACUGAAUAAUGAUCCUAAGCAGUUCUCUAGGAAACUAAUGGUUUUUACUCAUUUCAUUAAACUCGAAUUGGAAAGAGAGCAACUAAGGAAUCAAAAAGAUGAUCAUAUGAUGACAAAAUGGCCCCAGACUAGUUGACUUAACUAAUUUUAUUUCGCAACCACGGAUAGUUCUUUUAGAGAACAAUAUAACUAUCUUGUACGGUGACGAUGCAAUGGAAACAAAAGAUUCAAAAGGGCAAGACAAUACGAGGAGCCUUAUAGAAUAAAGAAAAUCUCAGCAAAGCACAUAUAAGAUGGCAUUUUUACACUACUACAUUAACACUAAGAUGACGAAUGAAAUGCGAGAGCCGUUCAAAAGGUGUGUCGAAGAGGCAUAACGUAAACCAAUAAUGAUACCUUCGGUCGCCGACGCAUAACGUAGGCUUGCCCGUCGGCGAGAACAUGAGAAGAACAAGGUCGAUAUCGCACAAUAUCGACAAUUCCUUGGCCUUCUUCAAUAUACCAGCUCUUCUUUUCGAGUAAGUAACCUGCCUACCACUGCUAUUCUCCAGUUUCUUUAUCUUCAAUUUAACCCUACCCAUCCUGUUACUAUUCCAAGUAAUAGUUCCCCCACAAAUGCCUUAUAAAAAAAAAAAAUCCCUAUUUUGAUCCUAUUUAUGCCUCACACAUUAAAAAUCACAACUUUCUUCGGAAAAUCAUUCACCCAAAUGAAAAUUUCAUCACCCCCUUCAUGAAAAACCACACAAUCCGGUUGGAAAUUAUUACCCUAAUAAAAGAAAUCCCUCUCUUUCCUCCUCUCUCUCUCUCUCUCUCCUUCAAACCUUUCCCCUCACAAUAAAAAUCCCACCUUUAUUUGAGAAAAUUGUUCACCAAACAAAAAAGAAAAGAAACAAUCCCCCCAAAUUGCCUUACCAAAAAUCCCUCUUUUGCACCUCUCUCUCUCUCUCUCUCUCUCUCUCUCUCUCUCUCUCUCUCUCCAAUCUUUUCCCCGCACAAUAAAAAUCCGACCUUUUCUUCGACAAAUCACUCACACAAAACCCAAAAAAAAAAAAUCACCUUCAAUUCAUGAAAAAUCACAACAACCCAGAUGAAAUUUCCGGCAGAAAACUCCAAAACCAAAGAUUUUGUCCCCCCACAAAGAAACCUAAUCAAAAGCCAUUGGGAUUAACAAAUGACACGCUCAUUGGGGCAUUAGAGCAAACACCUUGUGCGCCAUUCGCGAAUCGAAAUGGGCGAGGAGGAGUCGCAAGGAGAGCGAACGCAGAGAGAAGGUAGGGGUCGAGGAGAGAGAAAGAGAGGUGUGUAGAGAGAGAAAGCGAGAGAUGUAGAGAGAGAAAGCGAGAGAUGUAGAGAGAGAGAGAGAGAGAGAGAGAGAGAGAGAGAAGAGCGGGGGGGAGGGGUCAGCGGGUCCGUCCAAGCGAAGAGGACUCCCUUAAAAGCCUCGAACGCCCGGUUCAACUGAACCGGACCGGACCGGAAUUGCUACAGCCCGGUCUAAAACUAGUUAUUAGUUAUUACUAUGAUUAUUAUUAUGAUUAUGAUAUUACAUUACAUUACAUAUUCCAUUACAUUGCGUUACGUAUCAAGCAAUAUUUGGUAUUAAAAGCCCCAUAAAAAUAACAAUAAUAAUAAUAAUAAAGACCAAAUCAUGUAAUAAUGCCAUAGAAAUAAAGUGGGUUAAAAUAUUAAAAAAUCUCCCAAUUUUUUUUUUCUAACUUUUCGAAAACUACAUUUUGUGUCCUCAAAAUUUCAAAAAUAUUUGGGGGGUUACAGCAUUAUUGGAGAGCGCAAAAUACACCAAAUAAACGGAACAGCGAUAGAGCUGUGGAGGAAAAUAUUUUCGGUGUUAAUCGAGAGGGCGAAGUAGACGAAAUUGCCCUCAUAUAAGUUAUAGAGGAAAAAAUAUAAUUUUUUAAUAUAUUUCUGUUGUCGUAACAAAUAUUUUUAUAUAAAUUAUACAAAAUAGACAGAACAGUAACGAAACCCUGACGGAAGCGGAUAAGUACAUCAAUUUGAAAUUUUGAGGAGGUAAAAUAUAAGUUUCUAAAAAAUCGGAGAGAAAAAAUUAAAAAGUAGGUAUUUACUAGCCCAUAAAGAUUUCAACAUGAAAAUUAUUAAUAAUAAUAAUAUUAUUAAUUAACUAAUAAGCAAAAUAUACCAGCAUAAUAAUUCUAUUGGAUAACUUCAAAUACCCCCAUAUAAUUUAACAUUUUUUCAAUUUAAUACCUGAUUGUUUAAAAUGUAUCACUUUAGUACUCUUCUUUCCACUCGCCGCAAGAAUAAUCGAACCACUUUUGUCGAAUUACAUGUGUUGGUACGAAAAUUUUCGACAAAAAAAUAAUUUACACCCAAACUUUAGUUAUAGAAAAUUUCGAUGCAAAGUCGUAAGAACAAACAAGAAUGGAUCAACAAUGCGGAAACAGAAAAUAGUGGAACUUUUGUGCAAAAUGACCAACUAUUAACUUAUUAGUCAUUACAAAUGCCAAGAACAAAAGAAAUCACAGUAAUUUAUUUCCUUUCACAGCACAAGUUAUGUAUAUAUAUAAAACAAGAAGCUGCUCAACCAUAUGUUAAAACAAAAUGCGCGAUCUACAAGUUUACUAUUGAGAUUGAAUUACAGCUCCGAGAACGCAAAAAACCCUCGGUUGAAAUGAAAUCGGGCAACUGAAGCAUCUUUAGUCGCCAUAUACUUCGAGCGUCGCCUUACGAAUUUUCUCUUCUUAUUCUUUUUUGCCCCCCUUUAUUCUUCUUAUUCCAUCUGGCUCGACAACGAAGCCUCCUCAUCCACACUAUCAAGCUCCUGUUCUACUCCUUUGACCUGUCGAUAAACGACACGCGCAGAACAAAAAGAGUUACUUAUUAUACUUUCCAACGAAAUGGAAUCAUCGAGAGCAAAGCUUAGUGAAAUGGGGGAGGCUGCGGGGAUGGUGAAGGGUAAAUGGAGCUACUAUUAUGAAUGUAUAUGUUGGAAUAGUAGUAUAACUUAUUGAGUUGUUACCUCGGGCACAUAAUGCAUGAGCAUGUUCUCGAUGCCAGACUUCAAAGUGACAGACGAGCUCGGACAGCCGCUGCACGCUCCCUGCAUCCUUAGCUUCACUAUUCCAGUUUCCCUGAUAAAGCAGAACAGUAUAGUCAAAUAAGAUAUAAUUUUAACUAAUAACUAGAAUACCAAGCUUUACAAAUGUUAGAGAGAGAGAGAGAGAAAGAGAGAGUUACGGAUCAAAUCCACGGUAUUCAAUGUCUCCACCAUCGUCUUGUACUGCAGGCCGGAUUCGGGUUUCGAGUAAUUCUUUGAUCAUGGCAACUAUCUCAGAAUCGUCCUGCAAAACAUGAACGAAUCAUCAACUUUCGCAACUUCACUAGAGGGGCAAGAAAUAAUAAUUAGGCUUAAGUAUUUUGAUCAUGCGGUUUGGACCCAACAAGUAAUUAGCAAGUUGGUCGGGUCGUACAUUUAGUAUCAGAGCCGGUUACUAUUACUAGUAAGAAGUGUGAAAUUGGUCUCACAUCGCCUGCCGAUCUCGGCUAGAGAAUGGGACCUGACGAGGACAUCACGGCCGCGGGUUAAAAAAGGAAUGCCUGCGACAUCCCAAUAGUCCCACAUUGGAUCAGAAUGGGAUUAUAAUUCUAAAUACAAGAACCGAAAACUCUAAUACUAAUAACUAGACUUAAGCAUUUUGGGCCAGUGAUUUAGGCCCGAGGAGUUAUUAGUACUAGUAAGCUGGGUUAUUACAGUUUGUUACUUCUCUGUACCGGGAGAUCCUUUUACGGCACGUAUCCUAUAGAGAAUCUUAUCAAAGAUAUUGAGAUUGAUUAAUUAUAAGAAAACCUCGUGAAUUGCUGUGUCCAUGGAAGCUGCAGCAUUCGAAUCUAGAAAAAGCGGUUUUCCAGAUGAGUAGAAAUCCAUUAUCGCCGCAAAAACUUCCGGCUUUAGAAGAUCCCAGGAAGCUUCAUCCGACUUGGUAACUGUUACAAAAUCUGACCCGAAGAACACUCUUGUGACUCCUGCAUAAACAGCACGCAAAACUUAGCCGACUUAUAUUCAACUUUUUUUCCAUUACCAUAUAAAUUAAAGGCUAAAUUAACUAGACAAGAAAACAGAUAUCGGGGGCUGAUCGACAAAGAUAGGAGGGCAUAUUGAUUGAACCCAUGAGAAAGUGGGUUCUUAAGGAAUAGAAAAUAAUAAAUUGCACAGUUUAUUGAUUAUCAAGAAUAAGACACUGUCACGCGUGCUAAAAUGAAUAAAAGUUUAAGAAUACAGGAUGAAAACAUUAUCGAGGGGAUGUAUCAUUUAUUUGAUGCUAUUCUUAGUAAUGAAAUGGAUGAAAACCGAGACUAUUUAUGAUCCAAUUCCAAUAAACUACACAAAGAAAUACAUCAAAAUUGAAACUAUUUACGAUCCAAAAACAAGUAAAAGGGCUUGAAAGUACACAAACUUCAUACAAACUUGCAUGGGAGCGAAGGAAACUGGCUGAAACUCCAAUGAAGCUAGUCGCUCAGUUUCAAGUAGCAUCAAAAAAGGCCGAUUGAAAGGCAGUGAAUAGAAUAACCGGUAUUUAAGGCUUUACGGUGUCGAUUUUCGUGCUCUUGCUAAGGCUACUCAAAUUUUGCAACCAAAUUACUAAAAUCCGAUGCAAUUUCAGUAAACUAUUCAAAUACCUUCGAACGGAAUAACAUCAUCGUAUAGGAUGGAAGAAAUUUGGACCUACUACCUAACUCUGUUUUGCAGAAAGAAAAAUUGUUUCUCUUCCAUGGAAAAAGAAAAUAGCCCACCUUUUUCAUCAGCAAAACCCGUUCCCACGAUUCCAUCUGAAUGACCAUCCUCUCAGCUUUUUUCUGCCCUAACUGAACAUGGCUUUCUAACUCUAGCAUUACGUAAGAUCACAAAUUUGAUUUGGGGGAUUCGAAAAAAAAUCAAAAAAAUCAAAAAACCCAGAGAUUCUUAAAAUAAUAAACUUCAGUACUUCACCAUAUCGAAAGAAAACAAAAACUGUCUAGCCUUGGUGCACAAAAUGACGCUAAGUACCACUUAAAAGCUCCACUCGAGCUCAGAUAAAAGUUUGUUAAGGUACUGAAGCAGCUCCGGAAAACUGGCAUAUACUAUUCAGCUCAAUUGGCUCAAAUGCAAUCAUAUUAAGCUGUGAAAAGCUUGUUAAGACGCGGAAGAGAUGGAAAGGAAAGAGAGGAGAGAGAUGAAAAACUCUUUUUUUCAUCCUAAUCUAUGGCAUGAAGCUCUUUACUCCUGUAGUCUUAAAACUGAGUAACAUAGUGGGAAACGAAAAAAAUUAAAAGAAUUAAAAAAAAAGAAAAGACUACAACGACUUCUUUCAGGGUAUGUUGUUGUGGGUUUCUUGAACUUCCACACUCCUUCAAGAUGUCAUUAUGCUUUCCCUUUUUUUUGACACGAACAAUUUCUAUAGUUAUCAAGCAACGAAGUCACCAAAAAAGGCUUAUUUCGCAAUAAUCAAUAUCUAAAGCACCCGUGAUGUAGUUUAUUGCAAUAAAGACAAAUCAUUCAAAUAAUACAUUGCAAAAGAAUUGAAAGAAAAGGCAUAUAACCAAAAUGCAAAGUAAGAACAAUGUUAUAUCGAUCUCCAUUCUCUUCAAGAAAGGCUGAUUUUCAGCGCAAAAGAAGUAUUCACCUAAAUUUAUGGCUUAGGAAUGUAAAAGUCUAAGGCAUCAAUAAAAAGACAAACGGACCAUACCAUCAAUGCCAAAUAACGACUUGGCUAAGGGCGAAUUCAUCGCGGUACGAGCAUUCGGGAAGUCCGCGCUUCCAACUUCCAUAACCGGCUUUCCUGGAUAGAACAUGAGAGACAGUGGGUUGGGCGUGGACUGUGUUUGGAUGAACAUGCUCCUCUUCUGCCCUGUUCAAAACAGUGUUAUGAUGAACACGCGUGAGUCCAAAGUUUCGUAUGUUUAACAUGGUAUAUGAUUAGAUACAAGAAAUGAAAUGAACAUAAGUUGGCUUUCUUUAUCGCAAGCUCUUCUUAGAUUCAUUCUUAAAGAACUCCGGCAUUUCAGAGAAUUUCAAUUGGCCAACAAUUUCUGUUGCUUAAUUAAUUACAUCGACAAAACAUUGGAAAUAGAUAAGGAUAUUAUUUUAACAAUUAUUCAUCAAUAAACAAAUUACUUAUUGCCUCAUUGUUUUCUUUGUUUCCUUUGUUUUCUUUCACACUAAGAACGACAACUAUUAUAUCAAAAUCAUUGCGUCCCAUAUAUUUCUCUAGCAUUUACGUUUACCCGCUUACUCCUAAGUUUUUUCAGAAUUUUAUUCUGAAUCAUCUAUUAAAAAAUAUUUAUAAAAUUGAAAUUGAAACCCUCCAACCUUGCUGAGUUUAACCUACAUGUCAAAGAAUAUCUAUGACUUGGUUCAGCUAAAUUCCCAUGGCAAGAUAACAAUACACAAAGCUUCGAUUUUUGCACGUACUUCUACGAAUUAAUCGCUAACUUAGAGCUACUGAAACCAAAAAAAAAAAAAGCAGAGUAAAUUGAGUACAAAACAUGAAUUAAUCAACUAUCUCAAGUAUAUUUUAUAUGUCACUCGCUAAGAUACAAUAAUCACACAACAAUAUUGUAAAUUUAUAUUGCAUGUUAUUCAUUCACCAAUCUCCAAACUCUUCAACCCAAAAAAUAAAAUAAAAUAAAAUAAACUUAAACAUAAAAGUCACAGAAAAAUAAGCAUCCAAGUAACUAAAAACAUAAAAUUUUAAACAGAAAAGGGGGGAAAGAACCCUACCUUGGGAUCCGAUCCAUGGGGCCGACCUCGAGGGUUGGAACGAGCCGAGACGAGAGCGAGCGAGGGGAUUAGGGUUAGGGUUUCGGCCAUAGAAGGGGAUCGACGACGAGGUCGCAAACGUAGAAGAGGAGGAAGAGGAGGACACGGGUCGAGGGGGCGGAUAGGGUUUCAAGGAGCGCUUCGUCGAUCGAAGCCCCCUCGCGACGAGGUUCCUCCAUGGGAGCUUCAUCACCUUCUCCUUCGCUUUUUUUUUUCCCCCUUUUUUUUCUUUUUUUCUUUGUUUUCUUCGAUCUGUUUUCGCCAUUCUCUUUGUUCGGGUUUAUGUUUCCCGUCACCGCCUUAAAUUAUUCGGUGCACCGGGUGCAUGAAUAUAUCUCAUACACCACACCCUUAGAAACCUCAUUAGAGUCCAAUAAGGGAUACAAUAUGGUAAUUAUACAUUUAAAUAAUAUUUUAAAAAAUUCUUGUACUUUUAUGUAACGUGGAGAGAUUAGAUUAGAUGUUGUAAAUUAUAUAAAAAAUAGGUAUAAUUACCUAUAUACCCCUCAAAACUUCUGAAAUAUUUAAUGUAUUCUUUUUUAUUCCAAAUAAAUUACUGUUUUGCGAUUCGAACAAUGAAUGUGGUGGAUGAUGAAGUGAUCGAUUUCAUUUUAGGGAUUAUCCUCGUAAGGAAUGUCGAACAAAAUUUGUGUUUCGCCGUAAAGAUUAUAAGAUUGUCUAAUCUAAUCCUCAUCACUGUUUCGCGAUUCGAGCAAUGUACGUGAUAAAUGACGAAGUAAUUGAUUUCAUUCUGGGGAUUAUUCCCGCAAGGAGUGCCAAAAUAAGAUUACACCCGUGAGGAACGUCAAACAAAAUUUUUGUUUCGUCGUCCAGAUUGUAACGCCCCCAAUAGUCCCACAUCGGAUGGAAUACUGAUUUCAAUCAGUUUAUAUGAGACCUACACGUUUGUAAUCAUAACUGGGCUUAAGUAUUUUUGGCCGAUUGUUUGGGCCCAACGAGUUAUUAUUGCUAGCGGGUUGGAUAGUUGCAAGACAAAACGCCCCCAAUAGUCCCACAUCGAAUGGGAUACUGACCCAAUAGUCCCACAUCAGAUCGGAUACGGAUUUCGAUCAGUUUAUAUGAGACCUACACGCUAGUAAUAAUAACUUGGCUUCAGCAUUUUGGGCCGGUGGUUUGGCCCAACGAGUUAUUAUUACUAGCGGUCGGGUCGUUGCAAUUGGUACUGGUAUGUCUGUGAUCUGGUUUAGACCCGACGAGGACAUCAGGGUCUAAACAGGGGGAGCUUGUAACGCCCUAAACAGGGGGAGUUUGUAACGCCCUUGAUCACUGUUUUGAGAUUCGAGCAAUGUACGUGAUGGAUGAUGGAGUGGUCGAUUUCAUUAUAGGGAUUAUCGCCGCGAGGAGUGGCAAAAUAUGCAUCUCUAUACGAUUUGCCAACUCAAUUUUACCCGAAAAAUAAUCAGAUCAGGACAAUGAAUUCAUUUAGAAAAACUUGAUCCAAACAAAAUAUUUUGUUCAGAUUAAAAUUCGAAUUAGAUAUGGAGAUUUUCACGCUAACGGUUUUAAAUAGUAAAGUUAAAAUAUAUUUAGUUAUUUUUAUUUUUAAAUAAUUUAUUUUAAAAGGAUAUAUGGAACAUCUCUAAGAUAACAAUAUUUUUGUUUUAAAUAUACAAAUUUUGAAUUUAAUUUUAAACUAAAAGCUUUUUUUAUUUUUUUCUAAAUUUUGGCUCAAAAUCAGGUCCAUCUGUGUAGAUCCCAAUAUUUAAUUUUAAAUCAGAUCCGAAUCUAAACAAAAUGUAUUGUCCGAAAUGUAAGCGAAGGUUGAGACUGGACUGAACACAAAGAAUAUUUAUUAUCUCUAACGAUUGUUCGACCUGAUUUCGAUUCAAACCUAAAACUUUUACCACUCAUAAUUCCGACAUACAAGUGUCAAAAACAACGAAAAAGUAAUGACCCAUACCCAUAUCCAUAUCCUUAUCCCGUAAAUUUUUUGUUUCUUAACAAUCGAAUAAAAUUUUUUUGAGAACCAUUCCAUCCUCGUAUUAUGAAAUCUAUCAUCUGUUACUGCAUUAAAAUUCAAAUGCCCGAUAAUUCAAAAUAUUUUGUUACACUACAAAAUCAUUCAUCAAAAAUCCCUAAAAUGAACAUGAGCUUUUAUCUCUAAAAAAAAAAGAAAAAGAAAAAGAAUUCUCUCUUGAGUGGCUAAUUUUUUGUUCCUAUUAGACUAAUUAUAUAUUGUUAAAUUUUUUUUGUCAAAAUAGCAAAAUUAAUGUAGGCAAUUUGUAGUAAUUUGGUUAAUUUUAAGAAUACAAAAAUAUCUAAAAAUAAUGUUGAAAAUCAUAAAUACUACAUAGUAACAUUUGACAAAUUACUAUAAAAUUAACAGUAAAUAAAGUUAUAGAAAUAGUAAUUAGUAUUUGUUAACAUAAAAUCCAUAAAAAUCAAACUAUCACAAUCUAUAUUAUCUUUAUUAUAACUUAAAUAAUUUUAUUAUUUGUUAAUUAUACACAGUGUAAUGAUAAUUAAUUUAAAAUUUUAUUAUUAUUAUUUUUUGUAAAUUUUGCUCUCGUUGAGAGUCGAACUCAAGACCUCCCGCUUACUAAACGGGUGCUCUAACCAACUGAGCUACGAGAGCAUUUUAUUCUUUAAUAUUUUGUAUUAUUUAUAAAUUACAAAAUUUCAAAUGAGUGUAAUUUUUAUUUUAUUUUAUUUCAUUUUUUGAGGGGAAGGAGCAUUAGAUAAUGUAUGUGUUUCCAAAUUAAAAGUUGAUGCAAUAAAAAUUGUAGAAAAAAUGAAAGCAAAUAUUAAUUUGCCAAAAUUUCAACUAAUAUUAAGUCACACACAUUGAUUUAUCCGCUUGUUAUAUUAAUUUGCCAAAUAGAUAGAAUGAUCUGUACCCGAGACCCAAGUUUGAAUCCUACUUGAUUCACAUUUCUUGCUAAGCUUAUUUCUAAAUGAAAUAAACGAAGCGGGUAGCGUGCAACCUAUCUCUCAAAAAAAAAAAAAAAAGUAAAAAUAUUUUCAGGGGAUAUAGUGUUAAUGGGGAGGGCAAAAUGACCAAAUUAUUCUUACUUUUUUCUAUAAAAAAAAAAAAUUAAUAUAUUGUUGUUAUUUCGAAGGAUAUUUUCGAUAUAAAUUAUAAGAAAUAGACAGAAUAAUGAUGGAACCCUGACGGAUGGGGGCACUCCAUUAAUUUUUUUUAGAAAUAAACUUAGCUGAAAAUGCGAAUCAACUAGAAUUCGAACUUAGGAUCUCGGAUACCAACCACCAAACACUUUACCAUUUGCGCUAAGGACAGUCGGUAACAACUUGAAAUGUUGAGAGGGUGAAAUGCAGAUUUUUGAAAAUAAAAAAGGAAAAGUGAAAAAACGAAUAUUUAUAAGAGGGUUUUCUAUAAGUUAGUCAUUUAUUAUAAUCUAUAGUAAUUUUGUCAAAUUUGAUAAAAUGAAUAAUAAAAAUAAUAAAUUUGUCAAACAAAUAGACAUCAAAAUUACAAAUUAAACUAAAUCAAAUUCAAUUGUAUUUAGAUUCUUUUGUAAUGGAAAUAGUACAAACUAAAAAUUAAUACAUGGAUAUCAAAUUACUUAAUCAAAUUAAAUUAAACAUGUACUCCAUUUUAUUAGUAACAAAAUUAAUAAAUUAAAAAUAAAAUUAAUAAAAAUAGAAAGAAAAAUUAAUAAAGGAUGACAAAUAUUACUUAAUAAAAUUAAUUUGUUCAAUGUAAUAGCUAAAGAGCUAUUAAAUCUAAUAGAACUUUUAAUUAUCUAAUUAGAAUGAUUCAAUAAAAAAAAGGAAAAACUUCAAAUACUACUCCUGUAAUUUCGCACUUUCUCACUUUGGUACCCUGUGGUUUAAAGUGUAUCGAUUUAAUACAUGUGGUUUCGUUUUUUCUUUUUAUUAUCCUUUUUACUAUUUUUUUUUCGUUAAAUCAGUGACAAAUAUAAAACUAAAAGAUAUUAAAAUGAAUAUUCGAUAAAUCUAGGGAGGGUAUCUAAAAUUUUUUAUAUAUAAUUUAACGAAAUGUUAACGGAUGAGCUGACAAAAAAAAAAAAAAUCACAGGGUACUAAAUUAAUACACUUUAAACUACGAAAUACUAAAGUGAGAAAAUACGAAAUUACAGGGGUAAUAUUUAAAGUUUGCCCUAAAAAAUAUUCAUUGUCAAUAAAAAAAAAUAAGAUUGUGUUCUCAGUAUAUUUUUUUUUAUCAUACAAUUCCCAUAACUUUAUUUUGUCUUUAUUGACAAUUCUUUACAUUCUAUUUUUUUCUUUAUUUAAAUUUUCAUAGUCAAAUAAUUUAGAAAUUUUGUCAAAUUUUAUAAUUUUAUUAGUUAUUAUAUAUUUCUUAUGAUUUCGGUGCGUAUAACUCUUAAAAAGCCCUUGUAGAGUUUAGUGACAUGAUAUUUGGCCCUUUUUUGGCACCAGCUCGACUACACAUUGGUGUGAUCGAACGUUAUCAGAAGGUCAGAGAUUCGAUCCUCGUGUACGCUAUUUUUGAAUAUUUAAUCUCACCCUCUCUAAAGCGGCUUCGGUUGGUUUAAAUGAGCGAGCAUUCUACAUUAUGGUAGGAGGUUGGGUUAAGCCGAGUUACAUUCGAAAUCGCGAAAAGUCAGAUUAGGUCGAGUCAUGUUCGAAGAGGCAAGAGACUAGUUGGGCCGAGUCACAAUCGAGACCCGUGGAGAAUGUGCCUAUACAAUUUAAGUUAGUUAGUUGCGUAUUUUUAACAACUCAAGUUUCUGAAAUUAAUAAUUAACGCCAACAAUUCGAUAAAGCGAUAUCAAAACAAGUCACAAAUUCGAUUUUUGUAUGCUACGAAUUUAUUCAAGUGCCUGGAGAGAGGGGAUUAUUGGUUUAAGUGGGUUAACAUCUGCACUGUGAUUGUAAGCCAGGUUAGGUCUAGUCGGAUUUAGUCACAAUUGAGAUCCGUGAUUGUUGUAUCUAACAACUCGUGCCAGGAGCAUUAAGCUAAAAGAAAGAAAAAAAAAAAAAAAAAAACUAUUUCUUUUUAGUGUGGAUAGACCCGGUCUACGGGCGUAGAUAUGCCAAAUGUCUUAUCAGGGCAUCCCGUAAACCCGGUGUAGCGCGAAGAUCACAAAAGUAAAGUGGGGCCCACGCGGGAUAAAAGUCGCGCUCCCAUUGGCCAGCGGGAGAAUCUCUCCCUCCCCCCAACUCUCGCACGUGGCACCCCUGCCGACCGCAGGGUCCCGCACGUGAUGCCCGGAUUCGACACGAAUCCCAAAGCAGCAAGCAGCUUUACGCAGGAAAAUUUACAAAUAACACCCCGUGUUAUAUGCUAAUGUUGUACAACACAUUUUCUUUUGGUUAUUAGUUCCUAGAAAAAGCAUGAAAAAAACUUUUUAGAAAAAAAAUUUACGAAUUUUGUUUUAGUUUUUCGUUCAUUUUGUUUUUAAAAAAUUUGAUUUUUUUAAAAAUUUUUAGAUUUCAUGAAAAACUAGUAUUUUUGCUUUUCAAAAAUAAUUCGAAAAACAGAAAUAAUACACCAUAUAAUCAUUUCAAAAGAAAUUUUCGGAACUUACCGAGCAUUUAGACUGAUGUACGUGUAAAAAAAUUCAAUAAUCAAUCAAAAAUGAUCGAAAAAAUAUAUCAUAUAGCAAUGAGCUGUAUUUUAAAUUUUUUCACAGACGAUGGCUUUAGAUUUCUUUUGAGAGAAUUAAUCGCUAGACAGUGAAUUAUUUUUCGAUAUUUUAUAAUACUAUAAAGUUUUUAUUUAUAGCUGAAUUAAAAUUACGCCAUUUCAAAUAUUUUUUUUAACAGGCACUGUCGAUAGUACGAUGUUACUGGAUAUGAAUAUACAAUUUUUUUACUUUGAAUCCAAAUCCGAGUAAGACAGUUCAAAUUGAAGCCAAAUAGGAAUAGUUUCGAAAAUAGGGACAUAAAUUUAAAAUUCGGCAGUUAAUAUGUUGGUUAUGGUUUUUGCUUGAACCCGAAACCAAACAGAUAUAAAAGUUUAGGGAUAAUUGCCUAUAUACCCUUCAUGUAUUCGAAAAUAUUCGAUCUACCCUCUUUUUUUUUCUUUCUAAAAUGUCCCUCAUAUGUUCUACCGUUAUUCCAAAAUACCCCCGCAGUUAUCCCCUGUUAGCUUAACUCGGGUUAAACAUGGGUUAAAUCUAUACUAGAGUUAAAAUCUAAACAAAAUACAUAUUUUGCCCCUACCUUAUUAUACUAAUUCCUAAGAUUAUCCUCUCUUUCUUCCUCAACUUGGUCGCCACCACCGGCCGGCUCCUCCGCCACCACUAGCCGGCUCCUCCGCCUCCACCUCGCUUCAUCUCCUCCCAGACCACCACCACCUCCCACACCUCCACCUCCAACACCACCCCUCUCGUCGCUCUCGUCGUCCUCUUCCACCAUUGCUCUCGUCGUCGACGUCGUCCUCCUCCUCCGCCGCCUUGGCCGGCGCCGGGAGCAAGAGGGCCGCAGCGACGAUCCCAUCUUUCUCCGAUCUCGUCGUCCUUCUCCUUCUCCGCUGCCUUGGCUGGUGCCGGGAGCAAGAGGGCCGCAGCGCCAUCGGACCCAUGCACGCCCUCUGCUCCGGAUCCGGCUGAAGGGCAAAUAAGAAAAGUAUUUGUUAUAUGAAGGGUAUAUAAGAAAAGUUUGUUACUGUACAAGGGUAUAUUGGAAUGGGCAAAAUGGUAAUUUUUCAGAGAAAAACUUGGAACAUAAGAAGGGUAUUUUCAAUAUUAGCCUUCUAAGAGGGGUAAAUAAGAAAACCGAAAACUUUGCAGGGGUAUAUAGGCAAUUGCCCCAAAAGUUUAUUUUAAAUAUGUAUAUAUAAAAUAUAUUUUUAUAUAUUUAUUUUAAUAAUUAUAAUAAUAACUUAGGUUGAUAUUUAGUAUAUUACAUAAUCAGGUUCAGUUUUUUGCUGUUAGAGUUUUAAUUAUGAAUUUUUAUUUCUACUAGGAUUCAAAUACGAACUACGAUUUAUUCUACGGGUUUAGUUUCGAAUUUUAUAAAAAAAAUCACGCCAAAAGGCCCAAAAUCGAUCCGUUCGACGGUCUAAUUAAUCGCUUAUCCAAUAUUCUAAAACAAAUUACAAAGGUGUCUUUUAAAAUUAUCAUAAGCAAUGGGGGUUAUCUGUAAAAUUUCCUAGAAAUUUUUGAUCCGUUAAAUUAGAUGUUACUUGCUCCACAAAUUACACGCAUUUCCGACACUGUACCAAAAAGUCAUGAUCCAAAAAAAUAAAAAAAUAAAAUAAAAUAAAAUAAAAUAAAAUAAAAUAAAAAUAAUAAUAAUAAUAAUAAUAAAAAGAAAUAUGCCUAGGUUACUUGCUCCACAAGAUUGAGGACAAGGUCCCAUCACCACGAAAAAUAUAUUUUUUAAAAAAAUAUAUUUUAAAGAAAUAUGCUAUUGGUCCACGUGUCAAAAAUUUAGUAUGGGGGUUUUAUUUGGAAGCAGGCGCAUAGAAAUCACUAUGCGGGCUAUUUUAAGGGCCGGGGAUUUUGCUUCUUUACCCUUUAUUAAUAUUCAAAAUUUGUAAAUUUUAUUUUAAAAUUAUCCAAAUACUAUUCUAAAAUUUAAUUUUAUUAAUAAAUUUUUAAAAAAGAUGAAAGUAUUUGAAGAAUUUUUAAAAAAAUUAAUAAGAGUAGUUUGGUUCUCUACGAAUAAAUAAAAUAUUUUUAAAUUUUAAAACUAUAAAAAAGGUAGAGCAAAAAAAGGCCUUUUUGCAUAAAAAAUCCACUUAUUUUGGGCUUUUGCAAAAUCGGUCCACCUUUUUCGUUUUUGUAGAUUCGGUCCGCUUUUUCAGCAAACUGACCAAAAUAUCCUUAUACAUUUUUCUCUUUCCUCUUUCUCUCACCUCUUUUUUUUUUCUCGUUCUUUUUUCUUUCUUUUCNUUUUAAAAUCUAAUUAUGCUAGUAAAUCAUAGAAAAAAUAGGAAUAUUUAAAGAAAUUCUUAAAUAUAUUUAAAAUAUUUUGGUACUCCAGAGAUAAAAAAAUAUUUUUAAAGUUUUAAAAAACAUGUUAGAUAUUAUUCCAAAAAGCAAUUAAAAUGAAAGAUAUAUAUUUAUUUUACAAAAAUAAAUAGAAUAUUUUUCUACCACACGGUAUAUAUAUAACACUACCUCUCCACAAAAAAAAUAUAUAUAUAUACUCAUAUUUAAAUUAGGGGCAAUUGCUUAUAUACUUUUAAAAAAAUUUUAACUUUCUAAUUUAUUCUUUUUAGAAGGCUAAUAUUAAAAAUUAGCAAUAACUAAUUUUACUAUCGAUGAAUAUACUAAAAACAAAUUUAAUUGGCCUGUUUAUGUUGUGUAAGAGGAUUUUUUUUUACUAUUAUUAUAUGUAAAAAUAAUUUUUACAAAUGAUAUGAUAUUAAAUAUAUAAUAUACAUCCAGUGGAAGUGGUUAGAUAUAUUAAUGUUCCCUUCUCGUAAUUUAAUUUAAGUUAAAAAAAAAAUUUAGUAAAUAUUGUGAAAUUUUGCCAUUAAAUAAUAAUUAUAUUUAACAAAUUUAUCCAUAGAUAUAUAUCAAAAUAGGCUAAAUUACAAAAAUCAUCCUGUCAAUAUCCGAUUUUGUACUUUUCUCUCGUGUCAUAUAUAAACCUAUAUUUUGCUCUGCUAAAAAAUAAAAUAUGUUCACAGUGGGUACCCUGUGACAAAAUGACCAAAUUGCCUCUCACAUUUUCGUCUCCUUCCAAUCUGAAGCCUGUCUUUCUCAUCCGCAGCCUCUCCUCCUCCGUUCUUUGCGCUUUUCUUGAUCCCAGCUCUGACUUUGUUUCCUCCACCUGCUCUCCUGUUUUUCCAACACCCUCGUCGCUCUUCUAUUUCGGCGACUGUAGGGAGAAAGAUCGAAAUGGGCAUGGGUGUGGACGGAGAGAUGGGCGAGGCGGCGGAGGUGGGCGAGAACAUGUGUGUGGGAAUGGACAUAGGGGUGGGUGAGGGUGAGACAGCGUGGCCGAGCACGUCGGUAAGGAAAUGAGAGUUUUAGGAAUAUUUUUGAUAUAAAAAAUAGAAUAAAAAGAAAUACUGAUGGUGGGGUUAAAAUAAAUAUUUUUUAUAUUUUAAGGGGUAAAAUAUAAAUUUUUAAGAUAGAAAAAAAAAAUUGAUAAAAAUUUUGUAUAAUUUAGCCAACAAAAUAAAGUGCUAACAUUACCCCUUUUUUUUUCACUUUUUUUACCGUUUCCGCAUAAAAUCUUCUAUGGGUGUAAACGGACACCGAACAUAAAACAUCUCUCUCAACCACUCAAAAUCCGACACGUGGCGCCACGCGAACACCAACCACCCAUUAUUCUACGGCCCUUAAAAAAAAAAAAAAAAGACCCACUUUUUAACUCCGUACACUCCCGCUCUGGAAAUUAUUGUGUGCACCUGGUGUACACAUUAACUUUAUGCACCGCUUUACAUAUAUAAUUUAAUAAUUGAUAUUUUUUAUUUUAAAAUUAAAAAAUUUAAUCAAUAAAUGUGGUCUACAUUACAUGAAGAGCCUAUUUAUUUAUAAAAUUUUAAAAGUUUUAAAAUUCGAAAGCUUCUACGGUGUUAUUAUAAUUUUUGAAAGUAAUUUCAAAAUUUUUUUUAGAGUUUUUAAAAAUAUUAACUCGAAUUUUUUUUGAAAACAGAAUCGCAAAUUAAGCCUAAGUAGUAAGUAGUCCCAAAAAUUAAUGAUAUAAAAAUUAGGAAUGCGACGAGAGUUAAAUUCCUCACGUUAUUUAUAAUGGUGAAACAUCUGAAUUAAUAAUUAGCAUUAUUAAACUUAAUUUAAGUUAUUUGAAUUAUAUAGGCACCGAGUUUUAUAGUUUUUUAAACAACGUUGAAAGAAUUUAUACAUAAAACAGGUAAAUUUUAAAAUCUAGUACUUAGAUUUUAAUUGGAUUCACAAAUCAACUACAUAAGAUAUAAAAAAUUUACUCUAUUGAAGAAAGAAAAAACUGACAUUCAAAAUGCAUAAUUUUUUCUCUUUAUUUAUUUAUUUAUUUUCUAAGUUUACGUCUAAUUAAAAUUUGCAGGUACCGAGGUUAGAAUAGGCCUUGAUUUUUAAUUAUUUUUUUACGCGAUAUUAUAUUGUAUUUGUCUCAAAAUGUUAAAUCAGAUAGAUUAAUUCUAUCUAAAAUAGAGAAACAUGCCACUACAUUUUAUUGCCUCAACUUUAUUUCCACUUAAUAAUAUUAUGCUAUCAUUUUUCAAACGAAACAUUGGGUGAGAAUGGUCGGCAAUAUAAGACUAUUCCAUUCGCCGUUUACGCAAUCUUGAGAUUCAUUUUGCUGUCCGCAUAACAUCUCUUUGCUGUCCGCAUAACAGACGUCUCGACGUUAUUUCGACCAAUAGCAUUAUGCUGUCUUUUAUCGAAAAAAAAUGGUGAGAAUGGAUAGCACUGUAAGAACCUUUCCAUUUGUUGUUUACGUAAUCUUGAGAUUUGUUUUACUGUCAGUAUAAUAAUGUCUCGACCUUAAUUUCGACCAAUAGCAUUAUGCUGUCCUUUUUCAAAAAAAGAAAAUGGUGACAACAGGCAGAAAUAUAAAACUUUUUCAUUUGUCGUUCACGUAAUCUAAGGAUUCAUUUUGCUGUCCGCAUAACGAACAUUUUGACCUCAUUUCGGCCAAUAGCAUUAUACUGCUGUCCUACAAAAAAAUAGUGAGAAUGUUCGGCAACAUAAGACUUUUCCAUCCGCCGUUCACGCAAUCUAGAAAUUCUCGUUUUUGCUGUCCGCAUAAUAAACGUCUCGACCUGAUUUCGACCAAUAUCAUUAUGCUGUCCUUUUUUUUUCAAAAUAUUGUUGAGAAUAAACAUAAAUAUAAGAUUUUUUUUGUCUGGUCACACAAUCUUGAGAUUUAUUUUACUGUUCCACACAAUGGACGGCAGAAGAGAUAAUCUCCCUGCCAUAUAUAUAUAUUAAUUAAUUUAUUGUUUAUGGUAAUGUAAAAAAAAAAAUUAUAUUUUUAACUUAGUGAGGAGAGGUGUGGUUCACAAUGCACCGGGUUCAUGCAAAAUGUCCCAUCUCUCUCUCUCUCCUCUCUCUCUCUCUCUCUUUCUCUCUCCCUUCCACUCGAAGCAAUUGCUUCGCUCUUUCGCUCGCUCUCUCUCUCUCUCUCUCUAUAUAUAUAUACAGAGAAGAGACCACUCCUCUCUCUCUCUCUCUCUCUCUCUCUCUCUAGGGUUUCACCUCUCUCUCUCUCUCUCUCUCUCUUUUUCUCUUUGGAUUGCUUUGAUUUGGUGGAGGCGGGGUUGGAGGAGACAUGGAGUCGGAUUCGUGGAGCCGCAUCUCGGCCGCGUCGAGGCGCCACCCAUCCGCGCUGCAAUCGCGAUUCGGUAACGGAUUCGAAGAAUUCGGUAGAUUUUUCUGUUUUUCUGUUUUUUUUUUUUUCUUUUUGCGACGAUUUCGGGGGUUGUUUGUUUGGUUUUAGGGGUUGAUUGGUUGGCUUUUUGGGUCUGAUCGAUCCGGGGGGGUUUUGGGGUUCGGGUUGUGUUCAGAUCUGCUUUUAGGGUUUGAGGAGAUCGACGUCGCGGAGGAGGACCUGAAGGCGGAGUUCCUUUGCCCGUUCUGCUCCGAGGAUUUUGAUAUUGUAGGGCUAUGUUGCCACAUCGACGACGAGCACCCCGUCGAGGCCAAAAAUGGGGUAAUUGAUCUCGUUUCUCGCCUAAAUUCCUUUAUGGAUUGUUAUUUCCUGCGAUAACUUCAUAAAACUUGUACCUUUUAGGGUUUUUGUCGGGAAAAUGGGAUUUUUAUCUAGUUUUCUUGAUAGUUUGGUGUAUUAGCUCACUAUUCUUCUACUGAAAGUGGGUUUUUGGAUUAUUUUUCUCUAAUUUGCCUGCAGUUUCCUAUUUUCGUCGGCAUCGGAAAACCGUUAUUUGCUUGCAUUAGAAACUGGUUGUUUAGGAACUCCUCCUAUUUUGCGCUCCAUUUAUUGUUGUGCUUGAUGAGUUGCUUUUGGUGUGGCUUUUCCCUUUCUAACAAUGUCAACAAAACUCGUGUUUAUAGUAAUCAUGUUGUUUAAAGGGAGGAUUGAAAUUUAAAAUAGCUGGGCCUUUAUUCCAAUUCCAGGAAACUAGAUUUUAAGCUAUUUUUACAUUGGUUCUUAUUUAUCUGCUGCUUUAUCAGCACUGGAAAAUUCUAAAAAAACAGGAGUGAUAUGCACUUCAUCACUUAUUGUACUCGAUAAGUUGCUUUUGAUGUGACUUCUCCCUUUUUGACAAUGCAAAGAAAACUUAUAUGUAUAAUCAUCAUGACAACUUACAUGUAUAAUCAUCAUGUUGUUUAGGUUUGUUUAGGUUAGGAUUAGAGAGCACAGAGUAUGGGGUGUUUGUUCUUCUUAUUUGCUACGUAUUCAGCAUUGUAAAAUUUUAUACAACAAGUGUAAUGCUUGUUUUUUUUUGAAUUUGUUCUGAAGUUUGGCAAUUAGUUUCCUAUGAUGCAUGAGCUAUUUAAUCUCUCAUUCUUAUCUGAUUCAAUGGAAUAUGGUUUUUGCACUCUUAUGCUUCAUUUCAUACUUUGACUACUAAAAAUGUUUUUUUUUUUUUAUGCACCUAAAUCGGUUGGUUUUUGGUUUUUGGGUUGUGGGUACUUGCCUAAUUACAUCAUUUGUUGUUUAGACUUUAGAGCAUCUUUAUAUUCUUACUCUUUGUUGCAUGGAUCACUAUUUUACGAAAUGACAAGAAAUUUUUUUAUAAUUUGGGCCUUGAUUGUUAUUUUAUGAUGCGACAGGGAAACUUUCCAUGAUUUGUGUCCUUUUUACCCUAUUGCAAACCUGUAAGCCAAGAAUCUGGGGACACUAGCAAAUCUACAGCUGAUGCUUCCUCGAUUUUGUUAAUUGUCGCUUAUUGUUGGAAUUCUUUCUUUUGCAGAUUUGUCCUGUCUGUGCGGCUCGAGUCGGGAUGGAUUUGGUUGGGCACAUAACCACGCAGCAUGGGAAUUACUUCAAGAUAUCCUUUCUUGUUAAACUUUGGUAGUAUUACAUUUAUGCUGGUCCUAUGGUUGCAAUGAUCAUAGACAACCAUUCGCUAUAAGUUGAUAUGUAAUCAAAAUUAUGAGAGGUAUAAAUAUAUGCCACUUGAAAGCUAAUUCUCUUUUAUACACUUGCACUUUUAGAAACAUUCCUCCUUAAAAACACUUUUCUAACUGAAAACCAUCUCCCUAACUUAACAUGCAAAUGCAUUUUUGCAUGAAUUUGCGCUUCCAAGUCUGCAAUACAGAAUUUGGAUUUUACAGUGCUUCUUAUAUGGAUUUAGAUGGUUUUGCAUGGAUGAUCCGAAACAUCAGUUCAUCAAGAAUAUUUACUUAGCUAUAUCUCAUGGGGCUGCGCCCUUGAAUUCCUUAAUCAGAACUUACAUGCAGAAAAGGAGGAAACCCCGAAGAGGUUCACCAGGGUCGCACUCUACACUUUCCAUUUUGAGAAAGGAUCUACGUGAGGGGAAUUUGCAUUCCUUUUUUGGCGGAUCCCCUUAUCCAGUUUCUUCCUCCAAUACAACACCUGAUCCGCUGCUGUCGUCAUUUAUUAGUAAUUUACCAGCUGUUGAUUUGUCAAGCGAUGUACAGUGUGAGCCCUUGGACGAAAGGAGCGUGGACUCCAUCUCUUUAGAGGAGAAAGAAGUCGAACGGUAUGAUCGAUUUGCUAAUCUUAUAAGUGCAUCACUGUUCAUAAUAUUUAUCACACCUAUAAUUAAAGCUUGAGCUAGUCUAAAAUGUUAAUUGGUGAUUAAUUACCCAGGUUGGAGUGUAUAACAUGUUGUUGGUAUUAGUGACGGCAUGAGAUGGUGUUAUGUACUGUCACAAGAAACCAAUACCGAGUAAUAACUCUUUAUGCAAGUUAUAGUAAACAUAUAGGAUUUCUCCCAGGUGCGGAAAAGCUAAAAUUUGGUGGGCUAUCAACAAGAUGCUUGAGAGUCCAUUUGGGAUCUAUAAGGCUUAUGACCUUUUCUGCUUGUCCUUCGGCUACCAACUUCUCUUUUCUAUAAAGGGAUUUUAUUGGAACAGACAGAGAAUGUAGAUGAAAAGAAGUGAACCGUUCUACAAAUUUUCCCUCUUUCUUUCUGGAAACAACACUGCCACGUUGUCUCCUUGUCAGGAGAUUUAGCUUUGUUUGACAGCUGAGCCUCGUUAUUACUGAAGUUCGGUGCAUCAAUUGCGCAACAUUAAGUGAAAUUUUGCUGUGAGUUUAGCGACUGGUUGCAUCUUCGGUAGUAGCUGGUAAUAGAAAUAAGAGGCUUUCUUAUGGCCUUUCAAUAGACUGACAGUGACACCGAAUUGCCACUCAUAUCUUGGGCCUUAGCGGCAAGAGCAGAUAUCAAAAGGAAUUAGUUGUAAUCGAAUUGAUUCUUAGGCACUAGAGGAUAAGAAUUAGCGGUAACAUUGGGAACAUGAUUGAUUGAUUUAGGAAAACCAAAGAGUUCGCGGAGUCCUGCCCGAUGUGAGGCAGUGGAUAAAAAAAUGAUAAAAAAAAUAACAAUUACCAAUUUUCACAACAUAAUAAAUCUAAAAAGUAUGUAGUGGUGGAGAAGUUCUGAUGUUUCAUAGAACAUGCAGCUAAAAGAGGAGAUAAAAGUGAUUCAAAGAUUUAGAUGGCUUGGCUGUUCUCCUUGGGAUUGCUCAGCUUUAUUUUGUAUUAUUAUAUUUGAGUUGGUAAAUUCAUUUUUGUUCUACAUUCUUUCUCCCCAGGGAGGAAUCUGUAGGAAGAAAUCGAUAUUCCGUCUUUUUUUAUAUAUAAUUUUAUAUUUGAUUUGGUAAUCUUGAUUAUCUGCUCCGUUCUUUAUUCACAAUAAGGAACCUGUUGCUGGAAGGACAUGUUCAAUGCCGCCUUUUAUUUUGUAUGUUUGAAAUAGCAAGCAUCUAUUGUAAUUGUAAACUCAAUGCAUACUCUUUCCAUAGAAUGCACGGCGAAUCGCAACCACAAAUUCAUCUUUCUACGCUUUUGAUUCAAUUUGUCAAUUUAAAUGUGCACAAGACUGCACCUGACCUUCUAAGUGCCUCUUACCUCGCAGCGUCGAGCCAUCCGUACCGGACGAAGAUCAGGAGGAGAGAGCUCGGAGGAGCCAGUUCGCGCACGGUCUCGUUUUAUCCACAAUAUUCGAAGACUCCUUAUGAGGAGGAUGGGGCGGUACACCUCUCAACCAUGGCGGCUGCUGCUUUGACAGUCUGACCGGAGAGAUCAUGAAAAACGGACGGCAAGGAGCUGCGACUGCCAGCAUCGCGAGUUGGCGGCUUUGCCCGAGGGAGGGAGGGAGGGAGGGAGGGAAGUGGAGACAGGCAGGGAGAGAGAGAGAUACUAUAGAAGUUACUAUGUAUAUUUUUGUAUUUGGACCAAAUUGGAAGUAAUAGUAUUUAUAUUUAUAUAUAUAUAUAUAUAUAUAUAUAGUAUUGGGACUAUUGUUGUAUUCCUCAUUUAGUAAGGUUAUUUGUGCAUAUGAACAACAACAACAACAACAACAACAACAACAAAAACCCUAGAACUACCAAAAAUGAUUGAAACUUGUGAUCAUAAUUAUGUUUCCAUGUUUAGUACAUCGGCACUCGUCUUUUUCUUUUCUUAAUGUUGAGCAUUCCUUUGAUCUCUAAAUGACUUCUCAUUUAGGCUAUGGAUAUGUUAUAGAUGGAUGGAUGGUUGUGAUGUUGCAUCAAGAGCUUUUCAAGAAUGUCUUUAAGUGUCAGUUGUCUCAAGUGGCUUCAGGUUGUAAUGAUGCUUGUAAAUUAGAUGUAUGUUUUCUACAGCCCAGUGCGUGAAAUUUUCGUAUCUGUUUCUUUCUUUCAGGCGGAUUAACGCUUCAGCUAACGCGGGGCUGUGUUUGUGUUUUGUGGUUGUGGGUUGCUGUGUUUGGAUAAAAAAUGAGGAAAGUUGGAGGAUAGAGGUGAGGGCAGACUGUAACAGGCGCGAGUUACUAGGCGAAGCGCGGUGCGAACUGCCGCCGCUUUACGACUUAGCAAACUCGCCCUGAGGACUUGUUCAGCUUGACUGGAGAUUGAACAAAAGCAUUGUAAAUGCAACUGAGAAUGUUCUGCUGUAGCGAGAAGUCGAAGGGACCGACCGAAUUGGGUAUACGUCGCACGCCACACACUGAUCGGGAUCUGUCGGCCCUGAUCUCAUCCAGUAGUUUCACUUCGAUCUGAUGGCUCAGAUUCCAGCAUGUCUGCGAUCAGAUCCAACGGUUCUGUGCGAUCAACUCACUAUUUGAUCAAGAUCCAACGGCUCAAACAGCAUUUCGAUUCGAUACUAGACGAUCACGAUCUGAGUUUUCUACAAGCAAGGAAAUCUAAAUAAGUCGAUUCCACUAUAUCGUAGCCGUUCGUAAUACUUUUCACUCUAUCAUAGCCGUUCAAAAGUAUUACGGAAAAUCAGAGUGACAGUAAACUGGGCUAGAAUACUUCUAGAAGUAAGUGAAGCCGUUUACUUCCGUAUCAUUCUUGGCAAUAGAGCAUUCGAUUCGAUGGCCAGUACUGUUAAACACGAUCUAAGAUAUUUGAAUUAUUUAGAUCUUAAAUUUCAUAAUUAUUCGAUAUCAUUUGCGUAGCCCUCUCAAAUGGCUCAAAAAUUAACAAUCUUUAAUGGAUAAUAAUAUAAAAUAAAUUUCACACCACUUGAUCACUAAACAAAUGCUAUUAUAAAAUCAUAAAUUACUUUCUAAGAAGUUUAAAUAACUCCGAACAUAUUUAACAAAGCCAAUCGUCGAUUCAGAAAUCCUAUCGUUGGAAACAACUCGGGGAAGUAGCCGGCCCCGUUUACUUCUAAAAGUAUUCUAGCAUUACUCAAUAACAACUAUAACCAAAAAAAAAAAAAAAAAUUGCUAUACUAUAAACCACAGAGGGUUAAUACUAAUUUCAUGAUAUAAUCUUUGAAGCUGCACUUAAAGAAGUGAAAUAAUUGAAUACAAUUUUUAAAAAAAUGUCUCCUUUACAAUCAAAGUCCCUCACUAUAUAAAGCAGAGAAUUACAUGAACUAUUGAAUGAAAUAUAAUGCCUAAAAAGAUUUCUCAACAAACUAAAUGAUAAAAAGAGCAACAGGGCACAAAGAAUAAAGAUAAUAAUAAUAAAAAAAAUGUAUCUUUUUUUUUUUUUCUUUUCUUUUUCCUCUAUUCACAAGACCCAUAAAAAAAUUAUAGGCCUAUAUUCUUCUCUCUCUCUUUCUCUCUCUUCUUUUCUAUAGUGUGUGUAACAAGGAUGAACAUAUAAUAGAGGUAUAAGAAAUUCCUAUUUUGCACUUGAUCAUUCAAAAAGAUGUAAAGAAGAAGAAGAAGAAGAAGAAGAGUUAACCAUCUCUAAUAUUAUCUUCGUAGAGCCCUUCGAGAAAUCGUAGAUAAAUGUCGAGGAAAACGAAUUGAAAUAAUUGCAACUCACCAGCAGUGAGAGAAAUAGUUUUUCUCAAUCUCUUCGCGCCGAAAUCCACAUCAAUCUGCGCCGUUAGUUAUUCAUUCUACUUCGAGCUUCCCGAUUUUCCACUUGCCGUUCUCUUUCCGUCGAUGCCGUUCGAAGAAGGCGGCCUUCCGUUCUGCCGUGACUUCUGGACCGGAACGUUCGGUAUUUUGCGUGACGGAGACGGGGACAGAUUUUGAACAUGAUUUGUACUCCUGAAUAAUUGAAAAACAGAUUGAAAUAUACCAAUUAAAAAAAAAAAAAACUAUCAGCACUAAUCUUCAAAAUGCACCUUAAAUUUUAAGUUGAUUUGAAAGUUUUCGAUACCAUGCAUGCCACACUAACAUACAUAUUUAUUCGAAGCAAACUUUUGGAGGGGAUUUACAAAAUUGUGGGACUUUUGAGGGGUACUAGUGCAAUUUCCUCCAUGAGACUCAUUAUCUACAUUACAUGAAUAUAAACAGAAGGAAAUCCUGAAGAACAAUAACGAAUAGUUAAUUGCCGUCAAAAUUGUUCUUUGCAUUGUACUAAUACACUAUUGAAAGGUAUAUAUUAAUUUAUUUUGUUGAAGUUUGUAACCUAUGUCAAUUGCAUCUAAAAGUUUCAAUUUUGACAAUUUAGUCCUUGAAGUUUGUCCCGCUUAACAAUUUAAGUCUUUCUGUUGGUCUAUCAUCUGAAAAGAACCAGUUACCAUUGCCGUUCAAAACCGAACCUAAAAUGUUAGUCAUGUCACCUAAGUACUCCAAAGACACCAUGCUAAUGUGCAUUUUUCUUUAUGCGUCGUGACAUAGGGUCGUGCCGAGAAGUUACUGGUACGAUACGAGACACUGUGUGUCAUGUCAUACUUUGCUAGGAUGUGCCGGUCACAAAAUUAGCUGUGCUUAUACAAUAUGACAUGAAAUAAUUAUUUUCUUUAGCACUACUAAUAUAUUCUAAGUGCUUAUAAUAUAUUUUUAUCAAAUUUUAUGCACUUUAUUGAGGUAAUUACUAGCUAAUUUCACAUAAAAGAGAAUUUUAAACCGUGCCAUCAGCACAAGUGUUGUAGCAUGCCAAUAGCUUGUUAGCAUGGUACAGCACAAUGGGCGUGGCCCAUGCCGAUGGAUGCUUAAAUCCUUUACGCAGGACAAAUUUCAUGGAAGAAAUUUGAAAUUCAGAGGAAGAAUUUGGAAUCAUGGUCCAACUUCGAUAACUAUAUUCUUUAUCAAACCUAAUUCAUUUCCGAAUUCUCAACUAUCACCUAGUGCACCUAAUUUCAUCAUUUCAGUAAAAAUCACCUGUUAUCUGGAAUCUUCAUGGCCUUCGACUGAGGCUUCUUAGUCCUCGGUGCAACCCCAUUGCUCGUGCUUGUGACCUUCGGAACAUUGAAUUGCAACAUCAUAUCUUGUUCCGAAGAAUCGCUCGUCGCGAUAUCUAGAUCGUCUGAAUCAUCAGUCGCGACAGAUUCAGCACCACUUCUUUGCUGAUCCGAAUAAACCCUCAUAUCGGGAGAAUAUCUCUGGUAGAAUAAGCUCGGCAACUGCACAUUAUCCCCUUCCCAUUCUCUCAAGGAAUCCAAGUCCCUAUCAUUUUCGAGCUUAUCCAUGACAAUUUUGUCCACCCAAUCCCCUACUUCUUUGUCAUCAUUCGCCGUUAAUAGCUCUUCCAGAUCAUAGUUUGGCUUCUUUGGGACCAGAAUUCCAUUGCCCCGCAUCUUCAUAGAAAUAAAAAGAAAACAAAAGUUAAAAAUUAGAUUGUACCAAGUAAGUUAACACUGGACAUAACAGUUGUAUCGAUACAUUACCUCUAUAUUACCGACAUCUUCCAUUGGCUGUCGAGGGUUAGGGUUUCCAGGAGAACCUUCACCGGAUCUCGUCUUGAAUAUAUCCGGGCUAGACAUUGUACUUCGAAGAUGAUGCCCAUGUUCUUCAUUUUGCCUAGCUAACGCCGCCUUAAGACUAAUUAUCUGGAACAUAGAAAAGAUUACCAUUUUCAUAUUUUAAAACACUAAAAGCAACUAAAUUUAACACUAAAUAUGAAUUUCUUAUGAAAACCUGUUCUUUGAGCUCUUUAACUUCUCCGUUUUCUUUAUUCAACCGGGCCGCGCCAAGCUCAACGGUCGCGACACGCUCUGCAAACUUAAGAGUGCUUAGGGUCUCGCCAAUGGCGUCCAUCUCGGGGCUUAUGUGAACAAACAUUAAUGUUUUAGCUUGCCCUCCUGAACAUUGAAACCAAAAUUAUAACCUUUCAAAAACAUAAUAGGGUAAAAAUGUAUCAAUGGUUACGAACUACCGCGAUAUUGUGUAAGUAGUCCUUUAACUAUCCACUUAGACACCUAAAUCCCUAGACAUUCUAAUAUAUUUUCGAAGUUCACAUUCCGUCCAGAAUAGAAAUUCAUUUUUGAAAAUAAAGAUUGGAAAAGUAUUUCUUACCAAGUGAGUCUUGUAAUAGCUGCGUGAGUUUACUAUUCCUAUACGGAACAUGCGAGUUUUUCUGGGCGAGAGAAGCUAUUACAUCUCCGAGAGCCGAGAGUGAUUUGUUUAUGUGCUGCGCCUCUUUUAACCUGUCUCCUCGGACCUCCGACUUGUCGACUCUCUCACUACCCGCCAAAUCGACUAGAUGCAUGCAUCCGCGCAGAACAGCUCCGGAAGUUAAAUCUCUUCCUUGAACGUGAACGGUUAAGCAGCUGCAAGUAAAUGGAAGUGAUUUUGUUUUAAUUCGGAUGUUUUUCCAUAACAAAAUCCACUAUUUCUAUUGAUUUUGCAAAUUUGGUAAACUUUGAAUUGUGUGCUUUCGACAAAAGUAUCCUUGCCCGGAAUCCAGGGCCCAUAAUAUGCGAACUACCAAAUAAUGAUGAAGUGUGUUAAAGUUGCAAAACUGGAAAAAAAAAGAGAAGAAGAGAGUAUAUAUGUGGGUUAUUUUUCCACAAAACACCCUACACAAUUUACUAUCUAAAGUAGAAGAGGCAGAUUUUGAAUAUGAACCUGUGAGAGCGACUACUGCGGUCGUUCAUUGCCGUAGCACUGACCACACGAUUCCUUUGACCUAAGUUCAUCAACUCAAUAACCUCCGAAGUCGACGUAACUGGGACCAUGCUAGCAUCUGGCACGGCGAGUCCUUUUUGCGAACUAUUCCGAAUCUCUAAUGUUUUUACUUGUUAAGGUUAUCAAACUCGCAUCCACUACCGAAAAAAUAUGUAGCUCUGUCACAGCACUAGUUGAUAAAAUUAUAGAGAAAACUAAGGACAGUUUAAGAAAAGGAUAUCUUUUGGUAACUCCGUCACUUGCGAGGAGAUCUCUCACUUGCUCAUUAUAAAUCUCAAUCAUUUGAACGGUGAUCUCAUAACAAAACGUGUCUCUUCUCUGCUCUGAAAGGUAAAAUAGAUCGUUCAAUGCCCUAUAAUUAACUCCGAGACUUUGCUCUGUUAACUCGUUUGGCCCACUCUGCACAGUAGAACACCCAAAAAAAAAGAAGGAAAAGCAAAAAAGUAAAAAAGAAAAUGUUCAAUUCCAUUUGGAAGUCAAAAUGUAUUCAAAGUUUGAUCAAACCUUAAAGGACAGAUAGAAAUUUAUCAAAAAUUUUUCUCACCAUCGUAUGAGUCUUUCCUGAUCCUGUUUGACCAUAUGCAAAAAUGCAUACAUUAUACCCAUCAAGAACGGAUCGAAUCAGAGGUUGAGUGUCUGAGAAAACCUCUUCUGCACAAAUUGAAAAGAGAGCUUAUUAUUACAAAGCAAUAUUUUUUACUCAUCAAGAAGAAAAAAACACAUGCAUACAUAAAAAUAAUUCAAAUUUAUAAUUUAGUCUAAAUUUCCUGUACACAAAUGCCGUUAGCUUAUAUAAUUUGGGCAGUUUUUGUGAGUACAAAGUGAUACAUAUAAUAAGUUUAUGGACGGCGUAUAUCGGAAUUCAGGCACUGCAGUCUUGCAGGGCAUAUGUAUAUAAGUUAUUUUGCAAGGAUGUAUUCGUAAAUCUCUAAUAAAUCUUAGGAAGGAAAAAGGAAAAUGUGAAGUAGGAAAAUACUUAGCCACUCACCUUGAGUGGCCGAUGGUCCAAACACUUUAUUGAAGGUAAACGAUUUACGCCCUUCUUUGCUAUACUUCGCAGGGGUGAUGAUGGUGAUGGUGCCGUCAUCAAUUCGACCGAUUGUGCUCGCAUUGCAUGUUUGUCCAGGCAAAAAGGGCCUUACACGGCAAUAUACUCUAAUAUUUCCUAAUAGGCAAGAAACAUAACUUAAUCCAAUAGGGAUAUAAUUUGAAGGAUCUUUUUUCAAAUAGAAGGAAAAUAAAAAUAAAAUAAUGGAGGGUGAAAGAGUUCGUCGUCUUACCUCUAAGAUCCUGGAUUUGGUUGUACAACUUUCUAUUUUCCUCAAGAACUUUGUGAUACCCAGAAGCAGCAUGAGAAAGGACAUGGAAAUGCUUACCUAGUAGAAAAGAUUAAUGUAAACUGUUGUUUCAGCGAAAAAGAAAACCAUUGUAAUAAAAAAGAGCUAAAAAUAAUCUUACCAAGGUUGGCAAAUUCGUCGGAGUACUGUAUUUUCAUAUACUCUAUACCAGAUUUAGUAGCACGAAGGGCAUGUCUUAAUUCCUACAAUACGAGGGGUGCGAAAUAUUAAAUAAGUUGAUGCCAAAUAGCCAUUAGACUAAAAUUUUUUUAGGGAUUACUAAAAUAUAUAAUAUUACUUCAAUCUCUUUUUGUUGUCGGUUGACAAUUAGCUGUUGCUUUAGAUGAUUGUCGUUUGAUAUCUCUCCAGUUUUGAGACCCAUGCCAAUGUCCUCUUUUUCCAAAUCGCUAGAAAUUUCCUCUUCCUUGUCCACCUGAUACAUAAUGAUUUAUAAGUUACACACUUGAUCAAAAUUCAUAAAAGGUAUUUAGUCAAUAUUUUCCAUUUGUGCAUAAAAAUGUAAGGAAUUGUUUUGAGAUACUCCGUCGCAUAUCAUGAUUAGACUUUAUCGCCCUGUAGUGCAAUGUGUAACACUUCAUUGCCGUUAUUAAGCACAUGACAAUUGAUGGCUCAUUGAAACAUUAAGUCUCUAUUUGGAUGCAUGAAUAUCUUAUUCUGUAUAUGUCUCUAAUUUACUCGAGAAGCUUGUAGUGUUUGGUAGAUGAGAAAUGCGCGGAAACGUCAAGAAUGGAGUAGCAUUCUCCACCUUCAGCUCAUUUUUUUCGAAAUAACAUAAAUCUUCUUAUAGGUGAAAUAUGUUAUCAUACCAAAUCAUGAAUAUUAAGAUCUCUCAAGGAGCAAAAGAUCAAACUCAUAAACUCCAAUCAGACAAGAAAAUUUCAUACUAAAUAUGUUAUCCAAGAAUGGCUUAUUCCGACAUCCAAACUACAAGGCCUGAGGGUCUAUUUGGAUGUCGGAACUAGUUAAGAGCAAAUAACAAUCAAAAAGGGUUUAACACUUUAGUCUCAUUGAUUCUUUAAAUUUAUAAUAGUAAAACGAGUUGCGUGAUUGUUAUGUGCUCAAGUUUGACAGCAAGUCCUAACAGCAAAUUGGAGCAACAAAUUCAAGCUAGCGCAAUUGGGCUAUACCGCAGAAGUCUCUGUGAAAUUUUGCGUAAACUAUAACAUGAUAGGCAAUCAUAGACGAGUCUUCAAUAUUCCUGCCCCUCCCCAAAGAAUAACACAACGAGCAUCGGAGAAAAGAAUUUCUGAUGAAGGAUUCAUAUUAAGGACUAAGAUGCAAAUGUACCUCAUUAUCAGUAACGACAGAUGGAAGCUCCGUCGAAUCGUUCGGUCUGAAAACGGACUUAACAUCAUUAGUGUCCUUCAAAGUUGUCUUCACCUGUAAAGUUUUUAAACAUCAAAGUCAAACAGCCUGAAUGCAGCUUUUAUGACGAUCCAGUUGUCAAAAAAAAAAAAAAAAAAAAAAAUGAGGGGUCAAUUUAUUGUAUUUGGUUUAGUAGGGAAAACAAAAAUGCCAUAUAACCCAGUUUAUUGUGUAUAGAACCAUACCAUGCUAAAAGUAAGAAAAUUAAUAUAAAAUUGCAUUAGAGAAUUAAGCUCUACAUGACUACGCACGCCGCAGUAUUAUAUGUAAGGCAAGCAAAGGGUAGAGCAUACCAACUCAUUUUGGCUUGCAAUUCGACGCUCGAAUUCCUGCAUAACUUUACUUAACAUCGACUCCACAAGCUGCACAAAAUUAUAGCGUCAAUUCCCUCGUAUUCAUAGAUCAUAAUCAUGAUCACGUUCAAUAAAGUCCUUAACGAAAUUCUUAAUCUCAGAAGUCUCACCACUGGAACUUCUUCUGGCUUCCUAUCUGAUAAAAUCGUCCGCACAAGCAUGUUUAAAGACUGAGAGGUUGUCUACAUACAAGAAAACGAAAAGAUUGAUUAGCAUAAUAAGUCGUGAUAAAUUGUAGGAGGGAAAAGAAAAUUCUGAUUCAGCUUACCAACCAUUUCAGUAGAUUCAACGGAGAAAUCAACACUUAAGUUUUGCUCCGCCGAUAAGCCAUCAUGAAACCGCUCGCCCGACUGGGUUCUAAAUAAGGAAUUCAUGAAGGGUUCGGAAUUUUUCCUUACAAAAUGUUUCCCUGUGGUAGCUGGUUUUAAUAUCCCCCCAUAUUUCCACGAGCUUUGCCGGCCCAUUUGCUUGUUUUCGCCGAAGGAUUUAAGAGCGAGGACACAAUUCACAACUCGAACACCCUUCCCUCCCUACAAAACCAAUCAAAAUAUAAUUAAACAUUCAGAGGGACGAAAGGCAUCAAAGUGCAACUUUUUUAAUUUUCACUAACAAGAAAAUAUAAGGGCUCGUAGGAGAAUUUUACUAGAAAGGCUAGAGAACCCUGUUUCUUGAUGAAUCCUCUUAACACCAACAUUCUUAAAUUUGCACAACAAAAUGCGGUGGACAAGGUCAAAUUUGAAUUUGCUUAGCUUGAUUGAAAUGAAAAGCCUCUAAUAUCGAUGGGAUUGGAUCCCCAAGUAUCCAAUUUACCGAAAACGGUAUAUCUUUGGAAUGGACGAGAUUAGAUAAGUCAUGAGAAAAGGUAGAGAUUUGCAUUUUUUAACGACAAUAUAAGUAACUCCCUAAGAUCAAAAGUUCAAUUUAGACAAAGCGCGGUAGACAAAUUUUGAGCUUUUUUUUUUUGCCAAUGGGACUGAAGUUAAACAAACGAUCCCACCUUUUCAAGAUCAGAAGCCUCAAAUGUAGGUAGGCCUAAGUCCUCGAGGGCAACAAGAAAGUUCCUCACAUUCUCAAAGUAUUGAUAUGCCGACAAAGCCGCCCCGUCGGGGGGAAGUACUGAAUCCGCCGGAACUUCUACCACCUAGAAAACAAUCAUCAAGUAAGAGAAUUAUUCGCACACACUAGCAGGCCAAGGAACCUUUCAUGAUACAACAUUGGUUACAAAAAAUCGAGCAUGUUAUCGGUAGGUUUUGAUCGUCGAGGAGGGUAAACUACGAACUACCAUAUAUCUAGAGGGGAUUGUUGGCGUUCUAGUCGAACAGAAACUGGAGAAAAAGAAAACCAACCUUCGGCACGGCGCCGGGUUGGACUUUAUUGAGUGCAUUGCAGAGAACAAUCCCGUUUCUUAAGCCGAGCCUGAAUUCCUCCUCGGAGGGCUCCUCGGGCAAAUCUCUUGCAGCCACCAUCCCGACCGUCCUCCUCAGCCAUCCGGCGGCCUCGUAUCUCCUCGCAGCUGAAUCAAUCAAAUAGAAUAAUAUACAAGAAAAAAAAGGGAAUUAAUUCUUUGUAUUUGUUUUACCCAUAAUUCUCAAUAAAGUUGGAUUCGAAAUGUUAAAAAAGAUAUUAAAUAAUCUCGAUUACUCGCUGGGAAUUAAAAGAAGAGUAUCAAUGUAAAAACUCACACAUAAGGUACCCUCUUAUUUGGAACUGAAAAUAUAUAUGUAUAUAUAUAAAUAUUUGUAUACUAAAGAGAAAAAGAAAUUAAAACAAUGUGGGACUAUAGAGGCCAUUAAUUAGCAUCAAAUUACGUCCCAACACAAAUUCAUUUAGCAAAAAGAUAUUGGAAAUUAGGAAAAUAAAUAAAAUAAGAAAUUUUCGUAACAAAAUAAUCGAUUCAUAACAAAGGUGAUAAAAAUCCAAUUUUUACUAAAAAACAACAAAAAUUCUUCCUGUAUAACUCCAACCAAUUUCACCAAUACAUAUUUAAGUAAGAUCACAAAGAUAUUAAAAUGUUAUUCAUGAAAAAAAAUUAGAAACAACUCGAGAAAUUUCACAGAAAAAAGGGGAAAAAAAUCUAUCAGAGAAAGAGAAGAAAAUAAAAUUAAAAAAAGAAGAAGGAACUCUCAUAUAAAACAUAUCCUCGUUGAUAAAAAUCAAAUUUUUACUCCGAAAAACUUACCAAAAAAACAAAGAGAAAAGGAAAUUUUUUUAUCACCUAGUAGUAUAUUUCUUUUGAAUUUAGUAAAAUUUUCAAAAUAUUCUAUCAAAAUUUAUUGGAAGUUUCCGGUUUUAUAUAUUACAAAAUUUAUAAAAUGUUUGAGUACCAAAAUAUUACUCUGUAGAUUAAAAAAAUAUUCUAUAACAAAAAUAAAAAAACAAAGUUAAAUUCCGAUAAAAAGCACUAAAUCGAACAUAUUAUCACUAAUUUUAUUCAUAAAAUUAAAAUUCUUAAAGCUCAAAUACCUUUUCCAAAGUGUGACAUAGCUUAGUUAGGUCCAUACAUUUUCAACCAAAAAAAAUCAUGCAAAAAUCACGAAAAGUUGCGAAAAAAUUCAUGCAAAAAACAGAUUUUACAUCGAAAAAUUGGAAAAAAAAUCGUGGAAAAAUAUAUUAAAAAAUCCGUUAAAUUCUGAUAAGAGGCACUCAAAUAAAACAUAUUAUUGAUAAAUUUGUUACUAAAAUAAAAAAUUUUAAUGCUACAAAGAUCCUCGCGAUUCAGCCAAAAAAAAUCAUGCAACAUUCACGAAAAAUACCGAAAAAUUCACGGAAAAAUCUGAUUUCGACGCCGAAAAAUUGCGAAAAAAAGAAUUCGUGGAAAAAUCGGAAACCCUAACACACCCGCCUCCUCGGCCUUCCUCGAGGCCAAAUCGCCGUCGCUGAGCCGCGCCCCGUGCUGCUUCAGCACGUCCUCCACCACCGACGCCACCUCGAUCGAGAACACCCCCUCCGUCGCCAUCUCCUCCCCCAAUUUCCACCAAUUGGAACCCUAGAAAUUCCCCGAUCGACCUCGCAGGAGCUCGAAUCCCCUGACAAAAAUGGGAUUUCGAUGAGAGAGAGAGAGAGAGAGAGAGAGAGAGAGAGGGGGAGAGGAUUUGAGUGUGUGGGCGCUACGAAAAAGAGGAGAGAGAGAGAGAGAGGGAUUUAGAGAGAGAGGGGAAUGGUCCGAGCCUUACUCCGAGCCUCUCGCUUUUAUUAUUUUUUAAUUUUGGGAUGAAAAAUUGUACGAUGAACCCUCAACUAUUGGCUAUUUUGUAAUACCCUCUCAACUCUGAUUUUCUUUUGGGAAAAUUUCAAAUACCACAUCUGUGUGGCUUCGCACUUUUUUUUUAUUUUAGUACCUUAUGAUUUAAAAUGUAUCAAUUUAUAAUUUUAUUUUUUUCUUUUUAUUAUCUACUCUAUUAAAUUUUUUUCGUUAAAUUAGUGAUAAAAUUAAAACUAGAAGAUACUAAAAUGAAUAUUCAAUAACCCUGGGUGGAGUAUCUAAUGUUUUUUUGUAUAUAAUUUAACGAAAUGUUAAUGGAAGAGUUCAUGAAAAGAGAAAAUAAAAAUCACAUGGUACUAAAUUGAUAUAUUUUAAACCAUAAGGUACUAAAGUGAGAAAGUGCGAAAUUACAGUGGUACCAUUUGAAGUUUACCUUUUCUUGGUAAAAAUACACAAAACUUACGUAAGCUACAUACGAUUUUUUGGGUAAAAAUCGAGCCCGAAACGGUUAAUUUUUUACCAUAUUUUAAAAUAUAUUAUAUUAAAAUUUAAAUCUUUAAAAUAUAAAUUUUAAUAUAAUAUCUAACAUUCACAUAUAUAUAUCCAGGUUCGAAUUGGAUUUGUGUUUGAGUUCGGGUUUGAUCAGGUUCAGACAAAAUCCAUAUCUGAUACGUUUCCAUCCAAUUUUCGGUUUUUAUACUUGUAUCCAAAAUUAUAUUCACUUUUAGUAUAUAUCCUUCCUGUUCGGAUUCAAAUUAUAGUAAUUUUUGGAGUCCGAACCCACUAUUAUUGUAUCAUCAAUCACAAUAGUGUCACAUCAUUUUCAUAUUAACGAGAUAUUAAUAUUUAAUAAGUUUAAUUGGUUUGUGAAAUUUGAUUACAAUAAUUAAGAAAGUCAAUUACGAUGAGGAACUAAGAUGGGGAGUAAAAUAGAACAGACAAGAAGUACAAGGUCUGAAGUGUGAAAUUGUGCAUGGACUAAUUGAAUAAGAAAAAUACUACUUGUACACCCAAAAAGAGGUGUAUGAUAUAUACCCCAAUUUAUAAAUCUUUUUUUUUGAGUUUUGAAUGUAAAAAAAAAAAAAAAAAUGAUAAGACAAUGUCAAGGAUCCGUUACGGGCUCUUAGAUAAAAAAAGUAUAAGAUUUAUACAUUAAUUUCAUGUAUAAAAAUAGUAGUGCUCAUUGAGCAUUGCUAUCCACACAUCUGAAAAAAAUGUAUGUAUUAUAUCCCAGACAGAUAGGUGGGGUGUCAGGUGCACAUCCUGAAUGAAUUGUAUAGAUAGCAUUUUUCAAACUAAUUUUGAAAGAUAAACGUUACUGACUCACCAAAAUAAAAGUAUAAAUUUUAUACCCUCUAAUACUAGUAUGUAAAAUUUUUUUAAAAAUUUUUUAUAUUUACAAAAAUUGAUAAAACAUAUGAGCUCUUGGAUAGGGAGCAAUGCUAUCCAUACAUCCAAAAAAAAAAAAAAGCAUAUCUUAUAUUAAGAAAGAUGGGUGAGGUAUCAAAAUACACAUCUUAAAUAAAGUCAAAAAUAGCAUUUUUCUUGCUAAUUUUGGAUGAUAAAUACUACUGAUUCACCAAAUGAUGAUUAUAAAUCUUAAACUCCCUCAUCCUAAGACAUAAAAUCUUUUUAAAAUUUUUAGUAUUUUUUUAAAAUUUGACAAAACAUAUGACCUUUAGGUAGCAUGGCUUAUUUUGGAAAGUUAUUAAGUAGGUAGAGUAAUUGAGGCUUAAUGCCUUAAAUAUACCUUAUUUAGAAAAAGGGUCUUCAUUCAUUGUGGGGUUCUACUUUGGCACCCUUUUGGGUGCUUUUGCUUUAAGUGCUUUUAUUAAUGAUCUUAGCUUUUUCUUUUUCAUAAUUAAUUUUUUUUAAUUUGCCCCAUUUUAAUAAAUAAAUUUAUUACUUGCUUUAAAACACUAUCAAAUUACUUAUUAUUUAAUAGUGCAUCCACUUUCUAAUAACUAAAAUAAAUAUAUCAUAAUUUCUAUGAAAAAAAUAGUAUUAUAACAUUUUUGAAUUAUUAUUUAAUGUGCACCCACUUUAUUGUAACUAAUAAAUGUAUCAUAAUUCAAUUAUGAAAAAAGUUGCACCAUGAUCUAUGGACCAAACUUGGUAUAAUAUUAUGGUUGGUAAAAUAUCUUUUGCUUUUUUUAUUGUUUGUUUUUUACCUUCAUUACCAAUUCCAAAGAAACAUUUUGGAAAUUAAGGAGGCAUUUAAUUAUGGACCUCUUGAAAUUGUGAAAAAGAAGCAAACUUAAAAAAUAAGUUUCUAUUUUAUGUUAUGAUUAGCCAAUAAGGGAAAAAAGCUAUAUAGAAAAGGAUCAUGAUAACUUCUCAAGAAAUUUUCAUGUUACAUGGUGUUUUUAUUGGGAAAUGUGUGUUUGAAUAUUGUGAGAAUGUUAGUUUAUAUGUAAUUCAUUGUUAGGUUGAAAAUAAUUUUCAGUUGAACUAGAUUUCAGAUAAAAAUUAUUACUUAAAACAAGAUCCCUUAUGAUACUUACCUUGAAAAAAUAGAGUUAGGAAGGAAUUUAAUCAAUCAAGACAAAUCAAAUAAUAAAAAUGAGCAUUUAUUGCUGAAAAUAAGUUCACCCACUUUUACUUUUGAUGAAACAAACAUUCUCCGAAGAAUUCAUAUUUGAAACCGACCGUCCCUAAAGCAAGUGGCAAAGGGUUUGGUGGUUGAUACUUAAGGUCCUAAGUUCUAAUCCUAGUUGAUUCAUAUUUCCAGCUAAGUUUAUUUCUAAAUAAAAUAAAACGAAGCGGGUGGCGUGUUAUCUAUAUCUCAAAAAAAAAAGAAAAGAAUCCAUAUUUGAAAAGCUCUAAGAAUGAAAAUUCUUAAAAUUUCCUCCCAAAUUUUGUAGAUGGAAACAUAAAUCAAAAUUACAUUUUACAUCAUUCUAAGUGGUUGGUCAUGUCAUCUUUUGUGAUAAGCGUGUUUUGCACUAACUAAAUUGAUUUAUACACGCAAUUUUUACUUACAGACAGUUAAACACAACAUCAGUAUUUUGCGGUAGUUUCAACUUUAUAGAAUCAAGUGGAUUGGAUAAAACUAUAAUUAUUAUCUUUCAAUUUAUUAAAUUGCUAAUUGGACAACAUUUACAACUACAUUCAGCCAAACAAAUUCGCCAACAAAUAAAGUAAGCAUAGCUCUAAUAUUGCUAAAGAUUUUUUUACGUGGUUUCAAAGCUACUUAAUUUGUUUUACAUUGAUAGGUGACUUAAAAUGAAAGGAGUGAAAAAGAUGUAAAAAUCCAUCAUUACAAAAUAACCACUACAAUAGAUUAAAGACACAAUCUAUUGAUUGAUCACAUAAAUUCAACUUCUUAUGUGUACACUAAUAUAUUAUUUGGCAAUUAAGGAUACUCCCAACCAUAAAAAAAAAAAUAUAAUAAAAUAGAUGUUACUUAGAAGGUGUAAUAAUGAUGGGGAGUUGCUUGUGAUAGUAGUAGUAGGAGCAUUAGUUGGUGGUUUCUUGCUACAAACUUUACAAGUGCUUUACAUUCACAAUUGUAAUAAUAAAUUAUUCAAAUAUAUAAUUUUAGGAUAAAUUUCAGAUACCAUCCAUAUGGUUUCGUAUUUUCGCACUUUAGUACUCUGUGGUUUAAAGUGUAUUAAGUUAGCAUCGUGUGGUUUCAUUUUUAUCUUUUCGCCAGUUUCUUCGUUAAUAUUUCGUUAAAUUAUUAACAAAAAACUUCAGAUAUUCCACUUAGGUUUAUCGAAUAUUCACUUUAGUACCCUUUAGCUUUAACUUUGUCACUGAUGUAAUAAAAAAAAAUUAGUAGAACCGAUAAUAAAAAAAUAAAAAUGAAACCACAUGACACUAAAUUGAUACACUUUAAAUCACAUGAUACUAAAGUGUGAAAGUAUGAAACCACAGAGGUGGUAUUUGAAGUUUUUCCACAAUUUUAUAUGUCUGCUCAAAGGGGAUUCAUUGUCACGCCUCGAUAAUUUCAUAUCGUAUAAAAAAAAAUAGUGAUCAAAAUAUAAGGACCAGGAACUUUGAUACUCAUAACUGACUUAAGUAUUUUGAGCCGGUAGCUAGUUCGAGUCGGAAGAGUUAUUAGUAUCAGUAAGUCGAGUCGUUAAAUUUCUUAUUAGAAUCGAUUUGUUAGAUAAAAGUAUGACAAGAGUUUAAAAGCAUCCGGUGAAUUUUGUCGACGGAAGGGAACCUGACAAGAUAGUAAAUUGCAGAUUAUUUUAAAUUUUAAAUCUAUUUAAAAUUACGGAAAUAUAUGGGAAGGUAAUUAACGUAAUUUUUAAUUCACAAGUAUAAAUGAGACAUGAUCUAAAGUGCAAUAGCAACCAUUGUAAUUGAACAAUUAUUUUAUUUAAUAAAAUAAAUAAUGGAGUUUUUAAUUGUUAUAAAAUAAAGGAAAAUUAUCAUAAAACAUUUUUUUUUUUAAAAAAAAGAACCGCCAAUAAAGACUCGUUCCAUGUACACGAUUGCUGACCCUCUCCAACGGUCGACAAAUUCAAAAAUGUUAGGCUCGGGAUCCGAGCCUACUCGGCUCGGUCUUUAGAAACUCUUUUGGAUGCACCCGGUGCACCGUGUGCCAUAUAUAUAUAUAUAUAUAUAUAUAUAUAUAGAGUGAGACUACUAUCCUAUCGGAAGCACGGAGCCUUCCGUGCUUCCAGCUCGUUUUUGAUGUUGCGACUUUCGAAUCGUCGAUCGGCCUCCGUUAAACUUGAUCUAGAGUAUUUGAAGUACCUAGAAAAUAAUUUGAUGAUUUUACGGUAUCAUUUGCCUAGUGAACGAAGGGGCUCAAAAUCAACGCUGAAAAAAAAUCUUACAAAAUAUAAUAAAUGACAUUAAAAUUUAAUCAAAGAUAUUGAUCUCAUUUUAUAUAGUAUAAAAAAAUUUCUAUCAAAAUUUCACGUGAUUUGGAUAUUUCUACACCGUUAAACUUGCAACGGCUCACUACGCCAUUGAAAUUUGUUGAUUUUGAGCUCAUUCAAUCACUAGGCAAAUGAUAUCGAAAAUAAUAAAUUUAUUUUUAGGUACUCCAAAUACUCUAGAAUCAAGUUUAGCGGGGCCGAUCGACGAUUCGAAAGUGCGCAACACGAAAAGCAGUGGAACACGGAAGGCUCCGUGCUUCCGAUAAGCAUAGUAGCCUCACUCUAUAUAUAUAUAUAUAUAUAUAUAUAUUAUAUAUAUAAUUAUAAUGGAGUGAGCUGGUAUGCUUCUGAAAGCGUGGAGCUUCCGUGCUUCAAGUUGUUUUUCGAUGUUGAAACUUUCGAAUCGACGAUCGGCUCCGCUUAAACUUGAUCUAGGGUAUUUGGAAAUACCUAGAAAAUAAAUUUUGUGUAUUUUCGAAUCAUUUACCUAUGAUCGAAGAGGCUCAAAUUAAUAAUUUUAAUGACCGUGAUGAAUCGUUUACAAGUUUAACGGUGUUAGAAAUAUCCCAAAUCACGUAAAUUUUGAUAGAACAUUUAUACGAUAUAAACAAGAUUAAUAUUUUUAUCUAAAAUUUUAAUGUCGUUCAUCAUAUUUUGUAAGAUUUUUAUUUUUAGCCUGUGAUUUUGAGCCACUUCGAUCAUUAAGGCAAAAUGAUAUUGAAAAAUCACAAAUUUAUUUUCUAGCUACUUCAAAUAUUUUAGAUCAAGUUUAACGGAGCCGAUUGUCGAUUCGAAAGUCCAACAUAACAAAACGACUUGGAAGCAUGAAAGGCUCUAUACUUCCAAAACAAUCAGCUCGCUCGCUCUCUCUCUCUCUCUUCUCUCUCUCUCUCUCUCUCUCUCUCUCUCUCUCUCUCUCUUUAUUUAUAUAUAUAUAAUAAUAUAUAUAUAAGGCUACUAUGCUAUCGGAGCAAGACGGAGCCUUCCGUGCUUCUAGCUCAUUUUGAUAUUGCGACUUUCGAAUCGUCGAUCGGCUCCGUUAAACUUGAUCUAGAGUAUUUGAAGUCCUAGAAAUAUAAAUUUUAUGAUUUUACGAUAUCUUUGCCUAGGAACGAAAGGGCUUAAAAUCAACGGCUGAAAAUAAAAUCUUACAAAAUAUGAUAAUAUGACAUUAAAAUUUUAAUAUAUAAAAUUAGGCUACAUACUAUCUAUAGUACGAGCUCCGUACUAUAGUGUUUGUUUUCGAUCUUAGGGCGUUCAAUCAACGAUCCACACCGUUAAAUAUGAUCUAGGGUAUAUAAUUUCUUAGAAUAAAAUUUUAGUUUAUUUCGAUAUCGUUUACUUAGUAAAUAAUAUAGCAAAUUGAACGGUGGAAAUUGAAUAAUCUUUAAAAUUUGAGUAUAGGACUUUUAAAUUCAAGAUCAAGAAUGUUAACUUAAUCUAUAUAGUUUAAGGUAUUUUCUAUCAAAUUUGAAGAAAUUAGAUUCUUCUACACGCGUUAAACUCCAAACUCGUCAUAAUAGCCAUUGAAAAUUGACCAAUUUUGAAAUAGUUUGAUCAUUAAAGUAAACUAUGUCAAAAAAAAUAUAAAAUUUUACUUCUAAAAUUUUAAAUACCUAAAUCAGUUUUAACGGUGUGGAUCGUUGAUUUGAACGCCCUAAGAUCGAAACCAACACUAUAGUAGCCGGAGCUGGUACUAUAGAUAGUAUAGUAGCUAGCUCUAUAUAUAUAUAUAGAGUGAGCUGGUAUGCUUUGAAGUGGGGAGCCUUCGUGCUUCCAAGUCAUUUUCGAUGUUGGAGUUUUGAAUUGACGAUCGGCUCCGUUAAACUUGAUCUAAGUAUUUGAAAUACUAGAAAAUAAAAUUUUUGUGAUUUUUUGAUACAUUUACUUAGUGAUCGAAGAGGCUCAAAAUCAAAAUUUUAAUGACCUGAUGAGCCGUUUGCAAGUUUAACGGUGUAGAAAUAUCCAAAUCACGUAAAAUUUUGAUAGAAAUAUUUUUUAUACUAUAUAAAACAAGAUUAAUAUUUUUAUCUAAAAUUUAUAUGUCGUUCAUCAUAUUUUGUAAGAUUUUUAUUUUCAGCCGUUGAUUUUGAGCCACUUCGUACUUAGGCAAAUGAUAUCGAAAAAUCACAAAAUUUAUUUUCUAGCUACUCAAAUAUUUUAGAUCAUGUUUAACGGAACCGAUCGUUGAUUCGAAAGUCCCAACAUCAAAAACAUUGGAAGCACGAAAGGCUCUAUACUUCCAGAAACGUAUCAGCUGCUCUAUUAUAUAUAUAUAGAGUACGAGCUCCGGUACUAUAGUGUUUAUUUUCGAUCUUAGGGCUUCAAAUCAACGAUCCACACCGUUAAAUAUGAUCUAGGGUAUAUGAAUGUCUUAGGAAUAAAAUUUUAGUUUUUUUCGAUUAUCGUACUUAGUAAAUAAUUAUAUAAAAAUAGACGGUGAAAAUUGAAUAAUCUUUAAAAUUUGAGUAUAGGACUUUAAUUCAGAUCAAGAAUGUUAACCUUAAUCUAUAUAGUUUAAAGUAUUUUCUAUCAAAUUUGAAGAAAUUUAGAUUCUUCUACACCGUUAAACUCUAAACUUGUCAUAAUAGCCAUUGAAAAUUGACAAUUUUGAAAUAGUUUGAUCAUAAGUAAACUCUGUCGAAAAAUAUAAAUUUUAUUUCUAGAAACUUUAAAUACCUAGAUCAGUUUACGGUGUGGAUCAUUGAUUUGAACGCCCUAAGAUCGAAAACAAUACUAUAGUACGGAGCUCGGUACUAUAUAGAUAGUAUAGUAGCCUAGCUCUCUCUCUCUCUCUCUCUCUAUAUAUAUAAUAUAAUAUUAUAUUAUACAAAAAAAUCUGAUAUUUAAAUAUAUAAAUUAUACUAAUUUUUUUUGAAUCAAGCAUUUUUUUUUUUUUCGAUAGGGGUCUUUUUUUCUUAUAAUUGUAUUAUGCGGACAUUAUUGAGUAUUUAUGGUCGAAAAUUAACAUCAACAAAUUAAAACUUGAGUAUAUUAAUGGUCGAGAAUUAUUCCGUCUCUCUGUUUUUAAUAAAGCAAUCGCACCAUUUUUUCGGGUUAUUUUAUGUCCAAAUGUUAUUUUUUUAAAAAAAAAUAUUUGUAUUUUUUUUUAUAUUUUUACUAUUUUAUAUAGGACCCCUGAGUAUUAUAGAUCUAGCUUACCUAAUUACAUCCUAAUAUUACAACAAUAAAAAAAAAAAGAAAAACUUCAAAUAUCACGCCCGUGGUUUUGCACUUUCUCACUUUAGUAUCAUGUUAUUUAAAGUGUAUCAAUUUAGCACUUUGUAAUUUUAUUUUUUAUUAUUAUUAUUUAUUUUACUAAUUUUUUUCGUUAAAUCAGGAACAAAGUUAAAACUAAAGGUAUUAAAGUGAAUAUUCGAUAAACGUAGGUGGGGCAUAUGAAGUUUUUUGUAUAUAAUUUAACGAAAUAUUAACGGAGGAGGUACUAACUUGAUACACUUUAAAUUAUAGGGUACUAAAAUGAGAAAGUGCGAAACCACCGUAGUGGUAUUUGAAGUUUACCCUUAAAAAAAAAAAUCAGGGGUCGAGGGCGGUGCAUGUGGCGUUCGGAUGCUUUAAACCACAUGGUAUUAAAGUAAGAAAGUACGAAAUCACAUGAAUGGUAUAUGAAUAAAACCCUUAUAAAAAAAGGGGAAAACUUCAAAAAUCCCUUUGUGGUUUCGUAGUUUUUCACUUCAGUACCCUAUGAUUUAAAGUGUAUCAAUUUGCCCCCUGUGGUUCCGUUUUUAUCUUUUCGGUAGCUUUUUAGUUAAUAUUUUAUUAAAUUAUAUACAAAAAAACUUCAGAUACCUAUCUAGAUUUAUCAAAUAUUCACUUUAGUAUCCUUUAAUUUUAAUUUUAUCACUGAUUUAAAAAAAAAUAAUUAAGUUGAUAAGAAAAAGAAAAAAAAAAAACCACAGAGAGACAACUUGAUACAUUUUAAACCACAGAGGAGUAAAUUGAGAAACGUCGAAACUACAGGGGGUUUUUUGAAGUUUUCCACAAAAAAAAAGUGGGGCCAACAAAGCCUUUUCUUUACACCGUGUGUGGGCCCCGCACCGCGUGAGCCCCGGCCGGAAAAGGGACGGCUGAGGUCUCGCCACGUGUCGCGCAGGCGCCCUCUGAUGCUCUCAUGUGGGACCCGUACCAUUAGCAAUUUAGUCCCUAGACUUGACAUGCUCGACAUUUUAGCUAUUUUGAAAAUAAAAUUUGCACUUUUAUUUUGGAUUAGUUCAACAAUUAAUCCUUAAUUUUGAUAUUUUUCUUAGUCAAAUUCUUAAUUUUUUAGAAUUAAUGGCACUAUUGAUUUCUAGCCUUUACCUUUUUUCUUUUUUUUUUUUUGCUUUGAUUGUAACAUCUUUUUUCGUAUGCCUGUCAAUAUUAUUUCCCCUCUUUUAUAAUUUUUUUUUUAAAAAAAAUUAGUGUUGAGAUUGAUCAGGAAUUACUGGACCAUAACUAUGGUCCAUAUGAGUCGACGAGUUGACCUAACUGUUGGUUAUAUAAGUCUAACUUUCUGUCCCACGACAAGAGACUCAGAAGAUUAAUAAGUUCAAUUAGGUGAGCCUAAUAAGUUGAGUGUGGAAGCGGUACACAAUAGACUUCACGGCAAGAGGUCCAACAGUAGACCUAAUAUUUAGAUGAGUUGAAUCAGGUCGAAGCCCGUGAACGCUGCUGUGGUUGAACUCUUAAAUAUGAUGGGUGUGUCUUUUCUAUUAGCACGUGCUUUUGAAAUAUUUGGUUAGUGUUUACAAUCCACACUAACCUCUUCAGUGAAAAAUAACGAGGAUUUAAUUGCAACAACGAUGCAAUUAACCCUUUUAUUUUUUGAGCAAUGCUAUCUGUGCACUCUCUUGUCUGAUCAUUUUUUUUUUAGGGUUAAUUAUAUACAGAUUCCUGCAAAUACAGUAAAUUAUAAAUAUUAUCCUACAAAGUUUAACUUUCAUAUAUUGCCCCUAUAAAAAUCUUAAUAUUUUCAAAUAUCUCCAUACCGUUAGAAUUCGUUAAAAAAAUUUAGUUAACCAUAGGUUAAAUACUUAAUUCUGAUUAGUUUAUGAGAUAAUUUGACAUUUUAAUCCUUCUUAUAUUAUACUGUUGUGACUUUUGAAGGGUCAUAUCUGUGAUGGCAAAAUUGAUAUUUCACUUAUUUGUUGUUAAAAUAUAAACAAUUCUUUAACGGUAACAGACUGGAGAGACAUAUUUGAAAAUAUUAGAAUUUUUAUAGAAACAACAUAUAAAAGUUGAAUUUUGUAGUAAUAUAUUUAUAAUUCAAUAUGUUUGCAGGGACCUGUAUGCAUUUAAUCCUUUUUUUAAUACUAAAGCUAAAGAAAAUUUUGUGAAAAGAUUUAAAUUAUUUACCGGUGUACAAGUUUAUUUUUUUCUUAUUUUUUAAGCUAGUGGGGACUCAAAUAACGUAAUUGUGAAAAAUUAAGAACCAAAGUAUUAUCCUAAAUUAAAAGCGAAAUAAAUUACAGAAACCAAAUUUUCUUUUUUUGGCUAUCGGGGACUUAAAUGUUAACUUGUGAAAAGUUAAGGACCUAAGUGUUUAAAUAAAAAAAGAGCAAUAUUAAUAUAUUACGGGAACCAAUUCACAAAAAUAGGAUAGUGCAGGGACUAUCCAUACAUUUUUACCAUCGAAGCGAAUUAUUUUUUCGUCUUUUUUUUUUUUUUUUGUAAACCCUCGACCCCUCCUCCUCCUCUUCCUCCUCCUCCUCCGCCGCCGCCGCCGCCGCCGCCCCCCGCCGGAACCCUAGCAGGUCCCUUCAUCUCCAAAGUGAGAUCUCUCUCUCUCUUUUAGUCCUCGUUCCUUGUUCAGUUUCAAUCGUAGUACUUUGGUAGUAGCUUCGAAGCUUGUUGUGUAACUAGAUCGCUAGGGUCUUCAUUUCCACGCUGUUUUGGAAAUUUUCCAAAUUUUAAAGGAUUUUGCCUUAUGGAGUUGGAGCUUGUUUGUGUAAUUAGAUUGAUAGAGUCCUUAUUAUGUACGCUAUUUUUUUUUGUUGUGCAAAUUUCCAAUUUUUAAAGGAUUUUGCCUUAUGGAAUCAAAGCUUGUUGUGGAAUUAUGUCGAUUGGGUCUUCAUUUUCACGGUAUAUUUUUCAGAUUUCCCACUUAUUUAGUAUUUUUGUUCUAUUAUUUGGUAUUAAUUCUAUGUAUUGAAGCUUUAAGUGAUGAAAAGAGUUCUAGGGUUUGGUUAGUAAGAUAAACUGGUUAUUACAACACUCUUUGUGCAGAGCCUACAUAUAUAAAUCUCCUGUUAUUUGUUUUGUAAUUUAGUAGGGUUUCUUACUGUAUGAUUUUGGCAAUAUGCAUGUAAAGUACCUUUCUUUUAAUGGAUGGGCUUAUAAUUACUAACUUGUUUAUAUUAACUUUAGAUUUUGAUUAGUAUUUUGUGUUUCGAUUGAUGAAGAUCUCUUUAUUGAUUUUGAUAUGUAACUUAGUUUAAUGAACUUUGUUCUUGUGUGGGGAUUUGGUGCCAUCCCAUGGAAUGUUUACUACUAUCAAAGAGUUUUCUUGAUGUCGCAAUAUGUAUGUCGUUGCAUACGCCAUCCGAUGACAAAUAAAGUAAAUGUUUGGUAGAAAAGGCAGAGACCAUUCGCGAUCUGUUGUGUAAUGGUUACCUGAACUCUGAAAAUGUUGAUUUCACUAUCUAAGCUUUUGUUACAUCUAAUUUUAGAAAAUCGCGUGAAGUUCUCUUAGAACUUAAGUUCUCCCGAUGGGGUAUUCCGGUAGGUUACAGAAUAUUUUAUCAAGUUCUAAUGGUGAGGUAGUUAAAUCAAAUAUGUUGUAAGGUUAGGUAGUAAAAUCAAAUUCACUAGCGAAGAACCUUUGCUUGUGGAUUUGGUAUGCUGCAGCUAUGUCGUCGGGUCUUGAUUCUUGAAUAUAGCUCUGGAGGUUUUGAUAUACCUCAGUUUAUAAAGGAGCAUAAAUUCUAUUCCAUUUGAUUCAGCUGGUUACUAUCAAAUCUAGGUGAUUUUUUUGAUGUUGCAAUAUGUCUGCUUUCAUAAAGACAAUUGUCUGAUUGAUUUGCUUUUGACAAAUCAAAUAAAUAUUCGGUGAUUUUUUGAUGGCUUAAUUUAUAUCUUGUCAUAAACGCAGUAGUCUGAUUGAUUUUACACAUUCAUUGUUAUAGGACUGAAAUUUUGAUCUUGUUACUACAUGCUGUUUCUCAUGUCUUGCAUGCAUAUUUUCUGAGUUUAUAUUACGUACCGUAUGAGCUAUUUGAUAUUACUAUGCUAGAUUCUUUCAACUCAGAAAAAGGGAAAACAUUGAAAGAUAACCAAAUUCGAAGGAUUAGGAAAACCCGAAAAGCAUACAUGCUUGAGGAGUGUCCACUGGCGUUUUUUGACAUAUAUAUAUCUUGCUAUCUUAGGGUUAUAAACUGCUGAGAUAUCUUUUUAUUCUCUGUACUUUUCCAUCUAAAUGUUUUGAAUUCCUUCGUGUAUUAUCCUUAGGGUGGAGAAUGGGUAAAUUUCAUUCACCGGUGAUAAAGCAUUUUCUCGAAUAAUAUGAUUGCCAGUUUAUGGAAGAAUUCAAUAUUUAUGCUGCAUAAGCUGUAAAAAUGUAUUUUUUUGCUUUGUUCAAUAAUAUGUACACAACUAUACCUUUCUGAGUAGAGUACGUCUCCGGCCAAUACAUUUGUUGUUGUUCAUUUGAACGGCGCUACCUUUCGAAGUAAAUUGUAAAAAUAAUAAAAAAAAAUCUGUGCCCUGCGAGUGGAAUAAUUUACUAUGGUGAAAUGUAAGGUAGAUAGCCAAACACAAGAUUUGGAUUUUGUUGAGUAGGUUGCUUUGAAGGCCAUUCGGGCUCGGGUUGUGAACAUGUUCAUCGAGAUCAAUUAAUUUUGGGCAUUAUUUUUAGGCCUACUUUUAAGUUGUUUUCUCUGGCUCUAAGAAAUAAAUGGAAUUUGAUAUUCUUUCGACCUCGAGUUCAACUUCGAUGCUUCAGAACAAAGUUUUGUUCUUUCCUCUGCUAACUUUUCUUCCUGAGACUUGUAAUAACUCGAUCAACUUAGCGAUAAACCAUCUAUUGGGUGAUCAUAUUGAUAGAGAACAAUCAGUGCCUAUCUAAACAGCUCGCAUCUUCAUGUGGCUCACAAUCGAAGCAAGCACAGGAAAAUUACUUGCCAUAUUGUAAUAAAGAUAAUACAACUUGUAAUAUUUUUAAGGACUUAAUGGUCUAGUGGUUUUCCGCGUUGUAUAUGUUUGCAUUGUAUAUCUACUAUUUUGGCGUUUUUGUUUUGGUUUUAAUGCUUUGCGUUAGUAGUUACUCGCUGCUUCCUCAGGAAAAUGGCCAACAAUGAGACCGCGAAUGAGCAAGCGAUAGCAAACAUGUACGCUGCGAUGCGCUCGGAGAUCAACCAACUGUACUCGAAAAUCACCGAGCUGGAGAUGGAGGUCAGCGAGCACGCUCUCGUGAUCGGCGCGAUCCAGCCGCUGGAUCCGUCGAGGCGGUGCUACCGGAUGGUCGGGGGCGUCCUGGUCGAGCGGACGAUCAGAGAAGUCCUCCCCGCAGUCCAGCGCAACAGAGAGGGGCUCCAGGAGGUCAUCGCUCGGCUCAACGAGGCGCUCGAGCGGAAGAAGCGGGAGGUCGCGGAGUUCGAGGCGAAGUAUAAGAUCAAGAUCAAGAGGGGGCCUGAUGGCAACGAGGCGAAGGAUGAGGGCGAGACGCGAGAGGGUUCGGCUCAGGGUGUUCUUGUAGGUCCAGCUGGUGGUGGGCAGGAACCCUAAUUUUUCUUUUUUUCUUUCCCCCUACUUUUUACGCGACGGACGGCGCAGAGUUGUUGUUGAGUUCAUGGUUUUUUGUUUCUUCUUCUUUCAGGAUCUUCAUGCUAUGCUUUAGUUUAGCAAAGUCUUUUGCUUCUCUGCAGAAUUUCUGAAAGACUGCCACCAUGUAAACUACUUGUCAGUCAUGUAAAACCUGUUAUGAGAACAUCUCAAAGCGGAUGGACGGUGCGUUCGGUGUGUUCAUAUUUUAUUUACUUAUAAAUAUUUUCUAAGUUGUUCUUGUGAGUUGCUCUUCUUUUGAGAUAUGUAGCAUUUUGCUCGUGAAGAGACUCGUACCGAGCAGCUUCUCUAUUCCGAAAAGCAGCUGAGACGGAGCACUUGAAAGUGAAAAACUCGGAGCUCCGAUUUUAAAGAUAGGAGCUCUUGCUUAUAUACCUCUUACUACUAUUAAAAUUUUCAAAAUUUAUUUCUUUAAUAUUCAAAAUAUUUUUCUAAAAUUUAAUUUUAUUAGAUUAUAACUGUAGGGUUUAAAUUUAUUGCUUUUUCUCGAAUCUUUGAUAAAAUAGUACUUUUGAUACCAAAGCUCUAGCCGGACGAAACUGGCAUUCAUGUAAUGGACAGAGACAGCAGGAAUUUGAUCUUGGAUGCAAUGAAUAUGUAGGUAUUGGAGUUCUGAUUAGUGGAUCCGGCUUGGUGGAGCUUCUGCCCUGAUCCGCCCUAGAUGCAUUAGGUGACGGCCGAAUAUUGAGAAAAAUAAAAAAAAAUUAAUCCGUCUCGAAUCUGUCUAGUAAAAAUUCACUCAUGUUCCAACAAGUCCAAACCGUGCUUCUCGACCGUCCACUCGACCCUCGCUUUGCCAUGUAGGUUCGCCUCAUAAGGUCCCAUACAAACGAAUCGGUCUCACUCCGUAUUGCUAGCCACUGGCCCCGUCCUUGGCUCGACCACGCCUGGCCAUUACAAUGGAAGCGGGAGUUCGAGUGGAGGAACUCGCCGAACACUAUGAAAGCGGGAGUUCGAGUGGAGGGACUCGCCGUAUAAGACUGGGAACGUCGGAUCGAGGAUCUGUCGUCAGUGCUAUUAUGUGGUUUAAAAUGUAUCAAUUUAAUACACUGUAAUUUUAUUUUAUUUUUCGUCAGUACCCGUUAACUUUUUGUUAAAUUAUAUACAAGAAAUUUCAGUUAUCUCAUUUAUAGUUUAUCGAAUAUUUACUUUAUUAUAUUUAAUUUUAACUUUGUCACUUAUUUAAUAAAAAAAUUUAGUGAAGUGGGUAACAAAAAGAGAAAAAUAAAAUUGCAGAGUAUGAAAGUGAUACAUUUUAAAUUGUAGGGUACUAAAUUGAGAAAGUGGAAACCAUAGAAAUGGUAUUUAAAGUUUUUCUUUUAUUUUUGGGGGCCUAUUUUGGUGAAUAAUUUUUAUAGAGAAAUUAUUUUCUUUUUACAGCGGUAAUAAUAAUUUGUAACGAGGAAGAAACGGUCCACGGCUGACGUGGUGGGCCUGGUUCACGCAGCUAUCUCCACGGUUCACGGCGCGGGUCGAGUUUCCCCUUUCCCGCGCACAGAGCACCACCAACAUCAUAACAUGUAGAGAGAGAGAGAGAGCUUUAGAGAGAGAAAAGAGAGUUCUAGAGAUCUAGAGAGAGAGAGAGAGAGAGGGGGAUGGAGAGGAGGGAGAUGGAGCGAGCGCGGCUCCUGAGCUUGGCGGUGGAGUUCGGGUUCGAGGAGGAGAUCGCGAAGCAGUGCUUGGAUCGGCUCGUCGAUCUCUACGGUGAGUUCGUAGCUCGUGUUCCGAUCCCGACCAAUCGAAACCCUAGCUCCCAAAACCCUGUCCAUUUCCCCCCUUUCUUCCUAAUUUUUGUUAGGGUUUUGGGUUUUGGAUUGCUAUCUCCCCCUGUAAUGUGUUGAACUUGUCGUUCCUUUUUUAGGUGAAAAUAUAUGGAAAAACCCUCAACUAUAGGCCGUUUUGAAAUGGUCCCCUCAAUUUCGAUUUUUUAUUUUUUUAUUGGAAGCGCUUAAAAUUUGUCCCUUUUUUUGAUUGAUUUGAGUGAUUUUGGUAACUCAAAUUGGCUAAAUUAUUAUAGACACUGUCGAUUCCAUCAAAUUUUAUAGCUUUAAUCACUUUUGAGCCUAUAAAUUUUAAAAAAGUUUCAAUUUGUAGGUAAAAAUGCAUGGAGAAAACCCUCAAAUGGCACACUUAAUUUCAACUUUUUUUAUUAGAAGCUGCUUUAAAUAUGUUUUAUUUUUUCUUAUUAUUCUGAUUUUGGUCAGUUCAAUUGGGUAAUUUAUUAAAUUUAUUGGUGAUUCCAUCAAAUUGAACAGCUUUAAUCAUUUUUUAGCGUGUAAAUAUUUUUUUGAAAAAAAAUUCAAUUUGUAGGUGAAAAUGUAUUGUGAAACCCUCAACUAUAGGCCAUUUUGAAAUGGCCCUCUAAUUUUUUUUUCUCCCUUUAUUGGCAGCUCUUUCUUUUGUGGCUAAUUGAGUGUGAUUGUGGUCAAUUAAAUUGCAAAUUUCAUUAAAUUUAUUGGUCGUUCCAGCAAAUUUAGUUGCUUUGAUAACUUUUUAUCUAUAUAUUUAAAAACGCUUCAAUUUGUAGGUAAACGCUUAUGAAAUGGCCCUCUCAAAUUUGAUUUUUUGUUAUUAUUGUCAGCUCCUUAAAAUUUACUUACUUGAGGGAUUUUGAUCAAUUAAAUUGCACCUGUUACUAAAUUUGUUGGCAGGUUCAUCAAAUUUAGUGGCUUUGAUCACUUCUUAGCCUAUAAUUCUUGAAAAAAAAAGGUUUUAAUUUAUAGGUCAAAAUGUAUGUAGACCCCCAUCAACUAUAGGCCAUUUUGAAAUGGCACCCGCAAUUUUUAUUUUUUGAUCAGCAGGUCCUUAUAAUUUGAUUUUCUUGUCCUCUGACUUGAGUGAUUUUAGUCAAUUAAAUCAGUAAUUUUGUUAGAUUCGCAAGUGAUUCUUUCAAAUUUAAUGGCUUAAUUAAUUUAUUUUGUAAUAAUUCUCUCUCUCUCUCUCUCUCUCUCUCUCUCUCUCUCUCUCUCUCUCGUUGUAGGAGAGGAUGGUUCUGAUUUUGUAACUGUGGAACAUUGCGGGGAUGAUUUCCUUGGCGCACUAGCUGAUGCCAUGCAAGACAGUGAAGACUGGGAUGACUUGCAAGCUAUUGAAACUGAAGCUUGCGGGACAUUAAAUAAUAUUCUAGCAAAAGAUAUAUCAGGGGAUGCAACUAUCUCCGAAUGCUAUGACAGUAGUAAAGGAGACUCAUCUAGACAACAUGGCGAAAAAUAUUUGCAGCAGCUAAGUUCUACUUCUGAUGAUUCUGACGUGGAAGUGUUGAGCCAAAACGAUUUUCGCCGUCGUAAUUCCUUCGACAGCAGCAAGAAUAAACAUAAAACAGCCUCUCAAGGGAAGGGUACAAACUCUUCAAAGCCGACUGUAAGCUACUUUCAUUUAUUUCUCUUUUUGAGCUUUUUCUUUCUAUGGGUUUUGAAGAGCAACAUCAAGGAUUUAAGUAUUGUGGCAUGGGGUCGUAUCAAGCACUUGACAGCACGGCGUGUGCCAUACGUACUGAUGUGUGUCAUUCACAAAAUUACAUGCGUGUCGACACACUAUGGCAUGAAACAUAUAUUUUCUUUGACACCAAUAUAUUCUUAUUGCUAAUUUCAAAGAAAAAGGGUUUUGAGCCCGGCCAUUUGGCACAAGGGUUGUAUUGUGUCGAUAUCUUGCUGGCAUGGUACGCAUGGGGGCCAUGGGUUGUGCUAAUGGGCACUUAAAUCCUUGAGCAAUGUAUUGGCUCUUUGUCGUUUAUAGAGUUUUGGUCAUGAGUAAGAUUGGUCCCGAUUCAAGUCGGCAGUGAUAGUUCUUCAGUUUCCAUGGUUUGUAUGCUUCUCAUCAUUUCACACAGUGCAAGUAACUGAUAUUUAAAUAAAUUAAAAUAUACUGUGUACAAUGUGGAUAUAGGUGACCUUCGGUUUCUACACGAAAACAACUAAUGGUUAGUGUGCAACUAUGAUCUAUUGUUGGGGGUAGUCCUAAUAACAUAGUUCCUAAACAAGACGAAGCCAUUUUUGAUAUUCUUUUGUUACAUUAAUAAAUCUUCCAUAUUAUCUUGCUUUGGUGAUUUGGUGCAUGAAAUAUUGCCCGAGAAGGAACUUUUAGUAGCAAAUUAUACUAUUGUACUUGAAACUAUUUACUGAAAGCAGGACAUAGUUUUGAUAAAACAUGUUACAGUCCGAAAAGAUGUUUAUCAUCUUUUUGAAUCUGACAUUUUUCAAUUUCUGGAGGCGCAGGGAGGCAUUAAUAAAGUUAAGUCAGUUAGAUCAUCUCCUGAUGUAGAGAUUUGCUUGGAAGAGUCACAAAAUGAAACUUUAAGCUACCAGGAGCUUCAGGAAAUGGAUGACAUCGAGUUAGCAAAUAUUGUGAUAUUUGGUAAUAAGAGUUUUCGGUCUCUGCAAUAUCAAGCUUGCGUUGCAGCAAUGGAGAACAAAGACUGUUUUAUUCUUAUGCCCACUGGUGGGGGAAAAAGUCUGUGUUACCAGGUUUGUACUUCUCCCAUUUUACAUGUGAGCUUCAGGCUUCUACUUCACGUGAUUCUUUCUUUGACGUGUACUUUGAAAGUCAGAUCUAAAUAUUUUGUCAUGUCUGGUCUAUCUUAUAGUUUCACCUGUGUUUGUUGAAGAGCUUUCUUUAGAUCCAUGGACUCAAAAUAAGGCAGUCACCUUAUAUUUGACAACUGCACCUAUCUCUGUAUUUUUUUAGUUGGGUGCUGUAUUCUGAAUUCAUCUACAUUGUGUAUCUGUGUUAAGUCAAUUUCCUUUUGACAGCAGCCUGACAGCUAGUCUUAAUUAAUCAUCAUGCAAUUUACAGCUCCCAGCAACUCUGCACCCAGGCGUUACCGUCGUGAUAUGUCCACUCCUAUCACUUAUCCAGGAUCAAAUCAUCACGCUUAAUUUAAAGUAUGGUAUACCUGCAACUUUCUUGAACUCUCAGCAAACUGCUUCUCAGGCAGCUGCAGUCAUCCGAGAACUAAGGUGAAAGCACUUGGCAACUGUGUUCUACAUUGUACUUAUUUCAUUGGGUGUGAUUGAUAAGCCUAUUACUAGGUCUUAAUAGUUUUUUUUUGUUGUUAUUUUAUUAGUGUUAGGUGAACUCUUUUUCAUGUGCAAAUAUCUAGCAUGUUUAUCUAGCAACUAUAUUAAUUUGACAUCAUCUUAAAAAUGACAUACGGAUUCAUCAAUCACAGUGGUUCAGGGGUCUCUAAACCUUUUUUUUUUUUUGAAAAAAAAGAGUAAAUACGAGUAAAAUAAGGCCUCUCUUGGUACCGCCCUUCUUUUUUAACUUACCUUCUAUGCGAUUAAAUGCAUUGAGGAUGGACAUCUCCAUCCUUGUUAUUGUUGGUUAGUUUGCAAUGUUCCGUGGACAGAUGAAGGGCGUCUUCUUUAGAUAAACAAAGAAGCUAAAAAAAGAGUUGCUUCUUACUUUCUUUUUCAGUUGCUAAUCAAAACAUGGAGGUCCAUAGAUUGCAAAAAUUCUGCUAUCUGCCAACUAUAGCUUAGAAUUCGACAAUAAAAUAUUGGAAAAUUCUCAAAUGACUAACUUUUUUAUUCCUAUUUUUCACAUUUGCCUAUUGUCAGGAAUGGUAAGCCAUCAUGCAAACUUCUAUAUGUAACUCCAGAAAGAGCUGCUGGAAACUCGUCAUUUCUUGAUGUACUGAGAUGCUUACACCAGAAGGUAGAUGUAUUAUUUAUGUUUGGGUAAACUUUAAUUUACCCCACUCUGGAUUUGCUCAUGUUCAUGUUGCCGUCUUGUGUUUCCAAAGUUACACUCAGCUAUCCUGUGGUUUAACGUGUUUUCACUUUGUUGUCCCGUGAUUCAAAAAGUUACACUUAACUAUUCUGUGGUUUUAUUUUUGUUUCAGUGUAAGAACCUAUCAUUAAACAAGGUACCAUCCUAUGAUUUUCGAAAAAUUUUACUUUGCUACCCUAUUUGAUGACAGGUUUUUUUCAGUGAAACAAAAAUAAAACCACAACAUAGUUAAUUGCAAUAUUUUGAACCAUAGAAUGGCAAAGUGAAAACACGUUAAACCGCAGGGGGCAAAUUGAAGUUUACCCUUUAUAUUUUUAUUAUUUUAUGUCGCAGACUCCUUAUCUUUGUUUUCUAAAUUGGGUUAAUUGCAUGAGAGGAUCCUCAACCUUUUGCAUAAUUUGCACUCAGGGAAACGAAAGAACCUUUUAGUGUAGAUUCAGUUAGGUGCUCGACUUCUCAACUAUUACAAUUGACUUCAAUUCAUUUCAAUCUUAUUCGUAUAAUUGAACUUCAAAUUUCCGGUCAUAUUAAGACGCUUGUUCUCUAGACCACGCAAAUGAUAUUGAACUUGCAUAAUGAGAAGGGUAAGAUUGCAACAAUAUGCAAAGGUUAGAGCUCAUUUGUGUUAAUUGAAAGAUUGGCAACCAAGCCAAAACCUCCUAAAAAGGCUGGGAACCCUAGUGCAAUUUGCUCUUGUACGUCUAGGUCUUGCACUUCAGAAAAAAAGAAUAACCUAAGCAUGAAUGUUUGACAGGGUCUGCUUGCAAGAUUUGUAGUUGAUGAAGCACAUUGUGUAAGGUAACUUCUUGCAGUUGGUAUAUAUUUCUACUUAAAAUGCCAUCUAUUUUAAAUUACAUAUCUAAUUCGCUUAUUGUUCUGUUUCCAGCCAAUGGGGCCACGAUUUCCGUCCAGACUACAGAGGACUGGGAUGCCUGAAGCAGAAUUUCCCUGGAGUGCCUGUUAUGGCUUUAACUGCAACAGCAACUAAAUUUGUCCGCGAGGUAGUUAUAUGUUUGUAUUUGUUUCUAUUCGCAGCAAAUUGCAUGCGGUGGUUUCGUUGUGGUCUUCAAACUUUCUGUUGCACAAUUAUAACCGUUUCAUUUCGAUGCAAUCUUAUCCUUAUUAAUUUCCUCAAUCCGAUUAGAUGGAAGUACUCAUGUAAUCUCUAUUUGAGAAGUCAAUAGACGAUUAUUUGGAUACUUCUUUCGAAUUUUAUGGAGGAAUUUAACUGAAUGUGUAAAACUGCAGCAAAAUUUAAAGGCUACAUAACCAAACGCGAACAACUGAAUGGUUGCGACCAAACUAAAGCCAUGUUAAAAGUUCGAGGGCACCUAGUGCAAUUUACCUUUUUUCUUUCUAUAACAUGACAAAAGCCGUAACUCUCGAUCUUCUUAUUUAUGCAGGACAUAAUAAAAACUCUGAGAAUCCCUACUGCUCUAGUGCUGGAGACAAGCUUUGAUCGACCGAACUUAAAAUAUGAAGUUGUUGGUAAAAGCAAAGAUUCUAUGAAACAGUUAGGCCAAUUGAUAAAAGAUCACUUUGGGAACAUGUGUGGUAUUGUAUACUGUCUCUCGAAGAGUGAGUGUGUCGAUGUUGCAAAGUACUUAAAUGAGAAGUGUAAGAUAAAGACUGUAUACUACCAUGCUGGUUUAGCGGCUCGUCAGAGAGUUUCUGUUCAAAAGAAAUGGCGCAACGGAGAGGCUCAUGUUGUUUGUGCCACCAUAGCAUUUGGCAUGGGGAUCGACAAAGCAGAUGUGGUGAGCCUGUCGCAAUUCUUAUACAAGAUUUUUUACAUAUAUACACCUGCAAAAUUAUUGAUUUACAUGUAUAUCCAUGCAAAACCUGAAUAUGUGCCUUUCAAAAGUCUAUUAGUUAUGGAUUACCCUUGUAAAAAAAAAAAUAAUUGAGGGCAUUUUUGUAGGAAACUUCACUUCGAAAGAUGGCAUUUAUGUUGUAAAUGAUGAUAUGUAUGUGAUAAAUUUGUGAAAGCUCCUUUAUGAAUUUUUAUGCCCUGACCUAACUUGAUAUUUAAACUUUGCAGCGUUUCGUUAUCCACAAUACUUUGUCGAAAUCAAUCGAAAGCUACUACCAGGAGUCAGGAAGGGCAGGAAGAGAUGGUCGCCCAGCAUCGUGUGUUGCUCUAUACCAGAAAAAAGAUUUUAGUCGAGUUGUAUGCAUGUUAAGGAAUGCCGGUAGCUUCAAGAGCGAAAGUUUCAAGAUGGCCAUGGAUCAAGCGAAGAAAAUGCGAGAAUAUUGUGAACUUAAGGUAUUUUUCAUUUGGAAGAUAUUUCAUUUGUUGUGCUCUCGUUUUUUUUUUUGUAGGAAAAAAAAAAAAAGCAUCACUAAUAAGUUAAGCUUUGUUGCAUUCUCAUUUUUGAACUAUUUUCUUUCUUGCUAAUGUGUUGUCAUGCGGCGAAUGCUACAUUUCUUUUUUGGAGUGUUAACUUAGUUUUAUGCCAAUGUUUCAGACUGAAUGUCGUAGAAAAACUCUUCUAUCACACUUUGGAGAGCAAUUUGAUAGGCAGAGAUGCAGAGAUGGUCCUAGCCCCUGCGAUAACUGCAUAAAAAUGACGGAAUAAGUUAAUACACUCGACUCUCGCAUUCAUAUACACCAUCCCUGAAGGAUCAGGUACAAUCUUUGAUCAAUCCUUAAAUUACUCUCUCUCUCUCUCUCUCUCUCUCUCUCUCUCUCUAAGUUUGAAGAUGGUAAAAUUCAUACUGAAACUAUGGAAGUUACAUUACCAGAAUUUUUGGAAGUCGACAUCAAACUGAUGGUGGACCCUGCAACAAAAGAGAUCCAUCACAGGGAAAGGCCGUGCAUCUCUAUACCACUCAAAGGAUUAUGUCAUCGAGCCCGCAAAUUGAGGAAGCAUCUACCAGGUCUUUCAAUCUUUUUUAAAUAAGAUUAAUUCGGCUCUUUGCUAUCUUAUUUAGUGUCGCGUUUAAUUAAUUCCUUUGUUUUAUUAAGUGAUCCUAAUAUUUUGUUAACAAAUGUGGUUCAGAGAUAUAUAUCAGACAAAAUGAAUGAUUCAAAUCUUUUUGUAAAAGUACAAGAAAGGGACCGCUAAAAUGUCUUUGUAGUGUUCUUGCAUUCAUACAUCAUGUCCUAAUGUAUUUAUACUCCUAGAUAUCUUUGUGUUUUUAAGUUGCGAAAGUAUAAACGAAGAGCAAAAGAAUAAGUUACAUAAAAUAGAGAUUGUAUUUCUUAAUAAUUUGAAAUUUCUCCCCUUAACAUGUAAACCCUGUUUGAUCAUCACAUUGUGUUAUGAUUAGAGUCCUUGUUUGAUCAUCACAUUGUGUUAUGGUUGAAGGACUCCAUGCGUUGGAGCCGCAUUUGCUCGUAGAAUUUUGCAAUAAAGUCUUCCGCUUGAACGUCGAUCGCAUUUGGCCCUCCACUGCCAUCGUCCGUAGCCUCAUCACUGUUAAGGUCAUCGUCAUUCUUGUCGAGCGCCUGAAGAUCCUCAGCAGAAGCAUAGCGGCUCAUCUCGCCAGACGAGGUCGAGUGUGCUGGCGAUGCUGGCGGAAGGGAGACGUCGUGGUACGACUCGUGCCCUACGGGCGGCGGCGGCGGCAGCAGAAGCGGAUUGGAUGGAUAAUACUCGAGUUGAGGGACGUGGAGGGGGCGCAUGCCGCUGACCAGUGUUUUCCACCCUGCCUCGGCGGCAGAGGGGGAGCCUGGGGCUUCAGCAUUCAUAAACUUUUUCUUGCCGGAUGAGCAGCCGCGGACCAUAAAGAGGGCAGCCCUAAUAAGGCUUAGGGUGCCUCUCUUCUUGCCGGCUGGUGGUCGGAGAGAGCAAGCUUUGUUCGUAACGUCGGUAGUGGCGACUGCAAGGAUGGCAGUGGUGUUAUUGGCGCCAUCUCUCUCUUCUUUCUCCAUAGAGGAGAAAGAAGAGGAGGGAUGGAAUUCUCCUAGCCUUGGUGGGAAAGGUAAUCUUAAGAUUCAAUAGGAGGAAGAGUUUAUAUAUAUAGAGGCUUUAAGAUGAGGAACCACAUACAUGCAUGAGAGGUUUGGGGUUGGAAGCAUGCAUAUUUAGUUGAGAGUAUGUGGAGAAUAUUCAAGGUUUCAAAUUUUGAAAUGACAGGAAUACCCAUUGGGCCAUUGGUUGGUUGGUUUUGGUGGUGUUGAUUUGGGGAUGUUAAUCGGUACGGAUACCUGCAAUUUUAUCUGAACCGAAACCCGAACGGGACGGGUUUAUCUGAUGCUAAAUGGACGUGGUUCAGGUACGAGUAUAACCAACGAAAACUCAACAGAUUUGAAUUCGAGUAUGAAUUUUGCCUGUAAUAUAUUCGGGUAUAUUUAAUAUAAUACGUUUUGAAAUAUGGUGACAUGAAAUAAUUGUUUCUGGUUCGGUUGUUUGGUCGGUUUCCAUUUUGGAAAUGACUUUUUAAAUUUGUCUGGAUGGGGUUCGGGUUUUUGAAAAUUCGUUCCGAAUCCGACCCGUAUUGACAUCCCCAUCUUGAUUGAAGGAAUGGGAGUUAGAGGUGUGAUGGCAUUACCAUAGAAUAGGAGAGGAUGGGAGGGUGUAAAUGGAAAGUUAAAAAUUUAUGUAGUUUCUCUCUAUUUGGGUUGGGGAGGAAGAGUAGGUGGUGGUUGAGGUUGUGGUUGCAACCAAGAUUCUUGGAAUAGUAGUGUGUUGAAUGGUUCUCUCUCUCUCUCUCUCUCUCUCUCUCUCUCUCUCUCUCUCUCACAUUGUAAUUUUACAUGGUUUGGAGUAUUACUUUAAAAUUAAGCUUUUAAUAUAAAAUUAGCAUUGUCAUAUGUGGAGAAAGAGGGGAGAGGAGAGAGAAGAGAACCUUAACUACUAUGAAACAUUUGCAAUGGAAAUAAAACUUGGGAAAUCUAAUUUAAAAUCAAUUACAAUUAUUAUUCAAGAAUUAGUUAACUAACAAUGUGUCUUGUGAAUUGCUCCAUAAAUACCUUUAUAAUCAGUGGUAUUUAGAGUCCGGCUGGGAUGCUAUUGAUAGCACCAAGUGUUUGGUGCUGUCAAGUUUUCAGCCGUUAGAUUUAACCAUUUGAAUAUUUUCACCCGUUGACUAUUUUCACCCGUUAGAUUAUAUUAUUAAACCAAUAACUCACUCAACCCUAGAGAGCCCAUAUUAUCCUAACCGUAUGAUUUUUCAUCCAAGGGCCGAAAAUCUAAUAGCACCAAUAGCUCGGUGCUAUUGAUAGUAUUCUAACUUAGGUUAUGGUAUUUAUUUGUUAUAUUUACUAACCAAAAAUUAUCGCACGAAGAGUGUAAUUUUUCGUAAGGGUUAAUCUUACAAAUCCAAUAUCACCUAAAAAAAAUCAAUAAUUAAAGAUAAUCUUGUCAUCUCUUUUGUAAAAUGAUAAAAUGGGUAAGAACAGUUUCUAAUUGCAUGCAACCAAAUAAACAAAAAAAAAAAGUUAAUAAUUACAACACUCUCAAUUGCAUACUAAGAUAGAUAUGUUGUAAUUGUUUUAUAUUAAGUUAUAUACAUGAGUGAGGCUGGUAUGCUUCUGAAAGCACGGAGUCCUCUGUGCUUCCAAAUCUUUUUCGAUGUUGUGACUUUCGAAUCGACGAUCGACUCCGUUAGAUUUGAUCUAGAGCAUUUAGAGUAUUUAGAAAAUAAAUUUUGUGAUUUUUCGAUAUCAUUUGCCUAGUGAUCGAAGGGACUCAAAAGCAAUAAUUUUAAUGGCCGUGGUGAGCAAGUUUAACGGUGUAAAAAUAUUCAAAUCACGUGAAAUUUUGAUAAAAUUUUUUUUUAUAUUAUAUAAAAUAAGAUAAAUAUCUUUGAUCUAAAAUUUUAAUGUCAUAUCAUCAUAUUUUGUAAUAUUUUUAUUUUUAGCUGUUGAUUUUGAGCCCUUUUGAUUACUAGGCAACUAAUAUAAAAAAAUUGUGAAAUUUAUUUUUCAGGUACUUUAAAUACUCUAGAUCAAGUCUAACAGAGCCGAUCGUCGAUUCGAAAAUCCCAACAUCGAAAACGACUUGAAAGCACGGAGGGCUCCGUGCUUCCAGAAGCAUACCAACCUCACUCUCAUAUACAUGUUUAAUUGCACUAAUUUUAUAUUUAUAUUGAAUCAAAUGUACCCCUAAGAAUAAAUCUUUUUUAAACAAAAUUACACUUCGAAUGCAAUUGCAUUGCGCAUAGAAUACAUAAGCGAUGAAAGGCCCAUUGAUCCAUAAAAUCAAAGGAAAACUUCAAAACCCCCCCUGUGGUUUCACACUUUUUUAUUUUAGUACCCUGUGGUUUAAAGUGUAUCAAGUUAGUACCCUGUGGUUUUUCACUUUAUCACUUUAGUACCUUAUGGUCUAAAGUGUAUCAAGUUAGUACCCUGUGGUUUCACACUUUAUCACUUUAGUAUCCUGUGAUUUAAAAAACCACAGGAUACUAACUUGAUGCAAAAUUAAAAUCAUAGGGUACUAAAGUGAUAAAGUGCAAAACCACAGGGUACUAACUUGAUACACUUUAAACCACAGGGUAUUAAAGCGAUAAAGUGAGAAACCACAGGGUACUAACUUGAUACAUUUUAAAUCACAGGGUACUAAAGUGAAAAAAAUUGAAACCACAAGAGGGGUUUUUGAAGUUUUUUCUAAAAUCAACGCAAGGAAGGUUCCAUCUUAGCUCAAUUUUGAUUGCGGGUCCAACUUUUUUCUUCUUCUUUUUUUUUUGUUUUUUUGGGGGGGAAUUUUCUCAUUACUAUCUUACUACAGCUGGUUAGGAUUACAACCAAGCACUCCAUUUGACAGAGAAAACACAGCUUAAUAUCACUACCAAGCACUCUUUUUUUUUUCUUUUUUCUUUUUUCUUUUUAAGGUAAACUUCUAUACCAUUCCUGUGGUUUCAUAUUUUCUCACUUUAGUACUCUGUGGUUUUAUUUUUCUCUUUUUGUCAGCUCGUGCAUUAACAUUUCGUUAAAUUAUAUACAAAAAAAACUUCAGAUACCCCACCUAGGUUUAUCGAAUAUUCACUUUAGUACUUUUUAAUUUUAACUUUGUCACUAAUUUAAUAAAAAAAAAAUUAAUGGAAGAAAAAAUAAAAAUAAAAAAAUAAAACUAUAGAGUACUAAAUUGAUACGUUUUAAAUUAUAAAAUACUAAAGCGAGAAAGUGGUUAAUCAUAUGAAUGGUAUUUGAAAUUCUCCCCCACUUUUU
rnacentral:lncRNA from 1 species